rnacentral:lncRNA from 1 species
ACAAUGUAUGUAGGCAAAUGAAGAAUAAACGAAAGAACAUUGAGUAGGCCUUUCACUUCACCUUAUAAGAAUUGAUGAAUGUUAUACAAAAGGAACAUUAUCAAGAUCAACCAAAACGUUUGAUAAAGAAGUGUGAGAUCAUCACAUGAUACGCUCAAUGCAAAAUUCAAGUCAAUGCUAGAUCAAAGAAUAUUUCUGAAGCUUGUGUCUAAGAGAUUGUCUUCUACAUCUACCGUCAAGAAGUAAACGCCAAAUAUCAACAUUCAAAUAUUUCUUGCAAUAUGAGCUAAAGCUACAAGGCCCAACAACUCUUCUGACACAAUUACAUUUAAACUUUGACUCAACUACUUACCUUUUAUGGUGUGCACUUUUACCAUGAAAUGAUAUAGAAGGCUCUGCUACCGAGGGAAGUAUAUAUUACCAGUCAUUCAAAAGAUUGUGUUAACAAGAAAAUCAUUUAAAAGAUGCAAUAAAUGCAACGGUCAAAUUGAAGCUCGUUAGUCGCAAGGAAGAUAAAGGAGAAUUGAAGUUGCUCAACGAAUAUAAUGGUCUCAAUGGCUAUUUUCUUCCAUGGCUAUAUAAGGCCUACCAUCAAGAAGAAGAAUAAGAAGAGAGUAAGGGAUUCAUUCUACAAUAUACUGCCAAGAUAAUAUGCAAUCUUAAAAGCUUCAAAAAAGGAUCCCAACACUUAGAGCAGAAGUACUGCCAAAAUGUAUGGAUUCAUGAGAGCUUAGAAGAAAACAUAAUAUGUGUUUCUUUGGUCACCUAGAAGAGUGAAUUUAAAUCCAAUUUAAACAACAAUUGUCGAGGGUCGGGCACAUCACACUAUAAGAAAGUCAUUAAAUAGAAACUAAUUUUAGAGACAAAAAAUAAUUAGUUACUAUAUUGACUAAAUUAGAUAUUAUUUUAUAAACUAAAAUAUAUUGAUAUCUAAAGUAGUUUCUAUUAUUAAUAAAAUAUUAUAAACUAGUUUCUAAAUUGGUAUCUAAUCAGCUACCAAGGUUUUAACUAUCAAGUUGGUCUCUUUAGCUUGAUAUUUUUGAACUUCUUGUUGAAGUUCGAGGCAAUGACAUAUACAAAAGAUCAAUAGGUUGCAUCCACAUCCCAACCAACUUCUAGAUAUUGUAAUGCUGACAGUAUUGUAGUUCCACUAUCAGUGAUCAGGUAUACAUUAGGUUGCAGUGUGACUUAUGCGAUCCAUAGUUGAAAGAACCAUAUCAUCGCUUCCUUGGUUUCUCCCUCAAUAAUUUCAAAAUCAAAAGGAUAAAUGUUGUGGUUGUCAUCUUGAGCAAUUGUAGUAAACAAUGUUUCGUUAUAUCGACAUGUCAAAAAAGUUCCAUCAACUUGGACGAUUGGUUUGCAAUAGUUAGGAUGUGACACAAGUUGUCUUCUACACUGUUAAUAACAACUAGAAAAGUUAUGUACGGAAUAAUUAUCCCCGGAAAAGUUUAUUUAAGGGCUUGCAACCAUCUAAGUAGAUGGUUGUAUGAGUCCUCCUAGUUCCCGAAUUUGAUUGCAAUCACCUUUUGUUUUGCAAUCCUCGCUCUUUUGUACGUAAUAGAAUAUCUGAAACAGUUUUUUUUUAUCUCAACCACUAAUUUUUUACGAGGAUGGAAGGAUUUGUCCUAGCUGAAUUUACGAUGAUAGAGGCAAUUUGGUUAGAAUCCAAAUUUAUGUGAUUUAGAGUAAGCUCAAUUGACUGAGCUUCAAUUUUUUUUAAUUUCCCAUUAAUCUUGGAUUUUGCUAUAAGAUGCACGAAGUCUUCAUUGACACCCAUUGAUAUAUUGUGUGCAUCUUACUACGUAUCUAUUUGACUUCGAUUUGACAACAUAGAAUUUAUAUCUCUGCUCCACAUGAAAUUGUUUGAUCGUAUUUAUUGUUGAAUCCUUUGAAUCGAAGCACAUGUGUUCCUCUAACUCGCAUUGUAAGUGAAGCUGUUUAGGGUUGAUAAUUAAAAAAAUUAGUAUGAUGUUUAAGGGAUUAAUGUAUGAUGAAUUACGGGAUAAAUGAUUCAUAUAGAAGUGUUAAUCACCGUUCAUUUUAAGGAAAGAAAAUAACGAAAAGAGGGUGCAAAAUAAUAUUAUUUGAAAUGAAAGAAAAAAUAGCAAUAAUUACAAAAUUUAUAAUCGAAUUUAUUGGUAUAGGAAACAAAUUAAAUGAAUUGUAUAACACAUUAAAUUAAUUGUAUAAUACAAUUAUGUAAAAAUAGAUUAUAGGGAUUAACAUAUUGUAGGUAGUCUAAUGCAAUUAUAUUUAAUGGGUACCAUAUUAAUUGGGUUUGAAUUGUCUCAUUUAUUUUCAUAAUGAUAUACAAGUAAGCAUAUGUUUAAAUUUUAAAUCCGUGUUUAUCAUUGGUUCAUAAUCAUAUAACUUUCUCUCCAUUUGUAAAAAGGCUAUCAACAUAUAGCAGUACAUAACUAUGGAAAAAGCUUUCAUAAUAACUCCUCAACAGUGAACUGGAAAUAACUUCUUAAAUAUCAACAUUACAGUGAAAUAAAUUGUUCACAAAACUAAUGACAACCUCCAAAUCUACAUGGUAUAUGUAAUUAACAUUACUUACUAAACAAUUAGAGCAAGAAACAAGAUUAGUGGGAAGGAGAUUACCUAAACCAAGGUGGCAACUGGUACAUAAGUUCUGCUUCAAAUGCAUUCAAAUAUAAUGUUGUGUGGUUCAUAAAGUAGACACCAAAUACACAUACAAUUUGUAGCUUAUUAAGAAUGAUAAUUUCCUAUUCAUUAAUUAUUCGGAAGGAUCUUUUAUAAUAUAUUGGAUUUUAAGCUUGACUCAAUCUCAUCAAAUUGAUUUAUAAAAUGAGGACUGCAUUCACUUAUAUACUAUAAAAUUAAUAUUAUAAUAUUUAGUUGAUGUGAGAUCUCUAACAUAGUCAAACUCUCAAACUCGGAUACGCUUAUAUUCGACAUGUAUUAGAUUCUAAAAUGUAUAUGAUAAUUUUUUUUAAGUUCUUAAUUUGUCAUUUAUUAUAUCUUUAUAUAAUAUGAUUUUUUUAAAAGUUAUUAGUUUGUUUUUAAGUAAAAUUGAAAAAAGUGUAAGUUUUUCGGGUGACAAGUUGUUUAGAAAUGCUGGAAUCUCUACUUGUUUCAAUGUAGAAAUGAAUUAAGUUUUUGAAUGCUUUUUUAAUUCAGUUUGGAUGGUUCUGAAAUAAACGUAGACCCCACCUCCACGUUAUACUUAAGUUUUGAAAAUUGAAUUUAAGUGAAUUCAGUUCUCUUAGAAUUUGUUACUAUGGUGAAGUUGUAGCAUUCAUUGGAAACUUCAGUGCACUCGGAAUUUGCUAUCAUAUUUGUCCUCAAUACUCACCAAUUAUGAAGGGGUCUUCGUUGAAUUCAUGCACUGGGACAACAAAUGAAUCAUCAGUAUACUUGGAUGCAUUAAUUACUCAAUUCAAACUGUAAUAGUAGUGGCUAACGAGUUUGGUUUUCAACAAAAUAAUAAAUGCAUUGCGAAGUGUACUAUUUAGAACAAAAGGUUACGUCGAAAGGUUAGGUAAGACUCAAAGAUUAAAUAAAAAAAUAAAUAAAUUAAAUUUAGUUAUUGUGGCAAAAUUCAUCGAAUGAAUCCAAAACAUAAUGAGUGUGUUUAAAGAAGAUCAGGUGUAAAGAGUAAAAGUCCAACUGUGUUUUAAGUUCAAUAAGAAAGUGUUAUAAAUAGGUGAUCAAUCCUAGAGGUAAAUGGGUGAUUUUAUCUGAUAACUAUAUAAAAUUGAUUCUGACUUUGGCAUCGGAGCGCCUUUCAGGUACACACAUCCAUCCGUGAGAGGAGACUGAGACCAAGAACCGAGAGAUCCAGUUGGCCUAGUCCAAAGAAGUGAGAAUGUAAAAGUCAUAUCUAAGUCCAAGUCAAAAAUACAGACCGAGAGGUCCAAGUCAAAAGGCCAUACCAAGAACUCGCAAAAAAAAAAGACCGAGAAAUUAACAGCCUCAUAAGAAAACAAUUGUUUUUAUGCCCUUGAAGAUAAAUGAAUAAAUCUGUCAAUAAAAAUUGAAAUGAAUCAUGUCUAUUGUUUUCGCAUAUGCAUAGUAACCUACAAAUAAAAUAUAGUUUAAGUGAUACAAAAUACUAAUCAAUGCAAGAAAACCACUCUAUUCUUGUCCUCAUUUACAUUUACAUGCUAUAUAACACAAUAAAUUGAAGCAUUUUAAGCACACACAGAAACAAAAGUUCAAGAUUAUCACUCCCUUUAUUGCACAACAUUUGUGAUUGUCAUUGUUGGUUAAAUUGUGCUCAAGUUGAAGAUUUGAUUUUUCUUUUCUAUGACAUUGAAGUCUUCAUUUAGUGAUGAUUUCACUUUUUUAAAUGAUAAUUUCAUAUUUUCUUUUUUAAAAUUAUCGCAUGAGUGAUGGCUUUAUUUUUUUUAAAAGAAAUUGUUACUUAAGUCAUGAUAUUUUUUUUUGUCCUUUUAAAUAUUUAUUUAUGUAUGUAUAUUUUAAUUUAUAAAAUUGUAAUUAAUUUUUAAAACAUAUUAUAAUUUAUAAAGUAAUUAUUAAUACAUAAAUUUAAAUUAUUGAUGUAAUUAACUUAAAAAAUUAUUAUUUUUUAAUUAUAAUAGUGUUAUGUUUAAAAAUAAUGUUUUGGUAUUUAACUCUUUGAGAUAUAUUUAGCUUUUUUAAGAUGACAAGUUUUUAAUUGAUUCUUUUAAUUUAGACUUAUAUGGAUUAUCUAAUUAAAGUGGAUUUUUGUCAUAUAAUUUUAAAGAGUAAAACAAAAUUGUAAUAAAUUUGCUAGUAACAUUUCGUUUAAAUUCUCACUUAUGUGUAUUGAUAAUAUUUUCUACUUGUUUUCAAUUUUAUUUUUCUCUUUUAUAUUAUAUGAUAAAACUUCACUUUAAUUAUACUAUUAACCUUUGCUUAAAUUAAAAAAAAUAAAAAAAUUAUUAUCCUAAUAAUAACUAAUUACAUUUAAAAAAAUAUUAAAUAGCUAAACGUUAUUUUGUAAAAUAAAAAUAUUAUAAAUAGAAAAAUAUGAAUAAAUUUUUUAAAUAGUUAAAUCAGAAGUUUUAAGUUUUAUUUUAUAAAAAUAAAACUAAAAUUAUUGCUUAAGUGCUUAACUUCAUCAAAAGAAAUAAAAUUGUCAAUUAAGUGACCAUUUAAAGAAAAUUAAAAUCAUCAUUUAAGUGAUCACUUCGGAGUUAGAAAAUCGUUAAUUGAAUUAUAACUUCAAUAUUUUACAUAUUAAUUCAGUUUAGUUUUGAAUUAGUUUAGCUUUAAAAGUAGUGUUUUUAAACACCUCUAGAAAAAUUACCAGUGCAUGUUUGGAUUUAGGGUUUAACAGUUUUAGCAUGUUCACGAGGAGAAGUAAUUAACCUUUCUCUUUUUUCCCUAUUCUAUCUUCUCUUUUUCUACUGUUUGUGAAAAUGUGCCCAAUAUUAUUUUUCACAGUUAUGAGUGUCUUGAGAAGUUAAAACCCUUCUGCACAUGCACUGGUUCUCACACUUCAUGGGGAUGCGAGUUUUACAAUUUGUAAGAACAAUUAAUUAGGAAGAUCAUUUGAGAAAAAAAUGUAAUGAGAUGAAGUUGUUUUGAUUAAGUGAAUGGAAUAGAAAUGAACUCAAAAUUUAUGAAAGUAUAUGAUAAAAAAUAUAUUUUUUAUUAUUUAUAAUUAUUUUAUUAUUAUUAUUUUUUAAAUUUAUUAUUAAUAUAUUUACUUUAUUUUAUAUAUAUAUAUAUAUUUAAUUUAAUAAUAAUAAUUAUUUAUAUUAUAUAAUUAAUUAUUUUUAUUUUAUUAUAAUAUAAAUAUAAAUAUUAAUGAAAUAAUAAUAUAAAAUAUAAUAUAUUUUAAUAUAAUAAUUACAUAUAUAUAUAUAAUAAAACAUAUAAUAUAUUUAAUAAAUUUUUUAAAAUAUAAAUUAAAGUUAAAAGAAAUUUUAAAUUAAAACAAUAAUUGUUAUAAAAUAUUAAUAAAUAAAAAAUUAAUAUUUUAAAAUAAAAUUAUAUUAAAAUAAUAAAAUUUAAUUAGGCUUAUUUUAUUUAAUAAUUUAAUAUUUUUAUUUUAUUUAUUUAAAAGAAAACAUAUAUUAAAGAAAAAUUAAAUUAAAUUUAUUUAGUAAUUAUUGUAAUAUUUUAUUUUAUUAUAAAUUUAAUUAUUAUACAUUUUAAAAUAAAAUAUAAUAUUUAUUAUAUUUUAAUUUCCUCGCAGUUGAGAAGGGAAAGUUUGAAGAGGAAUUCUUUUUCUUUUUCACAAUUUUUCUCCUCGUUUUUUGAGCUUUCUUCUCCUAUUGCUUCAUAUGUUUCCACCUAAAAGAAAAUUGUUGCAUUUAGUUUUUUUUCUGCCUAAAUAUUUAUAUAGAUAAUUCUUGCUUCGUAUAUUUCUAAAUCAAAUAUAACAAAACUUCUUUCUUAUGUCACCAUUAAAGGAGACGAAUUGGAGAAAACUUCUUUCCAUUGUUUAUCUUCUUAUUCUCUUAUAUUUGCUAUAUUUUAUAAUAUUUUCAAUAUGAUUAUAUAUUUUCUAUCGGUGCUUAUAUAUACAUUUGCUAUGAUCUAAAAUAUUUGUUAGCAUACGAAGAGGGAGAUUAAUCAGAUUUUAAUAAUUUUAUGUAUAAAAGCACUAUAUUAUCUCAGUGAAAAAGUUUUGAUGUGAAAAUAAUAUGGAUAAGUAAAUGAAUUACUUUCUAUUUUGGUCCUAAACCUUCUAAUAUUUGUUUUGUUCGUAGAGUUACAAUUAUAUAAUGUACUAUAUUAUCCAUGAAUAGAUAUUAUUGAUUAGAGCGUAGUAUAAGUUUUAGAGUUACAAUUAUAUAAUGUACUAUAUUAUCCAUGAAUAGAUAUUAUUGAUUAGAGCGUAGUAUAAGUUUUAAGUAAUUUGUGUUUACUGAUAGAAAAUUAUUAAAUAAAAAUUAAUUUUAAAAGAAAAAAAUUAGUUAUUAUAUUGAUUAAGUUUAGAGACAAAAAAUUAUUGGUAUUUAAAAUAAUUUUUAUUAUUAAUAAAAUUUAUAAAUUAGUUUCUAAAUUGGUUUUUAAUUAACUACCAACUUUAGAAUUUGUGGUUGUUUAAUAUAAGCAUCUCAGUACAGGGAAGCUAGUAUCUUUAAUAGCCAACACGAAGAAAUUUUUCAAAAGAGGGAAAUCGAAGACAAGCUAAUUUUAUAAUUCGUCGCUGAGAGUGUUCUAAAUUUUGAUGUUGUUGUAUUUGUUAAGGAUAUUGUUGUAGUUCUUAUUACUACUAUUGAUGUUGUUGUUCAGAAAGUCAAUAAGGAUUUAUUUGUUGUUGCACCCUAUUGAUGAUAUAGGGAUUGAGUCCGGAUCUCAAGAUGAUAUUUUUGUAGAUAUGUUCUCGUUGGAGAGUGUUCAUGAGUCAAAGAUUUGCUACAAGAAAAGGACUACUUGCCCAUUGCUGACAAAAGAUUUUCACCUAAAACUGUCUCUAAUGAUUUGACCUUGCAAAAUUGUUUUGAAUCCCUUUCAGGUUUGAAAAUUGUAGUGACAGGGACCAACUACACUACCCCAAUUGAGUUGGCUUUAGACAAAAAUGUUACAUCUCAUGGUCUAACAUAUGUUUCUCUAGAUGUUGCUUUUGUGCCUGAUGUUGCCGCUCGGAAGUCUACUCUUUUGACUAUUGUGCCUGAUACAGAUGUUGCUUUUGAGACUAACGUGGUCCUCUUCUGCAGUUGUUGCUUUGUUCAUGGAAGAAUGUGAAAUUAUUGCUAAGUAUUUGAAUGAGGAUGAUGUUGUUAAAACUACUAGGAGGCAUUGAUGUGCUAUAAAAGGUUUUAAGAUAUCUACUAAUAAGAAAUGAGAGUCCUUACUUAUCUGGGAUCUUCAUCUAUAGGUGUUGUUUUGGUUCUUUUGUUUGCUCUAUAGUUUCUCUUUGGGGUUCUUCAUUAAAAGGUGAUAAAAACCUAUGUUCUGAUUAUUGGAAAUAAUAUCUAAUUUAGUAAAUAUAAUAACUAAUAAUUUUUUGCAUCUAAAAUUGGUUUCUAUUUAUUGAUUUUCUUGUAGUGAAAAUUAACAUAUGUUUGGUAAUGAUGUUAUUAGGGUUUAAGAAUAACCUAUUGAAAAUGAAGAAAAGGAACUUCAAGAAGAAAUAAGAAUAAAAAUAAGAAACAUGGAAAGAAAAAAUAAAGAAGAAGAAAUUUAAAUGAAUAUUAACUAGAGGGAGACUAAAGAAACGAAGGAGGAAAUAAAGAGACAAAAUAAAAUGUAAGUUUUUAGAGAUUAAAGAAUAUUCUAAUGUGAUUCAAUAUGAAAAAUAACCUAUUUAAGAUUAAGAAAAUGAACUUUAAGAAGAAACAAAGAAUAAAAUAAUAAGCAUGACAAGCAAAGAUAAAUAUGAUACAAACAAGGAUGAGGAAGAGCUUGUAAGAACUUAGAAAAAACAAGAAGAAAAGAAACAAAGUCGUAACCCCCUUUUCAUCCUUUCUCCCUCCCUUCUCUCUCUCUCUCCCUUCUCUCUUCAAUUUCUCUUCCAUACCUCAUCUAUUCCAAAAUCUGAUCACGCCACGCUGUAGCUGAGGACUCAGGGUACAUUUCUACCUGAUCUAAUUUUCAAACAAAGUUCCUAAAUGUUGGAGUGGUUUCCCUGUUUGAGGUAGAAUUUCCAUCAGAAUAAGGAAUUUCAGGUAAGGGAAGCUAACUUUAACUUUCAAUAGUACCCUAAGCUAGAAAAUCUGAAUGUAGAGGAGAUGUGGUCCCAAGUUUCAAUUUCUCUUGCAGGAAUGUUAUUUGAUAAAAUUUGUGUGAACAUGUAUAAAUAUUAUAUUUUGAUAGUUGGAAGUUGAAUAUUUUUUUAUGUUGGAAAAAUUAUUGAAUGGUAUGAAUUUUUAAAUGUUAUGUGAUUGAAUGAUAUAUAUUAUAUAUGAAUGAUGAAAAUUGUAUAAAUUUUAUGUCAUACAUUUGGGAAAAUGUAUUAGUUAUUGUUUGGUGUCAUUAAGUAUGAAAAACCUAUGUUUAACAGAGAUCCUCUAGCUUCACUGAUGAUUUAAGUCAUAUAGACUAAGAUAUCGGGUGGUGAGAAGUUGAUGAGGGAGUUCAUACACACUGGGUUCCGCUAUAAACAUUCGGUAUUAGAUGUUUGAACUUACCCUAAUCCUUGAUAUAUGAUUUUAGUCUCUGGUAGGGGCAUACUUAAUGAGUCUUCCGGAAGAUGAUAGAUUCAUGUGUAAUUAGCGUGAUUGAAAUGAAAUCAAAGUGUUAUGGAUUAAAAUGAAAUCCAAUGAUUGUGAUUGAAGUUAGAUCCAUGUGUGAUCUAUAUGAAUGAUGGAAUUAGUAUUGAAAUUUUAUAUGAAAACAUUUAAAGAAAUAUUUAUAAAUUAUUAGUCUGAUUGUUUUUUUUUUUUGCAUGAAUUAUGUUAUGAAAUUUCUUUUCAUUAGCUUACCCUUGUUUUUCUUAUUGUGUUUGAACUACAAUUGUACUACGUACACGAGCAGAUGAUCAAACAGGUGCAGAAGGGCCUUAAAGGCUUUAGAGUUUUGUUUUGAACUAUGGAUUUGUAAAUAUUUUUAUCUCUAUAAGUCCUAAUCAUGUAUUAGGAAUGUUUCAAAAAACUAUAAGCUUGUAUAAAAAUAUGUAGAACGUGUAUUGUAAUAGUUAGAUGUAUUUUCGGGGUGUUACAGAGCUUGUAGAAGAAAGAGAAGAUGAGUUAAGAUGACUAAACACAAGAAGCAUGACAAAGAAGAAUAAAGAAGAAAAAUUAAAAGGGAGAUUCUAAGAAAGACUAAUAAAAGGAAGACUCCAAGCUUUGGAAAAGGUGUUUAGAAGACAUGUACAUAUGUAGUUUCUUAGUGUUUAGAUGAACUUGAGAGAAGUUAGAAACUCGUUCUUUGAACUUUAGAGACAUUGGACAAAACACUUGAAGUUAAAAGUGUCUUUUGGAGAUUCAAAACUACCACAUCUCACUUCCAAGUGCACACGAAGUAGUUUGUUUCAUAUGUUACUCCAUUGAUCAAACUUUUGCAUCCAUUUAUAUACAUAUUGGUGGAAUUUGUCUAGGAAAAAUGGGUAUGAUUUUGGUGCUUCAUUGAUCUUGUUUAGAGUGUACUUUUAUUUGUUUUUAGUAUGUGUCUUUUUACUUAUUGUUUUAUAGAGUUUAUAUCUCUUUUUCUUUUUAAAAUAAACAUGAUUUUGGUUUAUUUGAAACUUGCAAACUCAUAUAAUCAAGUGUUGUAGUUCCUAACUUUUUUUUGGAUUUUCAAUAAGUAACUCGGUUCAUGUAUUAGAAGUAAAAAUGAAUCAUUAAAGGAUACUAGAAUCUUAAAAUGUAGAGACCUUGAAAAGCCAAAGGGCAAAGAAAAUUAAAGAAACCAAGUGGUUAAAAGUUAGUUUCAAAACAAAGAACAUAAUUUUCUAGUUUGUGUCCAUUGCAAUUGUGGAACUGAUUAACCUCUUUUGUGUAAGUUUUUUCUCAAAAAUUGUGUUUGUUUUAGGUAACUUUAUUUUAUACAUUUUAACAUGAAUCCAAUGAUGAAUUUGGUUGUCUAACUUUGUCUAAUUUGAGCAUCUAUUUUGGAUUUUCUUUGCACAUUUUUUAGUCAUUUUGUCACAUAUUUUGUACUAUUUUGGUUUAACUUUCUUUCUUUAUCUCUUAUAUAUUGUCAUUUGAAAUUCUUUUGAAUUUGGUCUUGUAAAUUUUCUUUUAAAAUUUUUCUUAAAUGCUUUAAGAAUUUGUGCCUCUUUCACUUGAAUGUACUAAUGAUUUGAAUUUGGAGACAAUUUUGUCAUAUUCUUUUACACAUAUUUUAGUGAAUGAGUUAACCAUCUAGCUUUUGGAAAUUUUGUACCAUUUUUAGUAAAAAUCCUAUAAACGUAUUUAGUUGAAAUACUUCUGAGAGUGAAUAGAAUAUUAUCUAGGAACACAUGUACUUGUAGUUGUUUUUUUGUGUUAUUUUCUUGUACAAUUUUUUGAACGUCUUCAAGCCCUCCCAAAGGACCAAGGGAGGUCAUGGGAAGUUUUAACUCAAAGAGGGGACACAUGACCAUGCAAGAACUCCAAGAUUUAAUGGAGAGGAAAAUGAUAAAAGUCAUGAAUACAAUGCAAUGGAAAGAAAGAGUUGAAGGUUUCAUGACAUUCAAAGGCUUCAUCGUACUAUAGGGCUGAAAGAGAAGAGUUUUACCUUGAUGGGAAAUGAGGAAAAAAGGAGGAAGAGUUGUACAUGAAGAGAAAUCACCCAACAAUAAUGUAAAAAAUCCAAAGUUUAAUGGUAGUUUCAAUCCUGACGUGUACAUAAAAUGGGAGAGAAAAUUAGAUUAAAUUUUCUUUUCUUGUAGACUUAACGGAAUGGAGAAAAAUAAAAAUGCUUCUUUAGAAUAUGAGGAUUAUUCUUUAUUUUGGUGGAGCCAAGCGACAAAAAAGGAUGGAAAUGGUAAAAGAAGGGAAAUAGUCAUUUUGAGAGUUCGAUUUGGAUUUCGUCCUUCUUUCUAUAAAAGAGAGCUGAUUUUUAAACUCCAAAGACUUUAACUAGGCCAUAUAAGUGUGGAAGAAUACUAUGAGGAGAUGAAAAUUAUCCUCAUUAAAUGUGAAAUGGAGGAAAGACUAAAAUUCAUUAUAGCAAGGUUCAUGAAUGAUCUUAACCAAGAUAUUCAAGACAUAAUGGAGCUUCAUGACUAUAGGACCCUGGAGGAACUUUUCCAUGAAGCUAUAAAAGUGUUAAUGCAACUUAAAAGAAGGAGUUCCAUAAGAGAUCUACUUCUCACUAUUUUCCAUGGAGAGACAAAUUAGGAGAUGAGGUAAAAACUCCAAAUGAUCAAGGUAGUUCUAGAUCUCUUUACUAAUCUUCUACACGUGAAACAGAUACAAUCCCCCUCAUAUUUUCCAUCACAACACAAAUUUCGUAAAAAACAAAAGAAAAAAUGUAUGUUUCAUCAGAACCCAAAUUUCAUAAAAAAUAAAUGAAAAAAAAUGUUUUAAAUGUUUGAGUUUUAGACACAUUGCAUCUUAAUGUUCAAACAUAAGGGAUGUUAAAAGACAAUGGGAAGUAUGUCCAUAAUAUUCUUCAUCUUCUCUAAAUGAAGGUUCCUCAAAUAAUAAAGAGUGUGAGUUGUCUCCAAGUGAUGGAGAUUUAUUAGGGAUUAGGGUAUGCUUGGACAUCUUAAACUUUUUUUUUCAAGAAACCCAAAAAGAAAACAUUUUCCAUUCAAAAUGCCUAAUCAUGAACAAAACUUAGACAUUCAUUAUUGAUGAAGGAAGUUGCACCAAUGUAGUAAGUCAAAUGAUGGUGAACAAGCUUCAACUUACCACCAUUCCCCAUGAUAACUUGACAAGCUACACUAGCUUAGUGUUGAAGAUGAGAUAUAUGUUAAUCAACAAGUAUUAUUAUCAUUUUUCAUUGGUAAGUUUUUUUAUAACUUUUUAUGUGAUGUUGUGCUUAUAUCAAGUAAUUUGUUAUUGGAAAAACCAUGGUAAGAAGAUAGGAAAGUCAUACAUCAUAAUUUUGUUAAUACAUACUUUUUAUUGUUCAUGGGGCAUAAGAUUACAUUAAAAUUUUUAUCUCUAAAAGAACUGAGUAUAGAUCAAAUUAAAAUAAAGUUGUAAUGAGAACAAGAAAAGAAAGAGGUGGACCUAAUGAAAGAUAAUUUACCAAAGAAAAUGUUGACCAUAAGAUCAUCUAUAAACUUUAUAAUUCUUAAACAUUUGGAUUUCUUUCUAUUUUUAUUCUUUUUCCUUAUAUAUGAAGAAAAUCAAGGGUAGAAUGGGGAUAAAACUACCAGAGGAGGGAACCAAGUACUUCAUGGAUUUUUAGAUCUCUCUAUAAUCCAAGUAAUACAAAGGAUGAAGGAGCUUCAACAACAAUAUAUUAUUCAAGAUAAGAAACCUUUGUUGUUUGAACAUUUUUUAAAUUCCAUACAUGAAGAAGCAUGUAACAUAGGGAGUUUUUCCAUAAUUAACACCAAAAUGCAUAAACAUACAUUCCAUACAUGUUUUGAACAUCAUCAUCUUGUGCAUGUUUUAAAAGAUAAAAAUAAAGAGGAUUUCACCUCUUAGAAUCAACUAUUAGGAAUAAAAACAUGCAUUCCAUGAAUACACAUGAUAUUGCUAUUAGUUUAGACUUUGACCCUAAAGGAUGAAUAAUAAAUCUUAAUAUUUUUUCUUCUUUAAUAAAUUUGAGUUGUGAUUUCAAUUUAAGUAACUUAACUCAACUCCUUAUGAUGUAGGUUCUUCAAAUUUGUGAACAAAUUUUUUUCUGAGGUCGGGAUGAUUAGGGUUGAAGAAGAACCUAUUGAAGAUGGAGAAAAGAAACUUCAAGAAGAGACAACAAUAAAAAUAAGAAGCAUGGCAAGCAAAGAUAAAGAAGAAGAAUUUUCAAGGAGAAUUCAGUAUAAGGAGGCUAAAAGAAAGGGAUGAAGAAAUAUAAAAAGGCAAAAUAAAUUGUAAACAUUUUAAUGAUUAUAGAGUAUUUUUAAAAAUAAAGAAUAUUUUAAGAAUACCUAUAUUGGAUGUCCUUAAGAAGUACAAAAUGCACAUGAAGAGUUUCUAUCUUAAACAUGUCACUUUCAAAAACAUGUGUUUGUGUGACAACUUGCCUAUGUCACUUUCAAAUGCAUGUAAAGGUUGUAACCAUUUUGAAUGUCUUUUCCUUGAAUUAAGUAAUGUCUCAUGUGCUUAUGUAAGUCACUCUCAUUUUUGAAAAUCCAUGUACUAAAUAAUAAAAGGAAAAAAUAGUUCAACAUAAAUAAAAGAUCAACAUAUAUCAAAUACAUAUCUCUCACUAAAGAUUCAAAAUAUCACAUUAUCAAUAAAUAUAUAUAUAUAUAUAAAAGUAUUUUUUCAACUCAAAUGAUAUAUAAUUUAUCUUCCAUCUCUUAAGUUUUCCUCACUUUUUACUCUUCAAUUGUAUUGUAAGUUAUCAUUCUACUUAGUUAAUAGAUUUCCAGCCAUUUUGCUUCUAUUGAUUCCAGUGUAUAUUUCAAUUUUCUUAAUACAUUAUUAUAUUCUUAUUGUUUUAUUGUUACUUUAUAUUUAAUAAUCAUUAAUUCAAAUUUAUUGGGAAAUUCCUUUCACAUUAAAAAGUAAAUAUGAGAUUAAUGCCUCAAUUUAAAUUUGAUGAGGCUUGCUAAUAUUCUUGAACUCUAUCACAUGUUUGUGUCAGUAAUGCAGUUAAUGUCCAAAGGAUCCAAAAAAGUAUUCCUAGAAUUUGUUUUGUCGUUAAGAUGGUACACCUGGUUGCUGUUGGUACCCUUCUAUUCAUAAUUACACAGAUGAAUAACAUUUUUAUCAAUUAAAAUUUAUUAAAAUUAUAAUUUUUUUUAAAGUCUAUGAUAUAUUUAAUUUAGCUUAUAAAAGUAUAUUAUAUUUAAUUAAAUUAUAUAUUCAUUACUCAAUUUUUUUUAUUUUACUUAUUCCUAUUUAAUUUUAUCCUCUUAUUUCGAUAUAUUAGUUAAAAUUUCACAUCGUAAUUUUAAAAAAAAUAAUGCUCAUAAAAAUAUUUUAAAAAUUAUAUUAAAAUAACAUCUUUAUAAAAAUCAUAACAAAUAUUGUUUUUAUUAUUUAAACUUUUUUUUGUAUGUCAACUCCAUAAAAUAUCUAGUAAAUCAAUAGCAUAUACAAACACAAAAAAGUUUGGUAGUAUAAAUAAAAAAACAAAAAAAAGUUUGUUAAAUAAUGACAAAUUGAAUGAUAAAAUAUGUAAUUAAAUAUUUUGUUAAAUGAAAUCCAUAAGAGAAAAUGAGUUUAGAAAAGUUUGACUAAGUGUAUCUGAGCAGUCUCCUCCAUAAUUAAUUACGUAGUUAAGUAUAUUUCUGAAUACAAUACAGCAGAACAAAGCACCACACACAACACAUGCACUUCACUUUGUUCGAGAGCUAUAUAUAUAUUUGCCCCCACUUUGGUGUUUGCAACAGCAACAUCAUUCCUUUCACUCACUGGAUGCCAUGUCUCUCUCACGUCUCAUCACUCCUCUCUUCUGCAGCUCUUCAACUUCAGGUUCCUUUCUCUUUUGUUCCAAAAGGGCCAUGCAAAUUUUCUCUUUUUUGAUUGAACCAUUUUUGUUUCUUUUUUUGGUGGUUGGAUUUAAUUUCAAGAGUUCGGUGAAUUGAAGCUGCUGCAUUGAACAAGUAUUUCUCAAGUUUUGGAGCAAACUUUCUCAAAUGUGAUUUUGGGUUUGUGAAUUGUGCUGGCUGGAAUUGGGGUGUUUAUUGCUUGCUUGAUUGAUUCUUUAUUUAUUUUCUUCAGUAUGAAGAGGAGAAUGGCUAUAUGACGUUGUUGAAUUAAACAAAAGGGAUAGAUAGAAAAGUGAAUUUCUCUGUUUUCUGUAUACAUACUCAACUGAAUAUUGGAAUAUGACAAAACCUUGAGGAUUUGACUUUCUAUUUUUAUUUCUGCUUAUAACAAGUUGCACUGUUCAUAUACUCGUAGGAAAAUGUAAAUCCAAAUUAAAUAUUUGGCUUGAUGUUUUUCUCCUCUCUUAUUUUCUUUUUGUUUGUUGGAUGACUCCUGUCUUGUGUGUUUAUGAAACUAACACGUCUCUUCUCUCUAAUUUUGAUUUCCCUUUCAGCAGAUUCUUUGGUGGCUGCAUCAUAUGUGAAGGAGAAAAUGGAGAGUACUUCCUGGGUAUGGCUUGCAUGUGCUGAAUAUAUUUAUAGAUAGAGAGAGAAAGAGAGGAGAGAUCAGGUUAAUCUAAUAGUAACUUCAAAAGAAUUACACACUCCUUAUCCUCACCUUUAAUUUCUUUCAAUCAAAUAGUUCUAUUGAGGAACUUAUCUUUAUCUGUUAGAUUAAAAGAAAAUGAAAACUGCAGUCUAAAGGAGUUACUCAUAGAUUGACUAUGGAGGAAUUACUUUUGCAAUAACUUGUUCUGCAAUUGUAGUUUCACUGUGAUGCUUAAUAUUAUUGCAAAAAAGAACUGCAGUUGCAAUAGAGGUCAUGAUACAGUUGCAAUGACAGCAGAAGCCUUGACAUUGCAACCACACUUGCAGUAGUAGACAAUUUUUUGAAACUUUGAGGAAAUAAAAUGUUUGUUUUAUUGCUUGCAGUGCCUUGCGGACUCAAAAGAAAAAAUCAGGAAAAUGUUCAACAAGGUUGAACUUUCGAUUUCUUCAUAUGAUACAGCUUGGGUGGCAAUGAUAACUUCUCCAGCUUCCCCUCAUAACCCACUUUUCCCUCAGUGCGUAAAUUGGUUGUUGGCUAAUCAACUCUUAGAUGGUUCCUGGGGUCUUCCUGAUCGCCAUCCAUUACUAAUGAAUGAUGCUCUCUUAUCUACCUUAGCAUGCAUCCUUGCUCUAAAGCAAUGGGGUGUUGGAGAAGAUCAAAUUAACAGGGGUACUUUACUCUUCUCCUAACCGUUAAUUUCUCUGGUGCUAUAUAAAUGAAGUUUCUUGAUAUUCCUCCAGGUCUUGAAUUUAUUGAGUCAAACAUUACCUCAAUCAAAGAUGAGAAGCAGCACCUUCCCAUAGGAUUUGGUAUCAAUUUUCCUUCUUUGAUCGAAUAUGCACAAAAUUUGGGCAUUAAUCUUCCAAUUGGAGCUACACUAUUGGACACAAUGGUCCAAAAUAGAGAAAUAGAACUCCAAAGGUAGAAUUUUGGUUGUCUUUCAAGAUAUUUUUUCCUGUCUAAGAAAUAUUUCUGAUUUUAGAUCCUUUUACCAACUUUUUUAUGCCAAGAAUUUAGUAGAGACAUCUUGUUUUUCAUUUUGCUUAAAUUCCCCAAUCUGACCUCUUUCUGGUGUAACUGUCCUCAGAGGUACUGAAAGCAAUUCAGAAGGGUGGAGGGCAUAUCAAGCAUAUGUUUCAGAAGGAAUGCUGGAUUCACAAGAUUGGAAAACAAUCAUCAAAUAUCAAAGAAAGAAUGGAUCUUUGUUUAAUUCACCUGCUACAACAGCAGCUGUUUUUCAGCGCCUUAAGAAUGCUGAAUGUCUUGGUUACCUCCAAUCUGUACUAGAAAAGUUUGGAAAUGCAGGUAUGUUUCCAGAAUUGUAUGUAUCUUAAUUUAAGUUUAUUUACUAUUUUUCGUAGGGUAAUUGCUUUUUUUUGUUUUUGUUUUCAAAUCAGUUCCCACAACUCACCCUCUGGAUAUAUAUGCUCGUCUCUGUAUGAUUGAUAGUCUUGAAAGGUUGGGUAUUAAUCAUCAUUUCAAAGAGGAAAUUCGUAGUGUAUUGGAUGAUACAUACAGGUAAUAAUCCAUUUGAGGUGCAUGCAUCUGUUAUUAACAUUAUAGGUAGGAAAAAAUUAUACGCAAGUGAUGAAAAUGUAGAGAUACCAUUCUAUUCAAAGUAUUCAGCAUCCUUUGAUAGUAAGUUUGAAAAACACUCAAAGCAUUCGUUGAAGCACAGAAACUUCUCAUUUUCAUCCCUUGAAUCCCUCUGUAUAUGUAAUUUGUGAAAAAAAAAACAGAUUUUGGGUGCAAGGAGUGGAAGAUAUAUUCUUAGAUCCCACCACCUGUGCAAUGGCAUUUCGUAUCUUGCGUCUCAAUGGCUAUGAUGUAUCUUCAGGUUGGAUCAUUUGUAACAUUUAAGCAGUUCAAAGUUUUUAUCUUUCUGACCAGGACCAAAUAAGCUAAUCUGUAUGGUGUGUCUUCGCAGAUCCUUUUUAUCAAUAUUCUGAAGAUAAAUUUGGUGACUCCUUGAAAGGGUACUUGAAGGAUGUUGGUGCUGUUAUAGAGCUAUAUAGGGCUUCACAAACCAUUAUACAUCCUGAUGAAUCCAUUUUGGUGAGACAGAGUUUGUGGACGAAACAGCUUCUGAAGCAGGAAUCCUCCCCUUACAGAUUAUAUGCUGAUAAGCUUCGUAGUUAUGUCGACCAAGAGGUAGUUUCUUGUUUUAGUCUUUCAAAAACUUGAGUUUCCUAUUAUACAAUCUUAUAAUCUCUUGAGAGCGGUGAGUUUUUUUUUUGUAUUUUAGGUCAAGGAUGUUCUUAGUUUUCCUCAUCAUGCAAAUUUGGAGCGAUUGUUAAACAGGAGAUCAAUGGAGUAUUACAACGUAGAAGAAACAAGAAUUUUAAAAUCAUCGUAUAGGUGGUCCUCUGCUAGUUUGUUUCAAUUGUCUCAAACUCUCUUUUGUUCCUUUCUCUUUUCAGAGAUCAAAUUAUUGAUUGUUAGUAUGAUCCAGAUCAUGCAAUCUUGCAAACCAAGAAAUUCUAAAGCUAGCAGCAGAAGACUUCAAUAUCUGCCAAUCAAUACACAUUGAAGAGUUGAAACAGCUUUCCAGGCAUGUCUUUCUUUUCUUUUCCUCUCCUCAAAUUUUUCAAAGAUGUACAUUUAGCCAGAGAUCCAUAUACAAGAUCAUAAUCAUUUCAUUAUAUCUUAAGGUCUGGUAGUGCAAACCACAAAGAAUUUGAAGUGUAUUUUCCUCCCUCAUUCGUGCUUUCUCUUCUGGCUUGAUGUCAUUGAGGAAUCUGGGUUCUUUUGUCGAUGUUACUAUUUAUGCUUAGUUGUGUAGAAAAUUUAUUCAAAUAUGCAUCAUAAAGAUAGCAUCCACUCACAUUUCGAUUUAGGAACAUUCAUUUUAUUGAAUUCAAAUGUUUGAACACACAAACUAGGAGAUUUUAUUUUACGAAUUCGGGAAUUGAAUCAGAAUUGUAGGACAAAUACUAAGUCACGUCAGAUCCCUAACAAGGAGUCUCCUCCUUCAGACCAACUUCAGCAUAUUAACACAGUGAAUCAGAACUGUUACCUACUUAGGAAACGCACACCUAACUUCCAUACUACACAUCACAUAACUGUCAUGUCACAUUUUUCAAGUUUGAUCUAAAUGUACUACAUUAUCAUAUGCAGAUGGGUUGUUGAGAGCAGGCUAGACAAACUAACAUUUGCCAGACAGAAACUGGCUUAUUGUUACUUCUCCGGUGCUGCUACACUUUUCUCCCCUGAACUUUCUGAUGCUCGCAUAUCCUGGGCGAAAAAUGGGGUGCUCACAACAGUUGUUGAUGAUUUCUAUGAUGUUGGGGGUUCUGAAAAGGAACUAGUGGACCUUAUUCAACUAGUUGAGAAGUAUAUUCCUAGUAUUAUAAACGGCCACCUCUUGAUUUCUUUCUGAAUUCUAUCACAAAUUUCCUGCACAACUAGUGAUAUUAUUACAAUUAAACUGCAGGUGGGAUGUAGAUAUCAACACUGUUUCCUGUUCUGAGACAGUUAAGAUCAUAUUCUCCGCAAUUCACAGCACAGUUUGUGAGAUUGGAGAGAGAUCAGUCAAGCGACAAGGACGUAAUGUGAAAAACAAUGUUAUCAAGAUUGUGAGUCAUUUCUUCAUGUUUGUGCCUGCAUUUUAUUUUCAAUACAUUCAAUUAUCAAUGGUGUUAUAUUUUGGGGAAUAUAAAAAAGUGAAGCCCUGAAUCUUUUCUGUCUCUCUGCCUCAAAUAAAAGAAAAUUUCUAAUGCUAAAUAUUGUCCUUGAAAAACCUUAAGAGUGAUCUGUUCUGCAUUUUAAUGAAAUGUUGGUUUGGCUCUUAUUUAAAAAAAUUACUUCAAUGGCAUGAAAAUUUGCAUUGGAGUUCUUCGAGUAAAGAUUAUCUCUUAACCAAUAGGCUGAAUCUGUCUACUUUUUACAGUGGUUAGAUCUGAUUCAGUCAAUGUAUAAAGAAGCUGAGUGGUUGCGAACAAAGACGGUGCCAACAAUUGAUGAAUAUAUGGAAAAUGCAUACGUAUCAUUUGCCUUAGGUCCAAUUGUACUUCCUGCCCUCUAUCUUGUUGGACCUAAGCUUUCAGAUGAAGAUGCUGAAAGUCAUGAGUUGAACCAUCUGUAUAAGCUCAUGAGUACAUGCGGUCGUGUUCUUAAUGACAUUCACAGUUUUAAGGUACGUAAUACAUCCCUGCUCCUUGGUUACUUCCAGGUUUUAUUGUGACUAAUGUUUUUAUCUCUGUUGUAGAGAGAAUCUGAGGAAGGGAAACUGAAUGCACUGGGUCUGCUCAUUGCUCAUGGCAAUGGAGUUUUUACUGCAGAAGAUGCUAUUGAAAAACUGAAGGGUACUGCUGAGGAAAAGAGAACAGAACUCCUAAGACUAAUUUUGCAUGAAAAAGGAAGUGUUGUUCCCAGAGAUUGCAAGGAUUUGUUUUGGAAAAUGAUAAAAGUUUUACACCUAUUUUACUUGAAGGAUGAUGGAUUUACUUCAAAUGAAAUGUACUCUAGUGUAAAGGCCGUGAUUAAAGAUCCUGUUAUCUUUGAUGAACUAUUAGCUCGGCAGCAGAACCUUAAUUAUGUCGAAGCUAGUAAUGUGAUGCCCCAGUCCAGUUAGUACUUGCACAUGCAAGCAAGACCUGCUAUGAGUAAAAGGGCCCCAAUCUUUCCCAACUCUUACUGAUUAGUUUUUCUUUGUUUUUCCUUUCUUGAAUCUUGUUCAUGAUGAUCAAUUCCUUUUGUCUUUUGGUUUAGUCUCUUAAUAUCAUGUUAUCAAUUGCUUUAUAUUGACCCCCUUCAUUUGGGACCUGCAUAGUGACUAAAGUUGGGCUAAAUUUUAAAAAAACAAAACCCUUGCCAUGAAAUAUGAAAAUUCUAGGGUUUGUUUGAUUGAUACACAUGUCAUUCUAAACAAAACUCUGACUGUUUCUUCCUGCACCUCCAUAACUUCUUUUCUUCUACCACCUCCAUACACAAUAUGAAAAUACAUUUUUAUCAUUUUUUGUCAUCCCCAUAAACUAGUUUCUGGAUUAUAUAAUCCGGAACACAUUUGAAAAAAAGACUUCCGGAUUACAUAAUCCAGAAGCUAAAUAAGACUUCUAGAUUAUGUAAUUCGAAAAGUAAUAAUAAAAAAGUUUCUGGAUUACAUAAUUCGAAAGCUAAUUAUAAAUUUGAAAAAUAACUUUUAAAUUACAUAAUUCGAAAUAUAAUAAAGGGGUAUUUUUGGAAAUUCAAAAAUAUAUGGAGGUGAGAGAAGAAGGUAUGGAGGUGCAGAAAGAAACAGUCCAAAACUCUUUUCUUAAAACUCUGAAUGUCAUUAAGAACACGACCCAAAAUUGAAAAUUGACUAUAAAAGACUUGCUUAUUUAUGGGUGGACUAGUUAAUAAAAACAUUUAAAUAAAUAGAAUAUUAAAAUAAAAAGUAAAUAAAUAAAUAAAAAUAUCAUAUUUGACUCUACCUAUUAAUAUCUUCUAUGCGUGUAUACCACCAAAGAAAAAAAAUGAAUUAAUUCAGCUAUCUAGUACUAGCUUCAACAACAACAAAAUUAUCCAAAAGACAUAUCCACCUCACUGAUCAUCUCUAUACAUUAGUGUAUCCUAAACACUGUAUUAUUAUUUUUAUAUAAAAUAAAUAAAACCCAAAAUUUGACACUCAUUUAUGUUAGUAUUUAAAAAAAAAAUACUUUGCUUUUGAUUAGAAACUAUGAUUAAAAACAAUGAAAAGAACUUUUUAUGCAAUAUUCGACCAAAUACAUUAAACCCUCAUCUUUUCAAGAUUUAAGGAUUUCACUCCAAUACCAUCGCGAAAAAUACUAAAGAACUCAUGUUUUGGUUCCUUCUACUUAAUAACAUAUGUUCUUUUCUCACCUUUAUAAAUUUUUAUAUUUUCAAAAAUAUCAUAAUAUUUUUAAAAAUAUCGUAAUAUUUCAGAUUAUAUAAUGAAAUCUUUUUUCAAAUUCGUAAUUAUCUACCAGAUUUCAUAAUCUGAAAAUAUUCUUAUGAUUAGUUUCCAUAUUACAUAAUAUAGAAAAAAAAUUUAACCUCUGAAUUAUAUAAUCUGAAAGUCUAGAAAAUAUGGUUAGUUUUCAAAUUCGUAAUUAUCUUUCAAAUUUCAUAAUCUGAAAAUAUUCUUUAGAUAUAUGAUUAGUUUCCAUAUUACAUAAUAUAGAAGUUUUUUUUAACCUCUGAAUUAUAUAAUCUGAAAGUCUAGAAAAUAUGGUUAGAGAAACUAUAUGUGGAGCAAUUAGACAUAAAUUGAUACCGACUCCGCAGAAUUUGGUGACGUCAACUCCAUUAACAACGACUGGUGAAUUUUUUUUGGAUUACAUCCAUUAUCUCAAGUUUUGGAUCAAACUAAUCAUUGACCAAAAUAGUUCAUGGGAGAAAAUUGAGUUAUUUGGGUCCUGGAGGAUUGAUGAAAGUCUUUUUUAAAUAUGAGUGGCACAAGAAAAAUACACAUCGGGGGUGCCAGAAGUUUUGUAUGGGGUGACGAAGAACCUAGGUGCAGGAAGAAAGAGUCUCACUUCAAUAUCUAUGGCUAUUUUGAUUUUUCCCUACAGUUAUUUUUGUUGCUCUGGUCUCAUCUAUUAUAAUAGAAUCUCUAAGGAAAGCAAAAUCAAAAUGACUUCUGAACAGAAAACUUAAUUCACCCGAAUGUAUGUCUGUAAAAUCAAAUUAUAAAAUUGUUUAAUAGAUCCAAUUCCAUAGUAGAUUAGAACAAAUAAAAUUAAAAUUUUAUAAAUCAAUCAAAUAUCAAACCCUUUUGAUUAACACUCAAUAUUUUUAUAUUUUAAAACUAAUAUAAAGAAAACAAUUUAAAAGACCAAAACACAUUUAAAUCUACUAUAUACUACAAAUGAACCGAUCGAACCAAGCUCAGUCUUUAACUUUUUUAAACAAGCAAACUAAACAAUUAAACUAAACAAUUCAAUUUUUAAAGAUGUUUAAAUUAGUUCAUGUGUUCAGUUUUACCCAAAUUUACUAUUAUCAUAUCAAUUUGAGAAAUUAAAGAAAAGCUUACUGUUAAGGACCAUAAAAUAAAUAUUUUUAGGGUCUUAUUUUUGUUAGGAAUAAAUUUAAACAGGUAUUCAACUAGACUCGUUAUGCCACUGGUUAGGGCACAUGCAGGCUACAUGCACAUUAUAUUAUUCCUAUCCAAAAGUUUUUUGCGGCAAUAUGGAUAACAAUAACAUUUACUUAACAUGAAAACAUGCAAAAUAUAUUUAGGUAAGUCCAUGACACACUUGACACACAGUUGACAAAACAAAACCUAAUGGGCAUAAAAAACUCACGAAAUCAAUGUUCUUCCUUCAGAACCUCAGGAAAAAAAUUUCACAAUGCUCUAUCGGAAGUAUAGACUUCAAUUCGCUUGACACAGCAGCAACAUGUUGCCACUAACCCAAUAACAUAGUUCCCUUCUUUUAUGGUUUACUGCAAGGGAUUAUAUCACCGCUUAUGAUUUGGGAUGGAUGGUUUCACACAUCAAUAGUAUUUCUUUUCAUAAGAAACCAGCCCAUGAACUCCACCUUCAACCUGUGCUGCUCCACUCCGCACCUGAGAAGAACAGACCAAAUAUUAAGAACAGAACAUAUACAUCAAAGUUAUAGUUACGGGGACCAAUUUACUGGGACCAAUUUACUAAGUUCUGUUGAUGCAAAACACUUGCACACUCAACAAAUAGAAGAGUCUCCCCCUAGACAAACCACAAUUAACUAACAUAACCCGGUUGAACAAGGCUCAUUGAACACAGUCUUACAUAUGCAAAAAAAAUUGUUUACGUUUUGUUUUUAAAUCAAUGGAAUCCAUUCAGGGGACCUAGAAUUUUAAGGAAACAAUAAUCGCUUGUUGUUAAAUUCAAGGCGUAUUUAGAGCCGAGAAAAUGGAUCUAUUUGAGUCCUGACUUCCAUCAGAUUAAUCCUUUCUAAUCCAUCCUAACAAAUUGCCGCAAUUUCUUUUAGUACUUAUUAUCUUGCUUUAUUAGUUUAAGAAUUCAAUGGUAAAGAAAAGGGUUUUCCUUUCAGAACUACAGUAUCCUAGCUUUUCCACAAAGCCAAAUAGAUUGGUUCAAUAGGAAAUGGGGAGGCAGUCAACAAAUAGCAUCACCAUUUUUAUAGUGCAAAUAAAGAAUCUUCAUUGAUAUCUAAUGCAAAUAGCCAGAGCAAGAAAUAAAUAAUUAAAAGUGACAUAACCAUACCUCCAGUCUUAACACCCUGGACCUUAGAAGGUCAUGAGCAGACUCUAGAGAAGAGGCACCUAUAUCCUGGAACCCUUGCCUGACAGCUUGCAAGGUGUAUGGUAUGAAAUUCAAGACAGAACCCUUAUCCUUAACAGCUCCAACAACCCCCUGAGCAAUUUUUAGCUUUGCUGUAUCACCCAAGUACCUUGCAUCACUCCCUUUAGUCAUGGCUUCUAGGGAACCCAUUCCUCUAUACUUUUUGACACGUAUACCAUUCUGGUGCAGAAAUGGUAGUUAGUAAUGCAUAUAAAUACCAUAUUUAUUCUUGUUUGAGCAUGUAACAAGUCAUGAGCAAAAGAAAGAGGAAUGAACAAUUUAACGAAACUAAGAGAUAGAGAAGAAACGAAAUCACAGAGAGAGCCAGUGUCAGAGAGAUACAAACAUAUUUUCAGAAAUAUAAAAAUCUAACAUACAGUUCCUAGAAGAAGAACAAAAAACACAGUCUUUCCCUGUUCUCUAUUUCUAAAGAGAUUUUCUUUACAACACUAUAAUACUACACAUGCUGAGAAUAUAUUUAGGGUAUAAAGACACAAAAAGGAAAUCACAAGCUUUACAAUAUUCCAUCGGGCCUUCAUAAAUACCUGAUAUACAUAAGCACCAGGAGCCUCAUGGCUACCAGCCAAGAAGCUUCCCAUCAUAACAGUAGACGCUCCCAAUGACAAAGCCUUAACAAUAUGACCAGAGUUUGAGAUGCCACCAUCGGCAAUGACAGGAACACCACUAUUAUGUGCAAUGGACGAGACCUUGUAAACAGCAGUUGCCUGAAAUGCAUACACUCAAAUGGUCAGUAAUAAGAAUUAAGGCGUUGAAUACCUUACUUUAAAUAUUUGUUAUAAAAUAGUGAUAACAAAACGCUUGCCCACUUCACCAUUUCUUGUUUUCAAACAUCUUUACAAGAAACAGUAAAAAUAGUUUCGCAAAUAUUCAGUACAGGAAACAAAUCCUGUCAAAAGACCAACGACAAGUAUCAAACAUCAUCAAUCCCAACAGUUGAUCCAAUCCUCAAAAAAAGAUUCAUUGAUCCCCGACUCCAAUCAACACAAAAUCUUAUCACAUCUCAAAGUCAAACACAGCAGACCAAGGUUCUAAAACACCAUCCAUGACACAAUUCUGUUUACAACAUCAAGGAUUUUGGAGUCUCUAAGCAGCAAAACAACAACCUCAACAAAUCACACUUAAAUUUGUUGUUAAGGGAACUAAUGAGUUGGGCUCAAGUGAUUAACAUACCGACCCAAAGUUAAACCGUUCGAGCACUUGUCGAGUUCGUUCCUCGGCAAAAACAAUAUUUGGUCAGACUUUACUUGCCUCGAAAUUAGUUUUAAGGCGUAGCCUUCAUACUUAUGGAUCAUGUCCAUGAACAAAAAAAAUAUUUGACGCUAACAAAGAUCAAUCAGUAAUCAAUAACCAUUCAAUCAAUAAAGAAUCAAUCAAUGAUCAAGCAAUAACCAAUGAAUGAAAGAUCAAUUAAGGAAUCAAAUAUACCUGACCACGUCCCACAGCACAAACCUCCUGGGUGGUACAAAUGGACCCAGACCCCAUACCAACCCUCAACCCAUCAACCCCAGCCUGAAUCAAAUUCUCGGCCUGGUACAUAGUCACAACAUUCCCACCAAUCACAUCAAGCUCAGGGUAGACACUCUUCACAUACUUCACCAUCUCCAACUGAUAAAUUGAGUUCCCUUGAGAACUAUCCAACACAACAACAUUCACCCCAGCUUUCACCAAAUGCUUCAACCUCUCCUUAUCAUCCUCCCUCGUCCCCAUCGCCGCCCCCACCAUAAACUCCCCAUCUGGCCCCACCGUCGCUGGAGCCGCCAAUUUGGGGUACCCCUUCACCCUCUCUACUUCCUCUCUCACCACCAAAUCCACCACCCCACCGUCCCUCUCCAAAGCCACUGCACCACUCUUCUCACCCUCCAUGAUCUCAUGAAUUUUGUUCAGGUCUGCGUUCCACGGCGCGCCCCGGGGCGGAGGAGCCAUGUAGUCGCCCACCCUUAAUCCCUUGUCGUUUUGAUUAGUCCAGUCGCGCUUCGCGACAUAGCCGAGGAGCUUACCGCCGGCGGCGCCUGUGUCUGUGACGAGGAGAAAGGGGGACCCCGCGAAGUCGUCCUCGUGCUCGAUGAUGGCGGAGGGGGUGGCGAAGACGGGGUCGGAGAGGAUGGGGACGCGGCGGGACUUGGCAGCGCGAAGGAGAGCGGCCUGGGCGGCGGCCGGAACGUUGGAGUGUACGACGGCGAUGCCUCCUAGGGAGGCCAUGGCACUGGCCAUGGCGGACUCGGAGACAGUGUCCAUGGGUGAGGCAACGAGGGGGACGGCGAGGGGGAGGCGGCGCGUGAGGCGCGUGGAGAGGUCAACGGCCUCGGCGGCGAAGUCGAUGUAGUGGGGCAGGAAGAUGACGUCAUCGUAGGUGUAGGAGAAGCCCUGCGUGAAGAGCUUAUCGGCGGCGAAACCGUCCUCGAACGGCAGUGAAGUGGAGUUCAUUGUGGCUGCCGGAAAGAGGGUUCAGCUAGGGUUUACCGGUUUCGGAGUAUUUAAAAAAAAGAAAAAAAUGGUAAAAUAAUAAUAUUAAAAUAAAUUAUUGGUUUACUUGAAAUUUACUGGUUUUGAAAAGAAUAAGAAACUGUGGUCUAUGGGCCGGAAGACUGAUGAAUUUAUAACCGAUGGAGUAGAAAGAGAUAAGAUAAAAAAUUAUUUUUAUUUUUAUUAAAGUACGUACUCAUCCCGUUAUAAAAAUAUUUUGUCUUGUUGCAACGUAUUAUUCACUAAAAAUAUUAAUUAGUUUAUUUAAGAUUUUUAUUUUUAUUUUCGUUUUCGUUUUCAUCUUUAUUUUUAAUUAUUAAAAUUUCUAUUACUAACUUUUUGCAUUUAUAAUGAGAAGGCAAUUUGCAACCAUAAAACUCUAAUUUGAGAUCUUAUUAAGAAAAUUAAGUUCAAUAUAUAUUUAAGUUAUUAUGUUAUUAAUAAUUUUGGUUUACAAUAACACUAAAUAUAUAUUUAAUUUAUUAUGUUAUUAAUAAUUUUGGUUUACAAUAACACUAAAUAUACUUUUGAUAAAAUCUAAACUUAAUUAUAAGUAAAGUUCUUAAUUUUAGCUAUUAAACUUUAUCAUCUAAAUUCAAACAUACCAAAAAAUAUUUGUCUACGUUAUCUUCUCUUUUUAAAAAAAAUCAAUUAUUUUUAUACCAUACUUGGAAUAUGAGCUAAUACCUAAUUAAGUACUUGAUGAAGAGGAUACUUUAUGGUAGUAUUAAAAAGUCUAACGUCUAAAUGUCACAUAAUGGUACAUUGUCAUUUAGGCGAUGUGUUUGUUGAGCAUGGAUCUUCUAUUAGGUGAUGAGUAUCUCGGUCAUACGAUGUCAUCUCUAUCAAGCCUAACGAGAUUGGCGAGAAUGACAAUUUUGUUACUAAAAUUUUGGGAGAUUGAGCCACAACUAAAAGAAGGUUGCAAGUAGUAAAUGGUGGAUGACAUAUUAGGUCUCAAGAUUCUUGUGGUCUUAUCAUGCGACUCUUUAGUCGACAACCAGAGACACCAUCCAACAUCAUGUACAUGACAUGCAAUGAUACCAAAUGAGAUACAUGAGUCUUCCUUCUAAGUAAGUAAGUUUUCCCCCACAAACUUGGAGGAAGGUGUACGAGCAACCUUAUACAUGAUUGACGAAGUCAGAAAAUGUACUAGAAUAAGAGGAUAAGCCUUAAAGCAACUCAUACAAAUGAAUCAUAAACCUAACUUGUCAAGAUAAUUCAAGGUAUCGAAUUUAGUAUUACGAAAAGUACAACUUAACUAGAGGGAGAAUAUCAUCUCACCAAAAUGGGUUGGACCUUAUAGAGUACAAGAAGUGAUAAGCAACAAAACAUACAAAUUGGAAACAUUGGACGGGGAUCUAAUCCCUCGGACAUGGAAUGCAGUAAAAUUACAUUUCUAUUUCAAUUAAAGUGAUGUAAACACAGAUCAACGUUGUUUUCCUUCGAGUUUUUUCAUAAACAUUUUUCUCAAGGGUUUUUAAUGAGGUUGUCUUAUUCAAAAAAAUUCCAUGUUACCAAUUUUUUUUACAGUGAUGUGAAUACGUUAACCUUACCAGGCAACAUCGACCCUAGUCCGAUUGGAGGCUAACAUUAUUAGGUAGCAUCAAUCCUGGCUUAGUUGGAGGUUGACCUUACCAGGAAGCAUCAACCUCAACUUAACUGCAGGAUGACCUUAUCACGCAGUAAUGACCCCAGCUUGACUGGAGACUGACUUUAUCAGGCAGCAUUGACCCUAACUCAAGUGGGGACUGAUUAUGAGCAACAUCGUAAAACCUAAUUAAAUCAUUACAAUGAUUGAAAUUGUUUAAGUUUGUUUGUUAUGGUUUAUUACGAUUAUUUCAUAUUGAUAUUGUUAAGGGCAAUUAUUUGCACCAUUUUCAACGAUACUGAAUCUUUUCAUUAUGACAAUUAUACUUAUUGUUAAUUGGAAAGUGAACAUUUUAUUUAAGUGACUACGCAAUCUUAUAAUCAAAAGGAAUACUAGAAAAAAAAUGAAUACAUGAUCUUGUUAGGCAAUUUACUAAUUGAUAAUGAAUACAUGAUCUUGUUGAUUGAUCUCAGUUACAUUAAACUUGAGGCAAUCCAUUUCUUGUUGAAGCUCUUGAAGUUGUUUUCCUCUUUUCUCUUCAACCACAGAUACCUUUUUUGCCCUUUUAUUGGUUGAGCAUGCUAAUGAAGUAGCCUUGCUCAGGAAACCUUGGAAACCUUUACAAAGCAUAAUCAAACUCUACUUCUCCAACAUUGACACAUAUCCUUCCAACAAAUUGUGCGCUUGACUGUGGAUGACAAAGUUGAAUUGGGAAUCCCAUAAGCUUCCCUUCUCUCUGAUGCAAAUGACCUUUGGGAUUAUAAUUUUUCCAAUUAGUAUCUCCACCUCUGAUCUUUGACCGUUAAAUUUGAGUUAGUAGAAGGAGUGGGAACAUGAUCUGCAAUGCCUUUCCUAGCCCUCUUCUUUCAAAAUUGGGGAUCAAAUGGAGUUACCUCAAUGUUCUCGAAAUUGAUGACAUGUUACUUGGCCUAACACUAGUAGGGAACCUACCUUAUACAUUCUUCAAUGCCUUCAUUUCCUUGAACCGACCAAGCAUUUCUUUUUAGGAAAAAACCAUUUGAUUGUCUACAUACAAAAACAAAAUAUUUUAUCAAUAUUAACUAUAUAAACAAAUAUAAAAUAUAAAUCAAGGAUGAGGAUAUACCAAUAUAAGCUUUUAAGUAUGAAGUGAGUACAUAAAAUUCGAAAAUUCGCACAAAGGUCCAACUGUUACGAUAAAGUUAGGCAAGGACAACAUUCAUCACAGUAAUAAUUUUCUUUUCGAAUAAAUUUAAGGGUAACCUUAAACCUAGUUCGAUAAACACAAUGUCAUCGAAAAAAAACAGAAGAGACUCUUAACGUCAUCGUCUUUGAAAGAACUCUAACUUUUUUUUAUGAGAUAUAACUAGAAUUUUCUCUCAAUAUAUCCAUUUUAACCCAUGAAUAGAAUGUACCUUUAAGUCAUGAAAAACUCAAUAAAUUAUGACAGGGAAAAAACACAAUAAAAGAAAACAAAAUCACUUUUAAUUACCUCAUUUCCUCAUCUUCUUAAUGAAUUUACUCUUUUCAUCUUAAAAAAACAACACUUAUUUUUUAUAAGAAUACUAAUAAUAAAAACCAUUUCAACCAAAAUUUACUAUAUAAAUUAUUUUAAUAAAAUGUAUUUUCUAUUUUUAAGAAAAAAAUUCAAAAUAUUAUACCAGAAAUUGAUUCCGAAGAAAUUGAAUUUCAACUGGUUUCCAUAACGAUUUGCAAACAUUUCAUAUUAAAAAUUUAAUUAAAUACAUAAUUGUAAUCACUUAAUUCUUAAUCUUUUUAAAAGUAACUUUUUCUUAUACUUUCAGUUUUUCUAAAAAUAUAUGAUUGAGUGUUUUAAUAAUUAAAAUAAUUAUAACCAAAAUUUAUUAUAUAAAUAUAACAAAAAUCAAUUUCUAUUUAUUAAAAAAUCAAAAUAGCAAAUUGGAAUUGAGUUCCUGAAAACUGAAUUUCAAUUACAAUAAAAAAAUUAUUAAAAAAAUAAUUACUAUAUUAUUUAUAUAAAUUAAAAAUAAUUUAUAUCUAAAAUAAUUUAUAUUAUUAAUAAAAAAAAUUAUAAAUUAAUUUUUAAAUUAAUAUUUAAUUAACUAAUAAUUUUAUUAAAAUAUUAAUAAUUAAUUAGAUAUAAUUUAAAAAUUAAUUUAUAAUUUUUUACUGAUAAAUAAAAAUUAUUUUAAAUAAUUUUUAAUUUAUAAAUAAUAUAUAAUUUAGUUAAUAUAAUAAAUAACUAUUUAUAGUUUCUAAAAUUAAUUUUUAUUUAACAAUUUUUUAAUAUAUUGUUAUUAAUAAAAAAUUAGAAACUAAUUUAAUAACUAAAUUCUUGAUAAUGAAUGUUAAAUAUAAAUAUAAAAAUUAUAUAUAAAUUUUUAAUAGUAAUAAAAAUUACUUUAAAUAUUAAUAAUUUUUAAUUUUUAAAUUAAUAUCUAAUUUAAUAAAUAUAGUAACUAAUUAUUUUUUUUAAUGGUUAGUUUUUGAAUAAAAUUUACAAACAUAAAAGAUUAAUAUUUUUAAUUAAUCACAAAAUUAAAAAAAUAUUAUUUUUUUAAAAUAUAAAGAAAUUUUCUGAUGAUUAAAAAUUAUUUGAAAAAAAAUGUAGAAACUAUUUGUAAUAUUUUAUUUUAAAAACCGAAAUUUGAUUUAUGAAAAAUCUAAUUUCUGCUUAUUAAGUGGACAUGACACACAUUAGAUAUUUAGAAUUCUGGUUCUUCCAAACCGAUUAUAAUUGAGCAGAGUAAAACACGCUAAGUUUAUACGAUUUAUAUUAUAUUAUUAUUUUCUUCAUUAAAUUUUUGUCAACAAAACAUAAUCUCAUAAAUAUUUGUAGAAGAGAAAAAUAAUAUUUCUUUUAAAGAUAUUUCAUUUUCUAUGAUAAAUUGGAUGGUCUCAAAUAUAUUGAUAAACAAAGAUAAAUUUGUUUUGGAGAUUAUGCAAAAAUGUGUUAAAAUUUUAAAAUAAUACUAAAGCCAAACGAUAUAGAAAAAUAAUAAAAGAAACUGGCAAAUGCAAAAAGCAUAAAUUAUUGAAAAAUAAAUUAUUGGAGCAAAUGUUUAAUUAUGUUUAGGAUUUAUAUAAAGUGUAAAGAAUCUAUUCCUAAAGUUUUGAUCUUCAAUAUUCAAAAUUGAUGACAGAGUGAUAUUUAUUCUUUAAGUUUCUUUAAAUAUCCAACAUUUAGAAUUUAUCAUUUUUAAUAAAAAUAAUAUAAAUACUAAAAUAUCUUUCUGAUCGAAAAUAUGCAAAAUAUAAACUGUUUCUACUCGGAUUGAAAUAACUUGAAGGCAUCAGUUAUUUUGUAAAAAAAAAAAACAUUUCCGUUUAUAACAAUGACAAUUUUUUUAUUGUAAAAUAAUAGUAAUUUUUUUAUAUAUAAAAUUUUAUAUUAAAUAUCAUUAUGAAAUUUGACAUAUAAUUUAAUGAUUCAAUAAUUAUAUUAUUAAACAAGAAAAAAAAAGAGUACAAUUAAGUAUGUGAGAUUAAAAAAAACUCAUACCUAAGAAAUAAAUAUAAAUCUAGAUCAAAUAGAACAUAAGAAUUAUAUAGUUAUUAAAAAAAUAAAAAUUGAGACAAACAAAAGAACAACAUCAAUUAAAAGAGAUCACAUAAUCAUUGAUAAACAAAAGAACACACCAAUAAAAAAAAAAACAAGAUAAUCAUUUUUUCUUAACUUGACUAUAUAUAUAACAGAUUUCUUAACACCUUUAAACGAUCAAUCUUUUCAAAAUUCGCACAAAAUCAUAAUCAUUCUUUAAAGAGAUUAUUUUAUAUCUACUAUAUAUACAAUAUAACUUUUUAAACUAAAAAAUAAUUUCUAAAGAAAACUCCUCUUGAAGUAAUUUAAUAAUUUCCUAACGUCCAUUAGGUAUCAUGAUCCUCACUUGUCUUUAAUAAUAUUUUAUUUUGCACAUUUAAAUAAAAAAAGAUUUGUCCAUAAAGAAUUAUUGGAGUUAAGAGGUGUUAUUCCAACUCAUCCAAUGGUGAAGUGAUUCGACAUUUAUACUUUUUAAAUCUAACCACAUUAAAGUAAUAAUAUUAAACCUUGUUUCUACAAAACGAUUCUCAACGUUUGCCUUUGUUUAAUUCUAACACGUACCUUCUCUUUGGAGUUAUCAACAAAAGAUACUUUUUGCUUCAUGCCAACAACAAAGAUACAAAACCUACUUUAGUCAUUUUUCCUAAAAAGGGAUAUAUAUAGUUGCAAUGCUUUUAUUAAUUAAUUCUACUUGUUUAUAUUUGAGUUUAUGUAUAAUUUUAUUUCUCUUAAUUUUCUAUUGUAUAGUUAAUUUAUAAAUUAAUUAUCAAAAUUAAGUUUCUUGCCUAACUUAUUUAAUAAAUAAUAUUUUUUGUUCUCGUCACAUGUAUAUUCUAAACUCAUCAUAUCACAAAUUAACUUCGUUUAUAAUCACAAGAAUAAAACGAGAUGUUCUGAUAAAUACAUCAUUCGACAAAACAUGUGAAAAUCAUGAGACUGAUAAAUAAAAUAUAACAAAGGGAAUUAGUUUAUAGAAAUUAGAAAAUAUACAUAAAAUGUGUGAUUAAGAAUGAAAACCAAAACAAAUGGACUUCGUGGUAGUGAUGAGGAGAGAGUGAACUCAGUUUUUUUUAUUUAAAUAUCUUUCUUUUAUCUAAAAAAUAAAUAUUAUAAAUUAUAAAUACUAAGUAAAUAAUAAUUUUAGAAAAACUAAAAUCACACACAAACAAAAAGUUAAAUGCGAGAAAUGUAAUUAAGAGAGAUAAUGGAUGCAUUCACCAUAAAAAGAUUAUAUGUGGACGAAGGAUGUUUAGACAAAAAUUUGUCUUCAAUCACAAUUUUAACAUAUUACUUAAUAGUUAAUCACUAUCUACAAGUUGGUUUUGUUCGUAUCAAUAUCAAACAACCGGCCACUACAUGAAUCAAAAGAAUAAAUAAGAAUUUUUUCCAUUUAUUUUCCGUAAUAUACCUUUUUUCUAAAAAUUAAACUAAGAUAGAGGGAAUUUCGUGUCAAAAAAUUAGUCAAAAUUUGGUCUAUGAAAGCCAAAUUUGGAUAAGGUAUUUUUUAAGAUCCCUCUUUUUUUUCUCAAUUUUCUCUAUAAAUGUUCUCUUUUCUUUCUUUACAAUUUCUUUUCCUUCAAAUAUUGUCUCUUUCAAAAUCUAAUUCCACCUAACAAAAACGGAAAAAAAGGGUUAAAGAUCCUUUUUAAUCAAUCAGAUUUAAACAAAAAAGUAAGUUUCUCUUUACUAUGAAAAUUCUUUUUUUUUUGUUUUUCAUUACUCUUUCGUUGAGAAAAGUGAUAAUCUCAACUUGAUUAAACUUAUACUAAAUUUUUGUUAUGCUUAGAUACUUUGCUUUAUGUCUCUAGAUUUUAAGUAUUUCUCUUGUUUGGACUAACACUUUCUUUAGAGCAAGGAAUUAUAAGUAAGGAAAACUAUUUAUGUUUUUUAUAGAACCUUUGGAUAGAUGAUUUGGAUGUGAAUGUGACUUUAUCACAAUGUCUUGAUUUUUGUGCAAAUAUUAUGUUUUGUUGGAAAUCAAAAGGUAAUUUUGGGAAAAACUUUGAAAAUAUAUUUGAUUUUGAUGCAUGAGGUUGGUUUUUUUUAUAUUUUCGCUCAAGCAACAAUUUUUUCGUUUAAGCAAAAAUAAAAUAUAGAUCCAAACUAUACUUUUGAUUCUAUUUUUACUUAAGUGAAAAUAGAGUUGCAAUUCAAUCCUUGCUCUUGACUAAAUUUUCAUACAAAUGAAGAACUUUCGCUAAGUGAGGUAAUUUUCACUCAAGCUAACAAAAACUCGUUCUUUUCUUCUUUCUUCUUUUCUACUAGCCUCUUUAAUGGAUUGAAUGUAAAUUUCAUUAUAAAUGUAAAAUGAAUAUUAAUUUGUGUUUUUAAGUGAAUUAUGUUGUAUAAAAAUGGCUGUUGAGAAUGAUAAGAAUUAUAUGAAUUUGGGAUCACAAAACUGAGAUGACAUGUGAACCAUUGUUUGAUUUAUGUAUUAAUGUUGUAACAUAAAUUCCUUGGUUCACUAAUAAUCCAAGUCACAUAAAGUAAAAUAUCAGGUGGUGAGAAAUUAAGGGAGAAUCCUUGUAUAGAUGGGUUGUAAUAAACUUAUCCUUAUCCAUUACUCUUGACUUUUCUUGUUAAUCGAAGUCUUGGAUUAUAUGUUAGUUUCUAGUGGGACAUCCUUAAUAUGAGUAUUUCGAAAUGUUAGACUUGAAGAGUAUACUCAAGCCUUAAUUGAAGCUAUUUUGAAGAUGAUGUUUGAAGAUUUAGAUGUUAAAGAUUUUUUUGGGAGUUUUUAGCUUUUAUUAUAUGUUGAGAGUUUUUUCACACAAGGUAUUCACAUUUUUUUUUAUUCAACACACAACCUAAUGGAGGACCAUCCAACCACCACAUUUUGGGUUGAGAAGAAUGAAGAAGAUGAAGCCUUGUUGGGGGAAACCCACAUUUGAAGAGUUUUUUUUUUCCUUUUUCUUAGUUUUGUAAAAAUAUAUAGAAGUAGUGUGUACAUAAAAUAAGAAGUAGAAAAUUUUAUAGGAAUUAGAAUUUUUCUUAUGUAAAAAAUAGAUGCAUAAGUGAGCUUAAUUUGGGCCUAAUUAGGAAUUGACUUGGGAGUCAAAUCCGUAAUUUGUGGAGUCAACAUGCAACCCUCUCCAUCAAAGAAGUCAAAAACUUAAUUGGAAAGGGAUUGAAGGAGUGCAACACAACCCACUAUACACCCACAUGACUAAGCAACAAGUAGAGGAACAUUGAAGCUUAUAAACAUUUAGAAAAUAAAAAAAUUGAGCAAUGUGAAACUUGUUUUGCUUGGAGUGAUGAAAAUACAAGUGCAACUCCACUUUUCACAAUUAGUCUCACAUACCCUAGUGCAUGAAGUGUUUUGAGCCUCUCCUCUUAUAAAUAGAGGCCUAUCCCUUGUAAAUUAUUUUGAAUCUUUGAAUGACAAUUGAAUUGCAUUUUUUAUAUGUCAUUGUUCUUUUAAAAUCUUAAAAAUGGUAGUAUUCUUCUCUGAGACCCUUCAAUCACAUUGGAAGACUUAGGAAAAACUUUUGAACUUCUCCCCAAAGUUUAUAAGAGAGAAACUCAAGAGACAUUAUCCUAAGAAAGGUCCCUUUGUAUGAGAACCUACGAUGUCGUGGCUGAAUGGUUCUCCAUCACAACUUAUACUAAAAUUAAAUUAAAUUAAAUUGUUUUUAUAAAGUAAAAGAUAUGAGAAAAAUGUUUCUUGACUUUGUUAAUCAAUUAAGUUUUUAAGAAAUCGAUUAAACUAUUAUUGAAAGACUUCAAAAAUAGGAUAAUUGAUUAUUAAAUUAGUUAAUAGAUUAAAUUAAAUUAGUCAAUAUUCUUAAAUUUAAUUAAUUAAAAUAUUGGAUAAUUGGUUAACUUGUUUUUUAAUUUUAAAUGCAAAGCUGAAAUAAUCAAUUAACAUGUGUCAUAAUAGAUUAAAAUAAAAAGUGUUGUAACUAUUUCUCAAAUUUUUGUAAGAAUAAUCGAUUACAAACUCUAUUCAAGAAAACAUGUAAUUUAAAUAAUGAGAAUUUGGGUUUGUUGGUAAAGAAGUUUUCAAAGUUCUAGAGGAAUAAUAAUGAAAACAAGAAUACAAUAAAGUAGGAUGAACUAGAAGAAUGACUAGCCCUCUGGUAUUAUGAAUGUGGUAAGCUUGGUCAUAUAAAACAUUAAUGUCCUUUAUUAGAUACUAACCCUGUUGAUGACAAAAAAAAAAAAUAAGAAAGAUUUUAAGAAGAAAACAUACAUUGUUGGGAAGACAAUGCAUCUUCUUGAAGUUCAUCCAACAACAAUUGGGAAAAAGAAAAUAUAUGUUUGCUUGCUGAUCAACUUUCAAAAAUGAAAAAUGUAAGUGUGCUCAACUUUUUUUUUUUGAAUAUGUAAAUAGUGUUGAACUUCUUGAUGCAUUCAAUGAAAUGCAUGAGGAAGAAGAAAAAACUUCUUUUUAAACAAUAGAAUGUAAGGAGAAAAUAGUUUGAUUUAUGACAACUAUCGAACACUUUGUUUAAUUCAAAUAUGUUAUAUUUUGACAAAUAUUUCAUGUUGAACUAUUUAUUUAUUUAUUUCAUAUUAUAUGUUUCUUUAAACUGUUAUGACAUAAUACUAUGUCAAUGUCCACUGAUUUUCCUCAUCAUAUGUACUAAGUUUUGUAGGAAGGACUUCUUCAUCUAUUAAGAGACAACACAAUCGCACAUGUGGUAAAGGAAAAACCCUGCAGAUGAUGCAAUUUUUGUUCCACGACCCCCAAUAUCGAGGACGUGCUAAAUCAUACAUGAUAUUUUUAGUCAGUGUGAGCAAAUGAUAGAGUGUGGGCAGGGUUUUUGGCAAGGCAGUUGUCCCACCUAAAAUAAUGAAUUUCCCUUUCUUUGAAGCAUCAUGGUUUGAUUUUCAGUAUCACUUGCAACAUCAAGUUUGAAACAUUUUGUGAUGUUGAAAUAUCCAUAUUUUGAAGAUCUCAUCGGUGUUCUAUUUUCCUUUCUUUGCAUCAUCAUAGUUUGAGUUCCAGUAUCACUUGCAACAUCAAGUUUGAAACAUUUUGUGAUGCUGAAAUAUCCAUAUUUUGAAGAUCUCAUCACUGUUCUAUUUAACAGUCACAAAUGAUGGUAACCUCUGUUCUUUGGUUAAUCAAAAGGGGAUUGUAAUCACCCCUUCAAAUUGGAUGACUUUGGCUCAUUUGAAGUACCAAUGUAAAAAAUUGAGUUCUUCAAACAUCCUUGAUUGCCUUAAAUAUGAUCGUGACUUGACAUUGGUAGCCAUGAUGAAACCAUACAUGCACGGUCAUAAUAUGAGGAUUGUAGAUGGUCUGUUGAUGAAUGACAUACUACUUCAUUACACCUUUGUGCACAUCUUAAGUCCUCGGGGAAGUAAUUUUUCUCAAUUGUUCCAUGAAGAUAUUUUCAUGUUAUGGACCAUAAAAAACAAUAUAAUGAUUAACGUGCCCUAUUAUAUCAUGCGACACGUGAUGAAUGUCGGGACCACAACAUGUCUCUUUCCUAUGCCAUUCUCACAACACAAAUCAUGGUUGCGUGUGAAGUUGACUUGUUAGUUGAUUCAACUCUUGAGUUAGGAUGGUUCCAUUAUUUCCAAAAAAAGUGAACAAGUUAAAUAUUUAUCACGUAAAUGGUGUUUGGAAGCAUGGUAGGGAUCAAUAUGAUGAUGACGAAGAUGAGGAAGACCCAACCAUACCGGAUGACCAUGUUUAUGGAAGUACGCCUCAACCCUCAAUCUCGGAUCAUUCUAAUAUAAUAUCACAAAUUUGGGACAACAUUCAAGAGUUGCAACAUGAAAGAAUUGAUGGUAUCUAUGAAAGAGUUGCGACAUUUUGACAGGAUUCAUGGAAAAAUUGAUGAGCUACUUUCAUGACUUUCACGAAUCUUUUAAAUGAUAAAUAUCUGACUAUAUAAUUGUUAUUAUUUUUUAUAACAUUAUUAUAAUAUAUAUUUUUUCAUAUAUAUAAUUAUAUUGUACUCUAUUUAAUAUCUGUUACACACACUACUUAUCAAUCAAUUUCGCUUUUUGAACAUAUUAAAACUUAUUGCAUUUUGUAAUUUCUCACUUGUUUAUCUUUACACAAUUAAAAUUUUAUUUUUAAUUGAAUUAAAUAAUUUUUUUCAUCUAUAUUUUGUGACAAUUUGACAUAAUUCAUAUUUUUUUUUCAAAAUAAGUACCACAAAUAAUGUUUUAAUUACAAACAACAAAAAAUAAUAUAAAUAAAUUAAAUUUAUUUUUCAAUUAUUUUUAAAUAUAAAAGUAAAUUUGUAAUCUUAUUUUUUUAUCAAUUAAAAAAAUAUAAUUUCAUUCACACCCAUUAAAUUAAUCACAAAUUUUCAUAAAUUUUUUUAUAAUUUUUUAUUCUAUCUAAAAAACUUCAAUUUCUUUAUACUCUCCUCCACAAACCAUCUCAAAUCCACUAUAUAAUCCAAACAUGUAAACAUGAACAAUGUUCUAUCCAAAAAAAAAAUUUAAACAGCUAUAUUCGGGUGAAAAAACAGAAACAUUAAUUCGACAGAGAGCAAAUGAAUAAAGUUCCCAAAAAAUACUAUCGCACGUUGUGUAGUGUUAGUUAUUUUUAUGCAUUAUAGAGAAGAAAAGGUGAAUAAUCAAUACAAGAUAAUAAGCAUAUUUUUUGUAUAAGGUUAUCCUUUUGGUGGUACUGUCAAGGAGUUAAUUUAAUUAAACAGUGACUAGAAAUUACAAAUGGAAAUGUAUAUUACUUACAAAAUACAAAAUCUUUGCGUGUAAUUCACUGUGGCAUGCAUACAUAUGUAACUUAUUAGAACAGGAAAAAAAAAAGAGAGAUUGUGAAAGAAAGAGUAUUCACUCUUCAAACAUUCAAAAGUUGCACUGUUGGGGCAAAAAAAAAGACAACAUUGAUCAGUUGUAGAUGAAGUGACACCCAUCGAAGCCUGCUCAGAAGAAAACAAAAAGUAGCAUUACUGCAAUACUUAAAUGAGAUUUUUUAUCGAUCUCAAAAUUUCAUAAAAAAAAAUCGUGUUAAAAUGAUAUGUUUUUAGUAUAUUUGAACUUAAUUAUGCCAGAAACAUUCUAUAAGCGUUCAUUUUGAUGAUGAAAGUUAGGAAAACACAGUGUUUUAUGAUUUUGGUACUCACUAGGGUCAACAGCAACUAGCAUGGCUGUUCCUCCAAACUCGCAAUUGCCUCCAGCACCUUUAGUUCUUUGCCAAUAACUAUUGAAAGCAUAUGAAGCAUGUGCAUAGACAGUGUCGGGCUGAUAGCAGGGCCCAUUGGGCUGAAUUGAGGUGCAAUCUGCUCCUGACCAGCAAGCAUAGUUCAUGGCCUCUUGGAUGAUUGGGUCUGGGACUGAGGGCUUAGCCACACACCACAAGGUGGUCCUUGGGGCAUAGUUGGGUGGUGGUGGCACACUUGGUGGAGGGAACACCACAGGUGGCUGAAACACACCUGGGCUAGGGAUGGUGCCUUCACUGGGGGAUGGCACAGUGCUUGGUGGGCUUGGGAGAGUGCCUUCUGUGGGGGAAGGGAUUAUGGUUGGUGGGCCUGGGCUAAUGCCACCUGUGGGGGAAGGGAUUAUGAAAGGUGGGGUGGGCUCAAAGUAGGGUGGACUGGGCUCAAAGUAAGGUGGGCCCAUUGAGGAGUCAGGUGGGCUCAUUGAGGAGUCAGGUGGGCUUGGGAUAAUGAUGGGAGGAUUGAGCACGGGCUCAGGCGAGCCGGGCGUGAUAGUGGGUGGGCCAGGAAUAAUUUCUGGGGUUGGUGUGGGGAAAGAAUCUGGUGGGCCUGGUGUUAUGAUUAAGGGGUUUGGAGGUGGGUUUUGGGUUGGGAGAACCGGUGAGGUGUAAAAGUCAGGUGGUGAUGGUAUUGUGGGUUGAAAGCCUGUGGGGGUAGGCAUGGUGGUGGAAGGAGUACCUGGUGGUGGGAACACACAAAAUGGAGGGCUGUUUUCUGGGAGUGGGAUUGGAGCCAGUGAGUCAUAAGGGGGCAAAGAGAAUGGGGAGCUAAGACUAUAGGGUUCUACAUUUGAUGAGAAAAUGGUUGGAUUCUCAUCUAAAUGCUUAACUGUUUUCAACUUCUUUGGGUUUUUGUUGGUUGAAUUUCUUUUAUCUUUAGGGCCUCUCAAUACCCUCAUUAUUGAUCUAUCUGCAUCUGUAAAGGGAAGUAAAGUGGCUUUUGAGCCAUUAACUUGUUGCCAUUCAAUAUUUGCUUAAUGUCAAUGGUAUUAUAAUGCAGUUCUGAAUACAUUCUAGCUCUUAUUGCUUGAUCAUGAGUUGUGACUCAUUACACUGUACAUGGAUUCUAACAAGCAAAUGGCUUUACAUAAUCUCAUCCACAAUGUAAGAUCAUGGUAAUUAUAUCUAGAAAUUAAUUUAAAAUUUUGGAAUAAUUGGGAUGAUAAAGAUGGUACAUCAUUGAAAAGAAAGAUAGAAAAAACAAGUGGGAUGAAAGCUAUUGAGGUUAAUGAGGCUUACCACAUUGAGUGAGAGAAAUGGCAGAGAAAGUGAGGUAGAGGAGAAGUAUCAUAACACACUUUCUCACUCUUCUUGUUUCCAUGACCAUGACCCCCACUUGCAAUUUGGUUACUGCAAUGCCUCAGGAUGUAAAGAAAGAGGCUUCUGAUUAUGGCUCCACUGUUGCACUCCAAUUGCAGUGCACUUAAAGACUCAAAGGUGGAACAAUGUGAGGUUUUUAUAUAAAUACAGGGCCUUGGACAGCACCAGGAAUUGGGCAGAGUAAAGGAAGAGUGGAGAAGGGGGUUCUGUUUGGGAUAAAGAUUGAUUCUUUGGGUGACACAACUUUGAUGCACAGUCAUUCUUGGUUGGAGAUGUGAGCAUGAAGGCAUGCCAAAAGUGCAGAAAAGGUGUCACAAAUGUGAGUAUUUUAUGGGAAUUGGCUCACCGGCUCAACAAUGUCCUUUUCAAGGAGUUUUUAUAAGUGCAUUUCAUGGUGGUAUAUAUGCUUACUUCAUCAUUGGAAAAGAUGAAACUUUGGUUUUAUAAACCCUUUUUCUUUUGCUUGCUUUCUACUCAAAGAUCUCAUGCAAACACUACCACUUCUCUUGCUGUGGCGUGAGGAAGAGAUUCGUCAGUCAAUAACAAUAAGCACGAAGGCAUUAGCUACAUCUCAAUUGCCAUUCAACCAUAAAAGAACAGGCAUAUGUAUUUAUAAGGUUUAACCAAGGUUUGAGAUAACAUCAUGGUCACAAUUUCUUAUAUUUCAAACAUUUAUAGACAAGUAUCAUUAAUGUAUAUUCUUUUUCAUAUUUGAAACCUGAAUUCAAAACUUCAAAACCAAUCACACUAUUGAUGUUGUGACAAAUUGUAAUCAUGUACUACUGUUUUCAAAACUUUGGUUGUAACAUAUGUUUAUAAAGUGCAUCAAAAUUUGUCAAACCAGAAAUGGAAGUGAUGGGUUCUUUUGGUGUGGUAUUCCCUCUCUAUAUACUAGUUAAGAUGCUUUUGGGAAAGUGUGCUUUAGGCUACCAUGUACUGGGAUUGCAUUAGUGUCAAUGUCUCAAGUUAAGAGCCUAAAAUCUGAGGGUGAUCUUUUUAAGGAAAGGGAAAGAGAAAAAUUGUCUCUAGUAGGCAAAAAGAAAGAUUGGUGAUGUGACAUAUGAGUUGGACUAAUAUGAUUUGAUCACCUUUAUAAUGAGGUUUUUGAAAACUAAAUGUAACAUUAGAUGAAUCAUGUUCUUGUAAGAGUAACUGGGGGGGAAAGAGUUUUGUUUAAUCAAUUAAAAGUGUUUUGUUUGGAAUCUGAAUCUCAUCUGUGAUUCUUCUUCAUCCUUGAUUUUGGUUUGUCAAACUUUCCUCUUCACCCAAAAAGAAAUAUAAUCUUUACAGUGCCCAAGGGAAUAGUUUUACAAAUUUAACCUAUAUUUUAGGUUUAAUUAUAUUUCUAAAUUUGAGAUAAAUAUGCAUUUUAUUCUCUCUCUAAAUAAAAAAUAACAAAAAUUUAGUCUUUCAACAUUAAUAAAAUACUACCUUAAUAAUUUAAAAUUAAUGUAUUCGAAUUUGAGAAACUUGUUUUUUUUUUUUUUUUUUUUUAAUUUGAGAGAGCCAAAUUGAAUUUAUUUCAAAUUGUGAUUACUGAAAACAUAGGUAUUACAUUUUGAGAAAUAUUAAUUGGCAUCUUUCUUUGCUUCAGCCAUCAAGUAUGUUGAUAGUGGUUAGAUACAUAACUUAGCAUUUAGAUGCCUGAGAUUACCUUUGUUCUUCUUUCUAUGUGAUGUGAAUGGGUGAGGGUUGGAUACUUUGGUUCAUUUAUCUUGUUUACUCUCUUUUUUUUCUUUUAUUUUUUUAUUCUUCAAUAAAUUAUUGAUGCUUUUGAUCAUCAAAUUGGAAGAAUCAGAACAUUUUGUUCUAGACUCAAGAGCCAACUUCUUCCUCUCAUGUCAAUUUCUGUUAUUUUCUGAGAGCGAAUUUAGAUGCAUAAUGUUUUAUUUUGUUAUCAGAUAUUUUUUAUACUCCAUUUCUUCAUCAAUUUACAGUAUAAAGGAGGAAUUUACUAUUAAUUAUACCUUUUCUUAAUUUACUAUAAAAAUGGCAUGAGUAACAUAUUGGCCUCCUAAUUAUAUGUUAGUACUCCCAGAUUAAACUCUUUAAGAACUAUUUUCGUAUGAAAUUGGUUUACUUCAAACCCAUAUGAAUAUACAACAUAAUUUAGAAAAAAUGACUAAUUGAAGAUAUGGUAAGUGAGACAACCACUUCUAUUUUAUUACACAUACUAAGUUAAACAUAUGUCCAAAUAGAAUAUAAGAGGAAAAGUCUAUCUAUGUCAUGGUUAUCAAAAUAUUAACCUUUGUGUGACCUUCAACUUGUUCAUAUAUGCUAAUAUUGAAUUCAUGAAAUGAUUUUCAAUAUUCAGUUUUGUGGAGGUUUUUAUUUAAUUUUUAAAUCAAUUUAUGUAAAUUUAAAUUCUAAAAAUACUUCUGUAGUGGAAUGAGUUGUUGCUAAUAGAAAAUUAAUAAAAAACUUUUAGAAAUUUUUACCAUUUGAAAAAAAAAAGUUAAAAAAUGUAAGGCAUUUGAAACUUAAAAUACAUUUUUCAAAGCUUUUUAAGAAAAAUCUCGUAAGAGGAUUGUAAAUUAUUUUAUGAAAAAACUCUUUUGUGAAGCAUGCAAAAAAGGAAAGAAUUGAAAAAAUAUUUCAAACCUAAGAACCAUGUUUCCACUGCCAGACCUCUAAAGCUUUUGCAUAUAAAUCUAUUUCCUACAAGAACUUAGUUUGGAAGGAAAGAAAUAUGGUCUAGUAAAAAAUAUGAUUAUUUUAGAUUCACUUUGGUAUUCUUUUUUUCCUACAAGAAUGAGACUGUUUGAUGGAGGACCAUCCGGAAUGACACAUAUUGGACCUUUAACUAGGGUCAUGACUAGAAAAAUGGAAACUCUAUUUUUAUAGAGAAUUAAUUUUUAACUUUUCUUCCAAUUUUCCUAGUCUUACAAAAUUGUAAAGAAUAUUGUAGGAUUUUAUUUGGGUCUUACUUGGGCUUAUUUUUGGGCCAUGUAUUGUGCCUAUUAGAAUAGGGCUGAUUCUCCCUACACCCAAUCAAAUUGGGCCUUCACCCAAUUGCAUUUGUGAAAGUACCGAAUUACCCUUAAUGAAAAUGAAAUUAGGGUUUAGUGAUUUCUGCACCCAGUCACACAUCCAAGUUCGUUUCUGCCAUUCUCGCACCCAACACCAUCUCUCGCACGAGCAUUCGCAUCCUCGCAUCUUAGUUGACAUUUCUCCGACAGCGUAGUGUUGAGUGGAAGGACCCCUUAAACAAAGAUGAAGCCAGGAGCGCAAAGGUCCUCCAUUGCGCGAAGGUAUGAGGGUAUCAACGCACCCUACAAGCUUUUUCAAAAUAAACAUGACAAUGGUACAAUUGAAUUUUAGAAUGUUCGUCGAGUGUCAAUCACAAUGGAUUGGGUGCAGGAAGAAAUUGCCUUAGAAUAGAAGGUAGAGAGUCUAGCUAGGGUGACAAUUGGGCCUCUUUGAGCCCAUUUGCAACUCUAGACCGUCUAGGGUUUUUGUAGUGCGUUCUAAGGAGGCAUAAACACCUACAUAGCAAGGGAAGUAUGAAGGGCCAAUUGGACAUCUAACAUUGAAAGUGUGACUGCCACAUGGUUGCACCUCAAUGGAGAGAAAUCCUCUCCACUCACAAGCCACCACUUGUCACUCCAUGAAUGGAGAUGAUUUGCUCCAAUUAUAGAGUGCUAUUUGUAAAGUUAUGAGUGAAGAAUAUUUUCAAAUUUUUGGCACCAUUUAGGCUAUAAAUAGAGGUGCUCAACUCAUGUAUUUUUCAACUUUGAUUGACUAAUGAAUUGUUGCACAAAUUUUGUCUCAAUUUGUCUCUUAGCUCCCUCCUAAUUAGCACUAUAUGAGUGUUUUAGCAAGGAUCAUCUUAGAAGUUUGCCUCACAUCUUCUAAGCAUAUUUUCCCUAUUUAAUUUCUCCUUCAUCCACGGUUCAACUUCAGCUAUUGAAGUCACAAAUCUGCUCCACUUUCUGCAACAAAGAAUUAAACAUAAAAGAAACAAUGCAAAUCAAGCUAGAAUUACAUCACUUUCCAUGUGUUUGACGUAUUUUGCAAACAAGUAGAGACAUAACAAGGUUUUUUUGUGUGUCUCAAGCAUCAAAAGUAAUCAUGGAACUGAGUUUGAAAAUGGAAAAAUUCAGAAGUUCUGUGAGGUAAAUGAUAUAUACCACAAUUUCUCUUCACCAAGAACUCAUCAACAAAAUAUGGUUUUGGAAAGGAAGAAUAAAACUCUCCAAGUGAUGGUCAUACUCUAUGAAAACUCCUUACGAAAGCACUUAUGACUUAAAGGCUUUUAACAUUGCAUGUUAUGUACAAAACAUAAUACUCACCAGACCCAUGUUUGAAAACACUCCCAUUGAAAAGAAAACCCAACAUUGCAUACUUUCAUGCUUGUGGCUAUUCUUGUUACAUCCUUAAUCCCAAGGACCAAAUUGAUAAAUUUGACUCCAAGGUAGAUAAAGGAACAUUUCUUGGUUACUCCGAUAGUCCAAGGCUUAUAGAGUGUAUAACUCUCAUACCUUGAUCAUAGACGAAACCGUAAAUGUAAAGUUUGUCGAUUUCUCUUAAAAUGAUAGGAGACUAUCAGAUAUUUACCUAAACUUUGUAUAUCUUUGCAUUGACAAGACAUACAAAAGAAAAUCAUCAGACGAAACAAAAGAGUCACACGUAGCUGAAGUUUCAAGUAAAGGUCCAUCAGAUUUGUCAAACCCUUCAAAAGGAGUGGAUAUAUGUUUCAUCUUAUCCUCAAGAUCAAAUAUCAAGAGAAAGGAAGAAAGCGUAAGAAACAUAUAAUCUUUUAGAGAUGAAGCUACUAUAGCCUUGGCCUCUCAAGUAGAAAUAAAUAAUAUAGAGAAAGUUUUGGCCGACGAAGAUUAAAUUCCAGCCAUGGGAAUAACUCAGACUUUGGUUCAGACUUUGGUGCCUCCUUUUAUUUGAACAAAGUGUGGUUGGAACAAGAUGGAUCUUUAGAAACAAGUUUGAAGAAGACAAUGAUGUGAUAAGAAAUAAGGCUAGAUUGACAUUCCGGGACUACAAUUAAAAAAAAACGGNNNNNNNNNNNNNNNNNNNNNNNNNNNNNNNNNNNNNNNNNNNNNNNNNNNNNNNNNNNNNNNNNNNNNNNNNNNNNNNNNNNNNNNNNNNNNNNNNNNNUUGAGUUAGGCUUAAAGUCCACUUCGUAAUAUGGUAUCAGAACCAUUUCGAGCCUAUAUCCUAGCGAUUGUUUGUGUUGGGCCUAUCGUGCCACCCGCUAUCGGGCCGCUAUCGGACCACCCAUAAUAUAUAGUCCCACGCACGAGUUGGUAGUCUCGGCGUGAGGGGGUGUGUUGGAGAUCUCACAUCGACUAGAGAUUAGAGCCUUUCAUUGUAUAUAAGUGGGUGCAAACCUCAACCCUAUAAGCCGGUUUUAUGGGGUUGAGUUAGGCUUAAAGUCCACUUUGUAAUAGGCUUAUAGUAUUUUAUUGAAACCUUUAUAAAGUUCAUAUUAUAUUAAACAUGCAUUUUGCAUAUAAAUAUAUAUGGAAGAAUGAGAAAACAAAUAAUUAUCGAAAGCACAUAUGUGAGCAUUAAGAAGACCCGUGACACACAUACUAAAACAAUUAAAGUCACUAAUAAAUAUGAAGGGGAAGUCAUUGGAAAUUGUUGGAAGUUUAUAUAAAAAGUGGCACUUUCUAAAUUAAGAAUGCAAUUGUAAAACACUAAUUUCUUUUAAGAGCGCACACACUCAAUCAUAAUUAACGGAACUAACUUUGCAAUAAUCUUUUAUUUCUUUUUUUUUACUUAAUGUUUUCUCUGUCUCUUUACUUUCUUAGGACUGAAAAUCAAAUUGUUCAUAUAAAUAUAAAUGUUAUAAUUAUGUGAUUAAAUAUAGAGAUAUAUAUUUCCAUAAGUAAUUGUCUAAAAUAAUUAAAAAACAGAAAAAUAAAUUAAAAUUGCUAGUCAAUUAUUAAAUCCACUUUUAAACUAAAAGUGAUGUGAUUCAUUAAUAAAAGUAUCCAAUGUGUAAUGAAAGCAGAGAGAGAUGGGAGGAAGAAGAGAGAAAAGAAAAUCCUUGUAUUAUUGCAAUAUUACUGAAUAUAGAAAGAAUGAUAUAUCUACUAUAUUUAUAGAGUUUAAGGAAGUUUUAUAUGCACUCCGUUAACAGCCCCUGUAAACUUAGGUGGGAGGAUUUAUCAAACACCCUAAGUUUACACCUGAAGGAGUGAAAGGGAGAGCCAAAAAUAGGCUUAGUUAAAAUGUCUGCAACUUGAAAUUGAGAUGGUAAGUGAAUGAGAGUGAGACUCUUAGCAAGUACGUGAUCCCUGACAAAAUGAAGGUCUAAUUCAAAAUGUUUAGACCUAGAAUGCAUGAUGGGGUUUGCAGCUAGUUGAACAUCACUCAAGUUGUCACAGUAUAGACAUGGUGUAGUGGAACUGAUCCGCAACUCAUUCAGAAGGGAUUGAAUCCAGAUCAUAUCAGUUAAGGCAGUAGCAACACUCCUAUAUUCCGCCUUUGUGCUGCUGCGUGAAACAACUUUCUGCUUCUUUGAAACCCACGAAAUUGGAUUGAGGCCAAGGAAGAUACAGUAACUGGUUGUGGAUUUGCGGUCAUCUAAGUUAGUAGCCCAGUUAGAGUCGCUGAAGCCCAUGAUGGAGUACGACAGAGAAGAACAAAGAUGAAGACCAUGAGACGAGGUGCCAGCUAGGUAGCGAAGAAUUCGUUUCACAGCUUUCCAGUGAGACUGCUGAGGUUGGUGCAUAUAUUGGCAAAAACGGUUGACAACAAAGGACAAUUCUGGUCUAGUGAUGGUAACGUAUUGUAAGGCACCCACGAUAGAGCGAAAAAACGUAGGAUCCUCAACCGAUGUGGAGCCAUCAACAGUAAGGCGAAGGGAAGAAACCAUGGGUGUGGGUUGAGGUUUAACAUGGAGCAUAUCGAUGCGGUGUAAUAGAUGACGAAUGUAGUUUGACUGAGAGAGAUGCAGGGAAGUAUUGGCAUGCCAGGUGACUUCAACUCCUAAAAAGUAGUGCAAACGACCGAGAUCCUUUAGGGCAAAGUGAGAGCUGAGUUGUGUGAUAAACUGUUGCACCAAGGUAUGCGAACUACCAGUUACCAAGAUGUCAUCAACAUAGAUGAGAAUAAACAAUGUUGCAGUAGUAGUGAAACGGGUGAAUAGGGAAGUAUCACUCUUGGAAGGUAGGAAACCCAUAUUGAGAAGAGUGAGAGACAGUUUCUAGAACCAAGAGUGUGGUGCUUGUUUAAGACCAUAGAUGGCUUUGUGUAAACAACAGACUUGAGAUGAAUUGUUGAAAGAAAAUCCCGGAGGUUGUUGCAUGUAAACCGGUGAAUUAAGCUCACCAUGCAGGAAGACAUUGUUGAUGUCAAGCUGGUGAAUGGGCCAACAUGAAGAGAGAGCAAUGGUAAGCACAAUACGAAUGGUGGUUUGCUUGAUAACCGGACUGAAGGUGUCAGAAAAGUCAAGGCCUUCACGUUGGUGGAAUCCUUUGGCGACAAGACGGGCUUUGUACCGUUCAAGAGAACCAUCAGCGUUGAACUUUCUCUUGAAAACCCACUUGCAUCCAACCAGAUUAGCGUUGGGAGGCAGCGAAGUCAAUGUCCACAUGUUGUUGUGAAGGAGAGCAUCAUACUCAGUUUGCAUGGCACGAAACCAAAGUGGAUUAGCCAUGGCUUGUUUAUAAUUAGAAGGUUCAGAAAUAUCAUGAGAAAUGGAGGUAUGAAAUAAUUUAGCUUUGGAAAUACCUGCUUUGGCAUGAGUGAGCAUGAGAUGAGUGUUAGUAGUUGGUGCAAGAGGAGGCUCGGUAGGGAAGACAGGAGAUGGAAUCGAAGGUAGAGGGGACUCCGUGAGACGUGGGGAAGUGGGGAUGGAGGUAUGAGGAGCGGGAGUAGUGGCAUGAGGAAUGGAAACAACAGUGAGAGGUGCAGUAGAAGAAACAAAAAAAUCAUAAAUAUCAGAAGUGGAAUGAUGAAGAAAAAGGUUAGCUGAGAGAGAAUAAGGAAACAAAGACUCAUUAAAUAAAACAUUGCAUGAAACAUGAAGUUUACCACUAGUAGUGAGGCAAAGGUAACCUCUCCUGUGAGGAUCGUAGCCAAGAAACAGACAUAAGGAGGAAUGAAAAUCAAAUUUGUGUUGGUUAUAAGGGCGCAUCAGAGGAUAACAGGCACACCCAAAAGCUUUAAGAAACUUAUAGUUAGGUUUAAUAGCAAAAAGCGUUUCAUAGGGACUAAGAUCAUUUAAAACAAGAGUAGGUAAAAUGUUGAUAAUGUGAACAACAGAGGUAAACGCUUCAGCCUAAUAAGUGAGAGGAAGAGAAGCACUAGCAAGAAGAGCAAGACCAGUUUCAACAAUGAGACGAUGUUUUCUUUCUACAAAACCAUUUUGUUGGUGUGUGUGUGGGCAAGUGAGACGGUGAUCAAUACCAAAACAACGCAAUGUCUUUGUUAAAGCAAGAAAUUCUUUUGCAUUAUCACUUUGAAGAGCUUUGAUAGAAAACCCAGUUUGUUUUUCAGCAAACAAUUUAAACUAUAAAAAGACAACAGUAACUUUAGAUUUAGAGUGAAGAAGAUAGAACCAAGUAAACUGAGAGAAGGCAUCAAGAAAAGCAAUGUAAUAUAACGAACCAUUUGUGGAGGGAGUAUGUGAGGGACCCCAUAUAUCAACAAAAACAAGUUGUAACGGUGCAUUGUAAGAAGUUAAAGAGCGAGAAAAAGGUAAUUGGUGGGCUUUAGAUUUAGUGCAGGCAUCACAGAAAGCAACAUUUUUAUUAUAGAUAAUAUUCUGUAAAUGCAUAAUAUGAUGAACAACACGAGAUGAAGCAUGUCCAAGACGUUGGUGCCAAAUAUCAUAAUUGUUCAGCAAAGAACUAGUAGAAGCAGUAUGAACAGCAGGGUGCAUAUGAACAGAGGGUGGCAUAGAUUGUUGUAAAUGUGGAAAAACAUAAAGACCAUCAUGAAUUUUUCCUUGGAGAAGAGUCUCUCUUGUAACCUGAUUUUUGACAAAAUAGUGAUCAACAAAGAAUUCAAAAAACACCCCAUUAUCACGGGCAAACUGUGAGACACUGAUAAGAUUUUUAUUAACAGAAGGCACAUGAAGAAGAUUAUGUAGUUUGAAAGAGUGAAAGGAGUUGGAGGAAGAAAGAAAGGCAGAUCCAAAGUCACGAAUGGGCAUACCUGAACCAUUACCGAGUUGAACAAAUUCAUUACUAGUGUACGUGUUGGUGGAGGAGAAAACACAAGGGUCAUGGGUUAUGUGAUGGGUGACACCAGUGUCGGGAUACCACAAGGGAUCUUGAACAGUUGAAGGAGUGCCCAAGAUGGAAGGUUCAGAAUGAUCAGGAUUUGAAGACGACGAAAAGAAGGUUGCAUUAGCAGAAAUCUGUGAAGGCCCCUUGAUAUCAGAACGAGUCCAGCAAGUGAGAGUCGUGUGACCAUAUUUGAAGCAGAGCUGACAUUGGACUCGGGCAGGAGCGGUGGAAGAAGAUUGAUCAGUCCAGGGAGGGUGUGGGCCACGAGGAGAUUGAUACCUUUUGGUGUUGGUAUGGGACCUGAAGAACCCGCGACCAUCACGCACGUUAUGGCCACGAAAAGCAGAAGUGGAGGAAGGUGAAGGGGUCCAGUUGUUGUAAGCAACAUUAGCUUGGGCAAGAGAGUUCUCAAGAGACUGGUGUUUCUCGAACCGUUCUUCUUGAGCAAAAAACAGAAACUCAAUAUCCUCAAUGGUGUAGGGAUCAAGCCGUGAGGUAAUGGACGUGAUAAAAGCAUCAUACUCUUCAGGAAGACCAUCCAAGACAACAUCGAUGUGGUCUUCAGCCGUGAUAGCAGAACCAGUGGCAGCAAGAGAGUCCACCACUUUCUUGACAUCAAUAAGGUAGGCAAAGAUGGAGCGGUCACGUUUAGGGGUUUUGAGCAGGAGCUUGAGUUUUCGAAUUUUGGCACGAGUGUGGGAAGCGUAGUAGACGUUUAACUUGUCCCAUAUGAGAUAAGCAGAUCGUAAUCCAACCAUUUGUGUAAGAAUUGAAGGGGACAUAGAAGCAAGAAGCCAAGCAACAAGCAAAUUAUCUCGUUGCUUGUGAAGAAGAAAGGCAGGGUUGACGGUGGUGCCAAACAGAAACCGAGAAGGGGUGAGGGGAGAUUCCAAGAACGAAAGAAGGUUGAGUCCCUCUACCUGAGCAAGAAUUUGUUGGCUCCAAACCAGAAAAUUAUCAUCCGUUAAUUUGAGAGAAAGGGCAUUGGAAAAAGUGUGAAACUGAACGGGAGAUGGGAGGGAAGACACGAUUGGAGCAGAGGUGGAAGAGGAUGAAGAAGACAUGGCUGGAAAAAAAAGGCUUUGUAUACCAUGUAAUGAAAGCAGAAAGAGAUGGGUGCAAGAAGAGAGAAAAGAAAACCCUUGUAUUAUUGCAAUAUUACUGAAUACAGAAAGAAGGAUAUAUCUACUAUAUUUAUAAAGUUUAAGGAAGCUUUAUAUGCACUCCGUUAACAAAAAGAAAACCCAACAUUGCAUACUUUCAUGCUUGUGGCUAUUCUUGUUACAUCCUUAAUACCAAGGACCAAAUUGAUAAAUUUGACUCCAAGGUAGAUAAAUGAACAUUUCUUGAUUACUCCAAUAGUUCAAGGCUUAUAGAGUGUAUAACUCUCAUACCUUGAUCAUAGAAGAAACCGUAAAUGUAAAGUUUGACAAUUUCUCUUAAACUGAUAGGAGACUAUCAGAUAUUUACCUAAACUUUGUAUAUCUUUGCAUUGACAAGACAUACAAAAGAAAAUCAUCAGACGAAACUAAAGAGUCACACGUAGCUGAAGUUUCAAGUAAAGGUCCACAGAUUUGUCAAACCCUUCAAAAGGAGUGGAUAUAUGUUUCAUCUCAUCCUCAAGAUGAAAUCUCAAGAGAAAGGAAGAAAGCGUAAGAAACAUAUAAUCUUUUAGAGAUGAAGCUACUAUAGCCUUGGUCUCUCAAGUAGAAAUAAAUAAUAUAGAGAAAGUUUUGGCAGACGAAGAUUGAAUUCCAGCCAUAGGAGAACUCAGACUUUGGUGCCUCAUUUUAUUUAAACAAAGUGUGGUUGGAACAAGAUGGAUCUUUAGAAACAAGUUAGAAGAAGACAAUGAUGUGAUAAGAAAUAAUUAGAUUGACAUUCCAGGACAAUUAACAAAAGAAGAAGAAGGAUAUAUAUAUUUUAUUGAAACCUUUAUAAAGUUCAUAUUAUAUUAAACAUGCAUUUUGCAUAUAAAUAUAUAUGGAAGAAUGAGAAAACAAAUAAUUAUCGAAAGCACAUAUGUGAGCAUUAAGAAGACCCGUGACACACAUACUAAAACAAUUAAAGUCACUAAUAAAUAUGAAGGGGAAGUCAUUGGAAAUUGUUGGAAGUUUAUAUAAAAAGUGACACUUUCUAAAUUAAGAAUGCAAUUGUAAAACACUAAUUUCUUUAAGAGCGCGCACACACUGAUAAUUAACGGAACUGACUUUGCAAUAAUCUUUUAUUUCUUUUUUUUUACUUAAUGUUUUCUCUGUCUCUUUAGUUUCUUAGGUCAACUUUUAUUAACUGAAAAUCAAAUUGUCCAUAUAAAUAUAAAUGUUAUAAUUAUGUGAUUAAAUAUAGAGAUAUAUAUACUUUCAUAAGUAAUUGUCUAAAAAAAUUAAAAAACAGAAAAAUAAAUUAAAAUUGCUAGUCAAUUAUUUAAAAUCCACUUUUAAACUAAAAAUGACGUGAUUCAUUAAUAAAAGUCUCCAAUGUUAUUAUUAUUAUUAUUUGGGUUGUCAUACAUGAAUAGAAAUGCAGGAGUUGAGAGACAGCAUGGUAUUCUCCUAGAUAGAUGCCUCCCUAAGAUAUUCCAAUUGUAGGGACAAAAAUUGAAGUCAAGUACUUUUAUAAAGAUCUCUAAUAACAUAAGCAUAAUGAGAAGAACAUUGGAAGGGACCAAGUUUUUGACCCUCAAAGGCUGUGAAAUGGAACAACAUAUAUGGUCCUUUUGCAUUAAAUAGUUUCCUACACCAAAGAAGAUGACAAAGAAUAAGCACAAGGGAAAUUCCAUGGUCAAAUCAUGGAUUAAGCCUGUGAUCAAUUUUGCAGCAAAGUGGCUCAACAACAGGGACAUCAACCAUUUUUACAUGCAUCUCAUAUUUGAAUGAGGGGUGCUUAUUACAACUUCUUCUCCUCAGUGCUUCAACUCUGACCAACCACUGCAUCUACGCAAUCAUUGUUAUUCCUUUUAUUCCACUCCAAUAUUAUUUGUUUAUAAUUUUUUUAGUUAGUACAAAUUUAUUAUAUUCAAGAUUUUUUCAAAUCUUAAAUAAAUUUAAUAUUUUAUUAAAAAGUUAGAUUUUAAAUCUAAUUUAAUCUUAUAUAAUCUAUUUAUAAAAAAAAAUUUGCAUGAAAAAUUCAUAAGACUCAUCUAUAUAUUAUAAAAAGAUGUAUUUAUUUGUGUUUUUCUAAACAAUUUUAAGUAAAAUACAUAAAUUUCUGUUUUUUUUUCUGUAAUACAUUCUUUUAAAAUAAAAUUUUCUUUAAUUUUUUUCAUAAAUCUUAUUAUCUUAUUUUUUUUAAAAGUACUAUUUUAAUUACUAACAAACUUACGUAUAUAAUUGUAACGAUAUCUUUAAGUGAAGCAAUUAUUAUUUAUAGUACUAUGAGGUCUAAUUUAAUUAAAAGUGUACAACCUCGGACAAACUAGAUAGUCUCUGGUGCCCUCACCCAGAAAUGAUUAGUUUAUUGAUUGCAGAAAAAUAUUAAAAUAUUUCUAAUCACAAUUUUAUAUCACCUGAUUAUAUUUAAUACCAUUUAAAAAUAAUAGUUUUUUUUUUUUACUUAAAUGAAUUUUAAAACUUUUGAUGUUGUUGUAAGUUAUGCUAUUUUAAAUAAUGUAGUUAUGAAAAAAAAAAUUACAUUUAUAUUACUAAGCCACAAAUGUCAUUUUCACUGUGUAGUUUACUAGAUUCUUAAAAAAAUCGUAUUAUACUUUGAAUACUUAAUAGAUAUUGUAUGUUUUUUUGUUCUUGGUGGUCAAUGAUUGAAGGAUACGAAAAGCAUUCAAUACUUUAUAUUUCUAAUAUAAAAGCUCCGUAAAGCUUAUAAACAACACUUCUCUAUUUGUAACUGCACUUGUUGUGGUGCAUAUUCGGUGUGCCACAUUGUUAAAUAGAAUAUGAAAACAAACACAUUUAAAGAGAAAAGAGAUAGGUAUAUGAAUUUUAGCUGAGGAAUUGAAAGUAAUUAAUGAAAAACCAAAACCUUUUAAGCCCAUUUGGCCAAUAGUGACAUGCAACCUGAGCCUAAAAGAAGGGAUAUAUUUGCCCCUAGUUGGAGCUUCAAAUUUUUCUGCAAUCUUGGGUUCAUAAAAUCUGCUGCUAAAAGAUCAACCAGUGCCAUGUAAAUCAAAAUCCCAGCAGAAGCAGAAUUGAACACCCCUUCAACAGUUAAAGCAGUAGGGCUAUUCUCUUUAUAAGCACUUGACACCCCCAUUCCAAUUGCUAUACCAAUUGGGGUUGUUAGGGAGAAAAAAGUUGCCAUAAUUGCUGUAGACUUGGAUUCAAACUCUGCCUGUCACAAUUAAUUUAGCUUUAUUUAACAUUCAUUAGAAGGGUGUGUAUAAUAACAUAUAGAUCAGGUAUUUUUUUUCUCUUCUUUAUGAACCUAGGAACCAACUUUAAAGCUUUUGUGAAUAGUUUAAUGUUAUAAUCAGUUAAAAGCAUGUCUUUAGUUUACCUGUGACUGUUUGGUCUUUGUCUUUUUCUUCUAAGUAAAAAGGUUAGAUGAAAAUAUGAGGAUGUUGUCAUCAUGGCAACAUUUUACAACCCCUUCUGCUUCCAAACUCAAAAGAAACCACUUUUCUCUUCUGCUUCAAAUUUGUUCAUAUUAGUUAAUCCAUUCAGCUUAGUCUUUUAGGUGUUUCUUUUCCUAAACCCUAUGAAUGAUUUGAUAACACAAGGAAGAGAUUGGAAAUUUUGUUCAUUGAAGAUGAAAAGAGGGUCUUAAUGAUUUUAUAAGGAGCAUGUAAGAUUUAUGAAACUAUAUGAAGCCAAUUGCAAUACCUGAGAUAUGCAGCCACCAAGACCCAUCCCCUCAAAAAAUUGAUGGAAAGAAAGGGCCACCAGAAGAGGCUUUAUGGUAUCAAUGCUCCCUGCAGUUCCCAAUGAUAUUCCAAUUAUCACUGAGUGGACCACAAUUCCUAUCUCCAACACCUGGAACACAAUUCAAUAAUUUAAACUCAACAAUACUUCUACCACAAAACACUCCAAAUCCAACAUAUAUAUAUAAAAAAAACAGGUUGCGUAUCAACAACUUAGAACAUGUUUUGGUGCUCUUAUUUGUUUUUUUUUCAGUUCAAUCCUAUUGUGAAUUGAGUUUGUUUCCAAGCUUGUAGUUUGAAAUGAAAGAAAAGAGAGUUACCUUUGCAAAACUCAUCAGUUUAUAAAAUGAAAACUAAAUCAAGUUAAAGUUUACUUUCAAACAUGUACUAAUUGAUCUUACUUGUGAUAUGAUGCGCUGCCUAAUUAGUUCAGAUGUUUCUGCAUCCUCAGAGGACACAGCUGAUCCAUGAGCAUGGCCAUGUGUGGCAUGAGUGUGAACAUGUAUGUGACCAGCAUGUUCAUCUCCGAUUUCCUCAUCAGCAGGAACCUGCUUUGAGGGAUUAAAAUGUUGUCUGUGGUAGAACCCUGUGGCAAAUGAGUCCACCAUUAAGGUACCUAUUGAGGACAUCAUGGCAACAAAUCCAGUGAAGGGGAACUUGCCCCAUGGAUUAUCCUUAAGGCAAGGUGAAGUCAAGCUUUCAUAAGCAUCAGGAAGUAUGUGGACAAACCCUGUUGCAAGAAUCACCCCUGCAGCAAAGGCCUUAACCAUGAAGAAUAUGUCAUUCUUGGGAUUAAGAGUAGGGAUUCUUCUGCUCAGCAAUGGGAGACUCACCCCAAGGGCCCCAGCAACAAGCACAGAAGCAAUCGAGCCAAGUUUGUAGUGGAGCAUUUCACUUGAGUCACUCCUUUUGGCCUCAUCUGUGUCACAUGUGCAAUCUCCUAAGGCCAGGGUUGGCAAGAGAAGCACAAAUGGGACAAAGAACAAGUUUGAGAUGGUGUUUGAAGAAGCUUCAAAGUUUAUCAUUUGAAGGAAAUUGGGAUUGUAACAAGUGAAGGAAGAGAGAAGGUAGUGUAAGAAGUAGUGGUGCUAGGUGUAUGAGUCUUUGAGAUGUUUUAAUGAUUGUUAUUUAAAAGAAGGAAAAGUGAAGUUUGUACAUUAAUAUGAUGAGAUCUAAGAUUGAACAUAUAUAUAAAAGACAAAAGGGGAGAAAAUAAAAGCCACUCUGAGAGGCUCAAAACGUGAGCAUCUUAAACAACCAAUGACACCAUAUUCAACCAUAAAUCUGGUGAACACUCUUUUUUUCUUCUUCCAUAGACCACACAAGGAUUUUCUAUGUUAAGUAAUUAAGUCAAAUUAUAAAAAAAAGACUCAUUUUGACUGCAUAAACACAUUUUUUUUCUAUUUUAUAAAAUUAACGACUUUGGUCCUCCUAUUUCAAAUUGAGACAUUUGAUGCUCCCUUAUUUAAAAAAAAAUCAAAAUUUUAUCUUAUCCUCAAUUUUACAUGUUUUAUUGAAAGGAAAAAAUUAUAAUAUUUUUCUCUAACAGGCAACAAAAAUACUUUCACUUAUAAAUAAGAGAAACAACAUAAAAAAAACUUUUUUUUUUCUUAAUAGUUUUUUUGAGUUGAUCAAAAUCCUUCCAAUCUCCUAAGAUUUACAUUAGUAAGAGAUUACAUUUUAAAAAAAAUAUUAGACUUUACAUUGAUAAACGAUUUAGUCUAUAUGUCACAUAAUCACCAUUUCAUCUAAACUUAUUGAAAUGAUUGCAUUUGCUUCUUACAACAUAUCUCUCCAAAACAAAUACCCUUAUCUCGAACUCCAAUGAAAAAAAUAAGUCUUUCUCUUUCAAUUUUUCUUUCAAGUACUAAAAUAAUAAUAAAUAAAUAAUUUUACUAUAGAAAAUGCUGUAAUUCUCUUAUAAAUAAGAAAUUCUCUUCUCGCAAUUUGAACUUAAUGAUCAAUUAAAAUAUACAAGAAUAAAACAGUUAAAUAACAUAAAAUCUGGACGUUUACAUAUAAUUGGUAUACAAGUUGCAGAAUUCUUUUAUUUACAAAGAAAACACAGAGGAAUGGAUGCAAUUUGUUCCAGGAUUGAAUUGAGCUAGGCUAAUUCUCCCUACAACAGAUCAAUUUUGAUAUACACCGAUAAUUUAUUUUUAAACUCCAAAUUGCUCUUGUCAUCUUUUUUAGAUUUUCGCAUUUCGAAUCCAGAAGACAUUAUUAUGCUGCGAAUUUUCAUAUCUAGAAAACACAUUUUCAGUUUUGAAUUUGUAUAUCUAGAAUUGUUUUAUUUGUGUUGCAUAUAUAAAUAUCUAAAAAAAUAAGGAUAAUAAAGACAUUUUCUUUGAUGUAGGUCAAUGUAGGGAGAAUUAGCCCUACCCUUAUCAUAUAAUUGUUCUGUGAAACCUGCAAGAAUUUUUAUUUCUACAAAAGAUACUGCAAUCCGGAUUGAGAAUUUAUGCAUAUGGAAAUUACCCAUUUGAAUAAUAUGCAGUGGUUUUGGAUGGCAUGGCAAAAACAUUUUAUGGUACCAAAGGGCAUUUAGGUCAUUAGGAAUGAAGAUAGGGAUGGAGUCAGAAAAGCAAAAUGAGGUCAUAGAAUUGAAUUACGUGCAUCCAUAGUGGGAAAAGAUGUCUUACCUAAAAAAUAAAAGCAGUGAUAAUAUAUGAACUUGUGUUGACAACAUGUUGUCAUGCAAACCCUAAUUAUUUGUGAUUUACCUUUCAUUUGGCUCAUUCUUUGUCUUAAUUUGGCUAAUAUGUCGAUAUUAUGUCUUUGCAUUUCCAACACUCCAGCUUCUUGGCCUUUGCAUAAAGCUUCUUCAACAGGUGAUUUAAUUAUUCAGUUAAAGGUAAAAAAAGUUCAUGUAGCUUGGCUCUUUCUGAACCCUAGCUAUUAUCACAAAAGCUAUCAUGCCACUUUCUUUUUCCCAUUGUUUUCAGCUAAUCUUUCUUAGAAUUGCCAUUUUCCUGUGCAGUUUGUUUAGUGGAAUACAACUGGGGUUUCUUCUUGGGGUUUGUUUCAUGUCAAUUUUUUGGUCCAUUGUGGUUGAUGUGAAAGUGAGGAUACAUGUUUUGUAUUUACUCAUAGCUUGUGAAAAAUUAGUUUUAGACGUAUUCUAUUUCAAGAGAGUUUGCAGAUAAAUGAAUACCAUAUUUAUCCAUUCUUUUAUUUCAUUUUUUUACACUUCUUUUCCACUUUUUUUAAUUUUAAAUAAUUAUGCUAUUUAUACUUUUAAAAUGAUUACAUACUGAGGAGAAUAACAUUCUUAGGUAUGAUUUCUAUGAAUGUAUAUUAUUUUUAGAAGUGUGCAAUUAUAGAGUGAAGCAAGACUCCUAUUUAGACUCUUUUCAUUGUAGAAUGGCCAUAAGUUUAAUAUCUGAAUGGUGAUACAACAUGAAAUUUAAGAUCUCAGAUUUUGAAUAAAACCCUCGUUUAUAAGAAUAAAAAAUUAUUAUUUUAUCUUAAAUAUAUUAACUAGCAAAUGACACAUUACUAUUGAAUACAAAUUUUAUAAAACUUUUAUCUAUAUUGAAGUGAAAAUGAUAUAGAGAUUUUAGAAUGGUACAGUGAGACACUUAAAAAAGUUAUAUUAUGAUAACAAGCAGGUAGUUGAUAGCUCCCAUGUUCUUCCACUGAAAUUUAUUUCUUAGUUUGGUUGUAUUGUUAAAUCUUAUCAAAAUAAAUUCAAUCUUCACCAAAUAUAGGGGUUUGUUUCAUUUAAAAACAAACAAGUUAUGUGGCUCAUAUACUAGUUAGAGCUUUAAGAUUAUACUUUUGGCUGGGGUGGAAAAAUGUGAGUUGAUUCGAUUUGUAUUAAUCCGUUUUAUAUUAGACUAUGAAUUAGGUUGGUUCGUUCUGUUUAAAUAAUAUGGGUUUAUUUUAUUGGCCCGUUUCGUAUAAGAGAUAAUUCAGUUAACUUGUAUAAAAAUAUAAUUUUUUUAAAAAAUAAAAAAAUAGUAAUGCACUUGUAAUAUAUAUAGAAAACACUUGUUAUCUUAUUUAUAAACGGCAUACAUGAUAAUAUUCAAUUUACAUUAUUAGGGAUUAUUUUUUACCUCUUUUAAUUUGUUUUCAGUUUAAUAAUUUCUUCAAUGACUUUACAUUCUCCUAAUAUUCUUACCACACUAUGAACUGAAAAGGUGUUUGAGGUUGGCAUAAAUGGUAGGAAUCAAGAGAGCACGUGGGGUGAUUGAGGACAUGACAUUGAUGAGAACCAAAACCUAGAGAAGACAAUAACUGUAUUUUUUAUUAUGAUGUUUCUUCCUGCAUGCACUCCAUCAAAUUUCUUCAUGCACCUCAUCAAUUUUGGAAUUUAAUUUUCCUAACAUAAAGUAAAUUUUGGAAAUGGAAAUUUAUAAGAAAAAAGACAAAAUUCAGAAUAAUCUUUCCGGAACAACUAUACCUUCUAGAAUUUAGAAUAACUAUUUUGACUUCUAAAAUCUGAUUUAUGAAAUUGAUGGAAUGUAGAAAGAAAUUUGAUGGGAUUUAAAAAGAAAUAUUUUUUUUUAUUAAUUUCUAAGCUAGCGAGAUGCCUCGUCCCAUCUCGUACCUGACCUGCGCAGAUUACGAAUUAUAAUGCACGAGCAUAAACAGAUCAACAAACUAAAAUAGUGAGUCCGUCACAUGUUUUUCAUAAUAAACGAUGCAUAACCCAUCCUACAUUGUCAUCCCAAUUUUUGAAUUUUUUUUAGCUUGUUACUACUUCAUGCAUUAUAUUAGGAAUGAAUGGGUAUAAUUUUCUUUGAAUUGAAAAAACUAACCCUAUUUAGUUUUUUUCUUAAUUAUUGUAAUAUUUUUAAAAUUACAAAUUUUUAGAUGGCUAUUCAAAAGUGCAGGGAACCCGUCUUGAGGGACGUACGUGGAGAGGGGGUUGAGACAAAAGGAUUUGCUAUCUCAUGAAGUGAUCAAUGUUCCUUCAUGGAUGGUUCACAACUUCCAAAGGUACGAAAGCAAUGUGUUCCAUGCGUGUAGGUUUCUUUUCUUUUAUUUUGAAGUUAAAGUAUGUUUAAAAACCUUAUUUAUAAACACUUUUUUCAAAAAAAAUCUUUAACUUUUUUACAUAGAUAAAUUUCUAAAAUUGUUUCAUAUAUUUUCUCUAUUUUUUUUUAAUUUAUACAUAAAUAAAUCUUAACUAAUGAAAAAAAUUAUUUAUUUUCUAGAACCCUUAAUUAUAAGUUAAAUUUAUUUAAACAUACUCCAUCAGAAGCAAUUCACCUUAAUUAAUAUUGUACAAAAUUAACAUGAUCUCUAUAUAAAAGAAGGUUUAAUAGAUUUUUUCUCUCUUUAAUUUUUUUUAUUUAGUCCUACUAUAUUUAAAAGUCUCAAUUUGGCUUAAAAAUAGUUAAUUUGAUCAUUUUCAUUAAAUUGGUGUUAAUGACUUUCACAGUAGGAAAAUGUAGCAUCAUACAAUGUAACAACUAUAAAGUAAAUUUUAGGCACAUUACAUUUUAAAAAAAAUUAUGAAAUAGAAAUUAAUUUUAAAAAUAAAAAAUAAUUAAUUAUUAUAAUAACUAAAUUAGAGAUAUUUUAAAAAUUAAACAAUUCUUUUAUUUAUUUUUAAAUUAGGUUUUAUUAUUUUUAAAUAAUUUAUAAAUUAAUUGUUAAUUAGAUAAUAAUUUAGAAACUAUUUAACAAUAAUAAAAAUUAAUUUAAUUUUUUUUUUAAUUUUUAAAAUGAUUUAUAUUUUAAUUAUUAUAAUAACUAAUUAUUUUUAAAAAAAAAUUAGUUUCUAUUUUAUAAUUAUUUAUAGUAGGGUUUAGAAGUGCGAGGAACCUCCCAAGCAUAGAUAAAAAGGUAGCUAAAUACAUAUUGGUACAAGUCCUACAAUUAGCCCUUUCUAGGUCCAAUGUGAAUAAUGAAAAGAGAAUCAUUAUUCAUUUCGCAACUUAGUCAAUAGGAGUGUGCUGCUUGGGGAAGUGAAUAUGGUAUUUGUAAAGCCCAAACUUAGGCAAAGGUUCUUUCUUUUUUCAUUGCAUAUACAGUGUCACCAUGUUCCCAAGGGCUUUGAAGUCAAGAUCAAUAUGCAUGAACUACAAUUUUUGAUAAUUUCAACUUUUUUUUAUAGUUUAUAGAGUCCUUUUCCUUUAUUUUAGUAUUCUGAGGUUUUUCCCAAGUUGUACGGUUUUGAUAAAUAAUUCCUGAACAUGUGUGCUUUUAUUUUUCCAACUAACACUUAAAUUUGUUCAUGGUAAGAAUUUGAUUUCAAGGAAACUAAAUUCUCCCCUUUGUUUUUUAUUCGCGCAAAAAGAUAAUUUUAGAAUUUGGUUUCUGGAAAGUCAAAUUCCGGGACUAUUUUUUUCUGAUAAUGAACAAGAGCGGAAGAAGAUCGUUCGAUAAGUGAUCAAAAUUCGGUUUUCAAAAAUAUAAUUUCUUUGAUAUAUGAAUGUUCAGUUAUAAUCAAUUAUGCGGUGACCAAAUUUUGGCAUGAUGUUCUGGAUUUUUAUUUUUUUUUUGUCAGGAGUGAUUGGAGAAAGAAGAAAGGAAUAUAAUAUAAAAUAAAAUAAAUUUAAGAAAACAAAUUAAAAACUUUUUGGUAAGUAAGAAAUGUUUUGAAAACUUUAAUUAAAAAUGGGAGAAUAAAUUUUAAUGAGAGGCGAAAUUUAUUAAAUUAUGUAAGGUUAAAUUAUUAAAUUUUGUUUUGAUGUGAAUUUAAAUAUUUAUAAAAUUGAAAUAGAAGGAAAUAUAAAAUUUGAAAAUUAAAAAUUAAAAAUAUUAAACUUUAAGAUAAUAUUAAUAGAAAGAUACUGAAACAAAAUAUUUUAUAGAUAUUUUAAUGUAACUAAAUAUUAUGGGGAAAAUAAAUGAAAGUUAUUUAUUUUUUGUAUUUUUAUAAUAAACUUCAAUUGCCCAGAAUAAAUAAUAAUAAAUUUGUAAAUAUGUUUUUAUAAUAAAAUUCAAAUUGAAUAAAAUUUGAAUUUGUAAUUCCUCACAUAUUUAUAAAAACUCCUUAUCAUUAUGAACAAAUGUUAUAAAGGAUUUAACAUUUCAAAAAUAUUUCUAUCAUUCAAAUAUGUUAAGCAUUAUCAUUUAGUUCAGAUGCUUAGAUGUACUUUCCAAUUAAAUCUAAGGAUCCAAAUCAUGAAUAAUUCAAGUUCUAAGAAUAAAAUGAUAAUAUUAAUCAUCAAUCAAGAACUGAAUAUUAUAGAUAACUAUCACUUCAGUACAUAAGAGUUUGAAUUGAUUACUCUCAAUCUCAAAGAGAAGAAUUAGCCACUCAUGUUGGCCAUUACAAGCAUGGAAAGAAAGAAAAGAAGAUCCAGGAUGUUUCUCCUUGACGAUUGCCUCCUCUAUGGUUUUCUAUCUCUCUAUUAUCCUAAUGAUGUCUAGGGUUAUGUCUCACGCCUUCCUUUUAACCUAGUUGGGUUUGGGCUAAGUGACAUCUCGCUUAAGCGAGUUUGAUGAGAAAAAGCCCAACUUCACUAGAGUAAACUCGCUUGGGCGAGUUCCUCUAGAGUGAUUUUUCUUAGGUGAGUUUGGGCGAUUUUUGAGCGAGUUUCCAAUGUUCCAACUUUGCCUUUUCAUCUUGUCCAUUCUCCUUUAGCCCUUUCAUCUCCAUUUUACCCUAGAACCCUGAAAUUAACAAAAAUUUUGGAACAAAUCGUUCUCAUUCAUUUUAUAAUCACAAAUAUGUAAAAAGGUUUAAAUUUCUAAAUUAAGAGUUCAAUUAUAGUUAUUUUAUUAAAAAAAAUCCAUAAGUGUCAAUCUUUUAAUUUAAAAUAUUACUGAAAUAUGACACUUAUCAAUAAGUCCUCCAUAGUAGAUUAUUGCUUCAGUUGAAUUGAUUGGGUCUUGAUUUGUUGUAGAGUUGAAUGCAUGAUAGUUGUCGUUUUGUUAUCAAAUUAAAAUGAUUUCAGUAUAGAUCUGUCUAACGCUAGAGAGAUUAUAAUAUAAUUGUGAUCAAAUGACCUCAAGUCAUCUCCCAACGAAUUCAAUAGUGAAAUCAGUAAAUCAGUGUUCAAAAUCUAUCUGCAAGCAAGAAAAGUUAACAAUAACAAUAAAGAUAAAAGAAGAGGUUAAGAUUGUUUAACAGGAAAUAUAAAAGAGAUUAAAACAACAAAUAUAAAGUGGUUGAUCCCCAAGUUCUUCCACAAAUGAAUUAUUCAUAGAUCAUCUAAAGAUUAUCUCCUUCAAUUCUCACAUAGAGUUAAACCAAAUUGAACAUGCAACAAUCUAAUUCAACUUGAAGCUCACUAGUAAAGCACGUGUCUACUGGUUUAAUCAAUACCCACUUUGUUCCAUGCGUAUACUCCAUGGUAAUGCUUAUCUCCUAUCUCUUAAAUCAUGCACCCAAGAAAUUAAUUAGAACAAUGUGAACUAACUAAGAAACCAAAGUUUACGAUAAGGAAGACUCUCAAUCAAUUGUUCAAGUACAACCUCUCAGAUAAAACAUUUUUCUAAGAGAUUAGAACAUUAAAACAACUGCUAUAGAGAAUUUAAAAAAUGAAACAUUUAUUGAUCAAAACCUCAGAACUCAAUGGGGAAUUACAAAAAAAUCGAAAAAAAAGUUUUAGCCUUCCAUGCAGAGGCAAAAUAAAAGAAUUACAAAAAAGAAAAGAAAACUAGGUCCAGAAUGUGUUUGCUCCUAUGAAAGGCGAUCCAAGAAGUCGUCUUCCUUUGAAGUCUCUUUUAUAAUCUUCUUUUCCUUGCACAACAUCGAAUUAAAAAUGUGCCUUAUGAUAUUGUUUUACAAUUAUCAUAUACUUCCUUUCCUGUUUCAAAUUAUUAAACAUAUAUUUUCAUUCGCAAAAAUAUCAAAUUUUAUUCUUGCUUCUCUUUCAGAUAUAUUGUUUCCAACUUUCUUCAAAUUUGUGCAUUGAUUGUAAUUUAUUCUAGCACUAUUGUGAGAGAUAUUGCAGAAGAUUUUCUUAAAUAAUAUCUUCAAGUAUUUGCUCUAUUCUUGAAGGAUUUUGUAAAGGAAUUUUAAUUGUAGGAUUUUGAGAGAAUGAUUGAGAUAGAAAUAAAGAUGGUUGUUUAUCACGGGUGCAAUGAACUGUGUGUAUUAGAUGAUAAAUUUAUUACAUGUAUUAUCAUGUGCACAUUAAAAGAGAAGGUGAUGUUGGUACAUUGGUGUUGCUGAAAAUCCUGGCUUGUGGAAUCUAUUUUUUGAGUCAUGUGUCAUUAGGAAAAGCAAUAAUGGAGGUGUGAUGUGACAAUUCACAUUAUUGUAUUGUGUGGCCUAAGGAAAGCAACUAUGAAUAGUGAUGUGAUGAUGCAACUUAUUGUGUUGUAAAACCUAAGGAAAAACCAAUUAUGGAGGAGUGAUGUGAUGAUAAAAAUUAUUAUGUUGUGUGACCUGAGGAAAAACAAUUGUGGGGAGUGUUGUGACGAUGCACAUUAUUGUCCUAUGUGACUUGGGGAGAACUAAUUAUGGAGAAGUGAUGUGACAAUGCAUAUUUUUGUCUUGUGUGAUGUGAGAAAAAGCAAUUAUGGAUGAUUGAUUUGGCAAUGAACAUUAUUAUAUAUGGUGUAUGGGUUCACGAAAAGCCACUAUAGGGAUUGAUUUGUGGUGCAUAGUAAUGACUAGUAUCGCCUAACAGAGAAUAUAUUAUGGAGACAUCUGCAACUUUUGUGGAUAAGUUUUCUCUCACUUUGCUUCAGUAAUGGAUGAUUGUGUUGUUUAUUAGUUGAAAAUUGUUGUUAAUUAUUGAAAUGAUGUAGUAUGUGUUAAACAUAAAGAGGAAAAUAAAUGAAAAACGUGCAUUCAUUAAAUAUUUUCUUGAUUCGUACAUGGAAUACUUUGUGUGAAUGAAAUAUAAUUAAUGAUGAGAACUGAACACUCAAAUAAUGUUGGGACACUUUUUUUUGUGUGUCAUGGCAUUUGACUAUAUGAACAAUUUUUUGUUCGACCAUGAUGUUCCCUUAUAUCCAUAUCAGUCCUUACGACUUGACUUAGGCCUCCCCUUUGAGGUUUUUUUCUUAUCGGGACUUGGGCAUAGUAUUUGCCCAGUGUAUGCAAGCCAAUACUCUUUAUUUCUGAGUUCACUAAAGUAUACAUGAAAUAUCUUUUGCAAUGUGUAUACAAGUGAGAUGUACCUAACGAAAUUGUGGUGAGCAUGUUUGCAUGCAGCAAGAACAUGGGAGCAUGAUAGGUUUAGUUUUUUGAAAUUUCCCAUAGUCAUAUCAUACAUCAGAGUAGACAUGUUCGACAGUCACCAUGGCUUCCACUUUCCUGCCUCUAUCCAUGAAGAAUUUAUUGCAGUUGGUGUAUGUUGCCAUCACCGUGGAAGAUAUUGGAAGGUUUAUUGUUUUCUUCAAAAUAAAUUUCAUUGACUCAGCUAUAUUGGUUGUCAUAUGUCCCCACCUUCGAGUGUUGUCCCAUGCAAAAGUCCAUUUCUCUGUUGGGAUAUCGUUCAGCCACUAAGUUGCCUUAGGGUUUUCCCUCUAACUAUAUUGUAGUAGUAGAAAAAGUGUGGCUAUGUGAUUCCAUAUGCUGUAAUUUUUUGUUGCAAAUGUAGUUAGUAAACAAAAUUGAAAAAAAAUGUAUAAUUUAAAAGAGUUCAUUGAGUUAACAGAUAAGGACAAUUACCCAUGUUGAAAAAAUCUUUCUUUAGUGUUGUAUUUCUAAACCGCCUCAUGAAGUUCCAUGCUAUGUGCCGAAUGCAGUACACAUGCAUAGAAUUAUUGUUGUUCCAACCACUACCGUCUAUAUAUUAUGCACUCUUUAUUGAUUCCUGACGAACAUAAAUGUGACAGAAGCCAUCUUGCGGAGUGACAUAUCUUCGUAGGUUUUGCAAGAAAAAGAACCAAGCCUUAGCAGUUUCACCCUCUAUGAUGGUGAAGAAAAUUGGUAAUAUGUUGUUGUGGCCAUCUUGCGCAACUGCGACAAAUAACGUCCCUUUAUAUUCCCCAUACAAGAAAGUUACCUCAACUUGGUCCACUGACUUGCAAAAUUUGAAACUAUCAAUGUAUGGUUUGAACAUCCAAAAUACCCUUUUGAAAAUGAUGUGGUCCACGUCCAAUUGGUUUCCUUCAUAUGCAAGUUGGGUCUUUAUUUUCCAAAUAAAUCCAGGAACAUAAAGUUACAUUGCAUUUAGGAGUGUUGGCAAUAUUUGGUAUGACUUUUCCCAAUUUCCAUAUACCUUUUUUAUAACCAGUUGUUUUCCUACCCAUGCCUUUUUAUAGGUGACUUUAUACCCCAAGGAUGACUUCAUGUGCACUACUAUGGUAGACACUGGUGUGGAAGGGUCGGCCUAGAUAAUUUCAUGAAUGCUUUGUGCAAUCAUUCAAUACCUUAACUUAUUGUGGUCUUGUAAGAUCAUAAGGGAUACACAGGUGUGAACACCUUCCAACUUCAUAAUUUCCCAUAGUUGAUUGUUGGUGCAUAAAAUCGCUCUACAUCUCUAUGCACAAUCAUGAUGAAUAUAUUGAAUUGCAAGCCUUGAUUUAUUUGAUAAUGACACCGCACGUGCAAUGGUUGAUAAUGUGAAAACUAUUGAUGACAUCCUUGGUGUUGAACCGUUGCCCAACAAAAAGUGUCUCUGGAGGAUACACUACUGUGUCGCGAUCAAAGGCAUAACCAAAUUUUGGGUCAUACAUAGGUGGUGCGAAGUGCAGGAAAUGCUCAGGUGUGACAUUAGAUAAGUUAUGUUGAUGUUGUUGAAUGUUUGUAUGGCGUGCAUGCGGUUCUUUUGCCUCCUCAUCAUCAACAGCUGCAAGAAUGUUGUCUUCAUCCUCACUAAAAGGAUCAAAGACUUCAUCGAGAAGACCAACAACCCCAUGCUCUUGUGGUGGUUUUUUAGGGAGUUGUUGGUUUUCAUGUUCGCUUAGGCUGACAUAUAGACCACUUAAUAGUUGGGUAUAUGGCUAGAUAUGUUCUUCCUAAUACCUAUGAUGUUGAUGGGUGGAUUCAUUAAGGUCUAAUGAGACAAUAGUUGUGAUGGGUUGUGGUAUGAAGGUUGAACUUCUUCUAAUUGUUCAAAAUGAAAAGAUGAUGAAGGAGAGUAAUUUGUGGGUUGACAUUUUGUUAAUGAAGGUGCAAAUGUGACGUACACUUCAGGUCCAAUUUGUAGUUCAAUGGAGUCGUAGAUGUUGAAGAACGCAUCAACAUCAUCAUCCUCAGUCUUCUCAAUGGUCGUGUAAUGAUUUACCCCUAUACCAAGUCUAGUCAGGUAGCAGAAGUGCAUCAUCACCACCAUUUCUUGUGCUUCCCUAUGCAAUUUUCUGAGGAUGACUUCUUUUAUCAUUUGUAGAAUCAUGUCCCUUUUGAAAGAAACAACUUUUGAUGUCGUAGAAGUAAACGUAACUUCUUCAAUGAGACAUUCUUUCAUUUCCAUCAUAGUGAACAAUAACAUAUAUUGAAGCCAUUUGUUGACAACAAAAAGAAUGUUGGGUGUGUAAUAGAAAAUGAAAGAUGGAGAAAUGCAAAGUUGGAAUUGGGUUAAAUAUAGGCGAAAGAAGGAGAUAUCAAAACUAGGAUUUAGGAUGAAGUUCUAUGUAAGUUUCAUAUGAAACCACAUGGUUUGUAUUUAUAAUUACAUGCAUGAGUCAAUCUUCAAAGCAAAACAACAUUUUAUUCCUUGCUUACUUGCCCUCUAGUUGAUACCACUAAACUAAACUUGUCACAUGGUCACAUUCCAUCAAAGCAUUGUUCAUGUAAUCAAAAGUUGUAUGGUGAUGAUAGCUCUUUCACGCGUAAAGACUGACAUGUUUGCAAAGCAACCCUGAGCAAUAAAUUAGUGACAUGAUCACGUCCUAUUCAAGCAUUGUUCACAAUUUAUCUUAGUAGAACGAAAAAUAUAUGAAUGUAUUUGUAUUCUAAAAGAAGAGACUAAAAUUAAAUGAACAUCUUUAAGAAAAAUUCCAACACCUUAAUGAUGGAAUCCCUUCUUCUCUUAGCUGAAAAAUAAGUUAUCAUCCACAAAGUAUAUUCAAUUCAUGAAGUAAUGAAUUCUAUACCAAAUCAAUCUUCGAAGCAAAGCAACAUUAUAUCCCUUAUCUUAUUUGCCCUUCAGUUGAUACCUCUAUUAUUACAACACAUCACAAAACAUAAAAAUAACCAAACAUAUAAAUUACAUAGUGUAAAUCAUCUUGAUUUUGCUAUAGUGUGAACUGGUACAAAGAAAAUCCAAAAUUAUAUUUGAUCCCUCAAGAUCAUAUCAAGUUGUCACUGCUAGUUCGAAAUAUUUGCGUUCCCAUAAAGAUAAAAGAAUUUCUCUACAUCCAACCCAUAAUGUCGAUUUUACAUCCAACCCAUAGUGUCGAGGUACCUUGUGAUUUGACUAGGUGGUGAUUGAUUCAAAUAAUGUUGAGAACCACUCCAUAUUUUCUAUAAUUGUUUUAUGUAAAUUUACACCUUCUUUGCUAGAGAGAAAAGAACCAUGGUAUUGACGGGGUACUUGGUGUUGAUAAAGUCUAAACCUUUGAUAAUGAAGCAUUCCUUCAGUGAUCCGAACUUGUUGAUGUCAUACAUUCUUCCAACCAUGUUUCGCUCCAGCCACUCCUUUUGUUAUUCUUCUACCCUUAUAUCCAUGUUGUUACGGUGUUCUAGGAUAAAGGCACAAAGACUGAGAAAAAGAAGGAAAAAGUCUAUAUAGAUGAAAUUAAAAUUCACUCUCCCCCUCUGUUACAUAGAAUUUGUCUUAUAUAGACCACAUACAUUAUUGUAAGUCAAUCCCUAUAGGACAGUUGUUCCCUUUGCUAACAGAAAGAUAUAACUAUAAGAUAUUCCCUUAGAUAUGACAACUAAUGCUUCUAGAUGUAAUCUUUGAACUUUGUGGGCUUUGUUAUUUUCCUGAUGGGCCUAGAAGAUGUGGGCCUAGUAUCAAUUGCCUCCACCUGGGAAACAACCUUGUCCUCAAGGUUGGUAGGUAUUGGGUAAAUUGGGGCAAAAGGAAAUGAAACAAAAGGAAUUGAAUUUUGGGCUUCAGGGUAGGAGAAUUGGGUCGUGGGAAUUGAGUGUGGGGCAUUUAUUGGGCUCAAAGUGGAAUUGUAGUCUUUGGGCUCUUUAGGAUGAUUUGUAAAAGGAAGGUUCUAGAGAGUGGGGGUAGGUGAGGAGGUGGGGCUCGCUGGUGUGACUAAUGUAGUAGGUGAGAAAUGGUUGGUAGCUAGCGUAAUUAAUGAAGUAGGUGAGGUAGGUCAGAAUUUUGGGUUUGAUGUGGGUAAUAAUGAAUGCGCGUGGGUAGCUGAUAAAUUAGGCACGACUAGGGUAGGUGAAAAUUUAGGGAUAAUGGGUGGUAGUAAUGAUGGUGUGGAUCCACGUGGCUGAAUGUUAAUGGUUGGACUGUGCGGUUCAACAUGAGUCGUUGAUGGUAGACACAUGGUGGGAACUAAAGUGGUUUGAGUAGGGUUUGAUAUUGCCAAUUGGUUUGAAAGUGUAGUGUUUGUUGAGGUAGGAAAGAGUGUGGGGAUUGUGUGGGAGAUAGUCGAAGGGGCAGCAUCCUCUUGAGGCAUAUGAAAGGAAGGAGGUGGUUUGGGCCCGCGAUAUGGUUUAAGCAAGGAGAUGUGGAAGACCGGGUGUGAUGGCAUUCCUUUGAGCUCUUCUUUGCGUUUUGGUGAUGAACUUGCGGAAGCUUGUGGAGGAGAUGAAGCAAGGCCUUCCUAGGAAGUAUGGGUUCCUUGAAGGUGCAUGAGAGUGGGGAAUUGGGGAGGUUUGGCCAUCCCCUUUGAAGGUGAUGAAGUGAAGAUUAAAACUUAGAUGCUAGGCAAAGAGUAGUGUAUGACACAAAUUUGGCAGCAUAAUAAUACUCUAUUCAAUCUUACAAAAUGAGAGCCAAACACCUCCUUAUAUAGGAUUGGAGGGCUGGAAUUUGAAGAGCCAAAUACAAAUGAAAUGUAAUCUAAAUGACAUGCAAAUGAAGGAGCACAUGGAGGCACAUGGAGGCACAUGGCACAUGGGAGCACAUGGCCUCCUAACCUUCACAUGGCUACACUAGAUUAGUGGUAGGUUCUAGAAAACCGUAACUAAUCUAGGUUAACCCUUUCUUAAUCCUAAUUUGCAGAAAUUAAACAAAGGUUCAUAAGGUUAUGUUAUUUACACCACAAUUAAGACUAAGCUACACUUGAUGGGCUCCUUGGGCAUGUUUCCCUUUUAUUCGUAACGCCCUUGCUCUUGGCCUAGACACUCCUUUGUGGUUGCCCUUCAUGAAAGGUUGUCCUAGAUGCUCCUUUGUGGUUGCCUUAUGCAAGGUUGUCCUAGACGCUCCUUUUGGGUUGCCUUCAUGCAAUGGUUGUCCUAGAUGCUCCUUUGUGGUCCUAGACGCUCCUUUUUGGGUUGCCUUCAUGCAAUGGUUGUCCUAGACGCUCCUUUGUGGUCCUAGACACUCCUUUUGGGUUGCCUUCAUGCAAUGGUUGUCCUAGACCCUCUUGUGGGUGCCCUUUAUGAAAGGUGGUGUUGGGGCCUCUUCCAUCAUCCCCUCCCUCUUGAAAAGGAUUUGUCCUCAAAUCCAAUUCUUUUUCUUCAACUAGGGGGAUGAAUGUGGUUGGAUGGUGUCCAUCAUCUCCUCCUUCUUGAGAAGAUCUAUCCUCAGAUUUACAGACUUGAUCUCGGAUAGCAGCCUCUUGCUUCGUCAAGGCUUGUCCUCCUAGAUCAAACGUCCACCUAUGGGAAUCUUGAAACAGAGCAAAGGAGUUAGUGUGAGCAAUUGGAGAAAACUUAAUUGUAUGAAGUUUCCAUUUUUGUUUUUCUUUUGUUUUUGGCAACUUUUCACAAUAUUUCCCUUUUGAUGGUUGUAUGUGUCCUCCAAUCCUCUUAUGUUUUGUUAAAAUUUUAAAAGUAGUUACUUUUCCCUUAGGCAUAAUGACUUUAGGAAGUGGUAACAACUUAAAAAGAGAAAGAGGAUGAUGUUCACAUACAACUUCAAAGGUAGAAAUAUGAGUAAUCUUGUGGACUACUCCAUUGUAUGCAUGCUUAAUAGGAAAAGGAUACUCAUCCCAAGAAUUGUGGUUGUCUCUCAUGAUUUCUCUAGUCAUAGUAGAAAGAGCUAUGUUUUCAAAGUUUGGAGCUCUAUCCAAUACUAUGUUUGAAUAUAAAUCAUGAAGACUUGUCACUUCUCUAAGGAAGAGUUUAUCCAUAUCCACGAAAAUGGAAUCAAAACCUUUUGUUGUCCUAGGAAGCUCUAUUAUAAAAUUUAGACUUGGGUCUUUCCAAGGAUCAUUUGCAAAAGGUGAAGGAGUAUAGAGUUCAUGAGACAUUGCCUUAGGUGUAGUUUUAAAACAAGAGAUGUAUCUAGGGUAAUGUCUUUGAACAUCUUUUCUCAUGGGUGACAAAAGUUUUCCUUUUAAAAGCUCUAGAGUUUUAUCAACUCUAAUUUGGCCCAUGAGUUCUCCUUCAUGAAGAAUUUUUCUCUUAUGUGUAAAGGUAGUCUCGUUUUUACAACCAUUGUUUAUGAGAAUUUGUACACCUUGCAAUGGUUGUCUCAACAAGACAUGACAAGUUUCUUUAGGUACUACCUCACAUAAAAAUUUGUCUUUGUAGAUGCCUAUAGAUAACUUGACCUUCACUUGGUGAUAUCUUAGCACAUAUGAGAAAUAAUCCACUACAUUUUUAUCUAUGCAAGCCUCUUUUAAGGAUUCUUUCUUUUUUACUAGGCUUGCAAGUGUUCCUUUACAAAAGGUAAGGCUAGGUUGUUCAACAAGAAACAUAUUUUCAAAGGUAUUUUAAACUUUUCCUUCUAGUUGAAUGACCUUGUGGGAAAGAACACUCUUCUCCCACGCCUNNNNNNNNNNNNNNNNNNNNNNNNNNNNNNNNNNNNNNNNNNNNNNNNNNNNNNNNNNNNNNNNNNNNNNNNNNNNNNNNNNNNNNNNNNNNNNNNNNNNNNNNNNUUUUUCUUUUUCUUUAGCUUCCCUUUCGUCUUCCUCUCUUUUCUUUUGUAUCUUUCUUUCCUUCUUUACUUUAUGGGAAGCAAACAAUUUUUCUACCCUCAUUUCCCAAUCUAAGCAAGCUUCUAUAUUUUCUUUUCCAUGGAAAUGGGGUAGGUCUACCCUAAUCUCUCUUGGGCUUUCUUGUUCUCUUCUAUCUCUUCUAUGUCUUCUAGGGGGUGCUUGAUAAUAAUCAUUUAUUCUAAGGCUUCCCUCCCCAAAAAAAUCAUGAUCUUUAGAGAUAGAUGCAUGAGAAGGUAAUUUUUUGAAAUGUGAGACUUCUCAUCCUUUGCUUUAGUCAAUUCGUUAAUUUUGGCCUCAUUAUCCAAUUGUCUAUUUGAAAUUAAUUGAACGUCCUUGGAAGUUUGUUUUAAAAGAGAUUUUAAGGACUUCAUAUCACUUCCAAUAGAUUUAGAGGAGUGGGAAGACAUGACUAAAGCUUUGUGUAUAGAAAUGUUUUACUUUAAGAAAGAUGAGGAAAGUUAAUGAACGUAGUUUUCCAGGUAAGAGAGGUGAGUCACAAUGAACUACUUAAAUACCAAGUCUUUGCCUUAGCCAAAAACUAUCCAUCAAUAUCUUCACACAAAUCUUUCUUUAGGUAAAUCACUUAAAACACAAUGAGGAUGUAGAAAUCAAAUUUUUAAUGCAAGAAACAAUGCAAGCUAUCUAACAACCCAAGCAAAAUUACCAAAGCUUAAAACAAAACUAAACAAAAGCAAUUAAGCGAAGUUAAACAAAAGCAAUUGGCGUAAUUAAAGCAAUUAGCAAAUGCUAAGCUUGAAAGUUUAAGCUAGUCGGCCCUAGGUGAGGCUUCUUGGACACUUGGAGCCCUUGAAGACACACUCACUGUCUAAUUGCGUGAUUAACAAGUAAUUAACAAGAGUUAAAUUGCAAAGCAAUUAAAUGGCACUCCCUUUGUUGUUUUUCUAAUUGCACUCCCUUUGUUGUUUCUUCUUUGUUGGGCCUUCCUAGGUGUGUGGUGUAUUUAGUAUGUGUUUGUUGCUGCCCCUUGCCUUUGAUCUUCUUGGAAUUAGGUAAUUAAAUUCUUCAAUCCAACACCUAUUAAGCAAAGCCAGACUCCCCUCAAGUCAAUUCUCACUCAACAAGUAUCAAUUGAUAUUUAAUCCACCACAAAGCUUAGAGGUCAAAGAAAGAAAGCAAGAAACAAAUUAAUUUGAAAAACAGUACCACACAAAUGGAAUUAAAUGUGACACAACUAGAAAGAGUUCAAAUGAAAUUAGACAAGCAAAUAAAAAGGCACUCAAAUAAUGGAUGGCACACAAAAGGAACCUAAGGAAUAGCACUAGAUUUGAUUUAAAAACCAAAAACAACACCACUGAAAAAUGUUGUGGUCCAGAAUGUGUGACUUUUAAAGAUUUAUGCUGAGCUGGAUCUUUUGUAUUUGCUUCUGAAAAUUGAUACACAAACAACUCAAGAUCUUAACAAACUUUUGGGGUUGGUUUCACUCCAAACGCAUGCACCAAUUAAUUUUAAUAUUUUUUUAAAAUCAGUGCUCAAAACCGCCAGAUGUAGCGUCAGGAUUGCACACUUUUUUGUAAGAUUUAUCUUUUUUUUCUAUUUCUUUUUUUCAACUAAUUCUUUUUUUGUUCUUUUGCUAACACCUCAAUCUAGUGAAAUCCAGAGGCUCAGAACUUUCUUAUGAUGUAUUUAAUUUUCAUAAAGCAAAAUAGCCAAAACAGAUUUGUGAAAACAGGGGAUUCUGAAAUCUGGAAUCAAAAACAUAAUGAUAUACCAACAAAAACACAAUGAAAAUAAUGUGGUGGAAUUUGUGUGGAUCUAGCACACAAAUAAGAACUCAAACUAAAAUUAAAAAAGCACCAAAGGAUCAAAACAAAACAGAUUUCAGAUCAAGCAUUCAAACAAAAAAAACAAGAAACAAAUAAAUCAAGAAGAGUACUAUUAGGAUUUGUUGACAAAUAUGGAAACACAUGACUUAGACAAAACUUAUGGAUUCAUAAAAUGAAAAGACUCGAGAACAUCAUAUGACCCAAAUGAAAUUUUAAGCAACACUCAAAUACCUAAAAAUAAAAAACAACAACACAAAGAUAUCAAGAACCCUACACAAAAUUGAAAAUAGAUGUUCAAGCACAAUUUUGAACAAAACCCACUGAUUGAAAUGAAUAAACAAGCAUUCAAAUCAUAUUAAAACACAAAAACAGCAAGACAACUUGGAAUAAAGAUGAACAACUUGGAGAAAGAAUCACUCAAAAAGAAAAAUGCAAAGAGAUACUCAUCUUUGAAGAACCAUAGCUCUAGAUACCAAAUGAUGGCAUUCCUUUAAGCUCUGCUUUGUGUUUUGGUGAUGAACUUGUGGAAGCUUGUGGAGGAGAUGAAGCAAGGCCUUCCUAGGAAGUAUGGGUGCCUUGAAGGUGCAUGAGAGUGGGGAAUUGGGGAGGUUCGGCCAGUCCCUUUGAAGGUGAUGAAGUGAAGAUUAAAACCUAGAUGCUAGGCAAAGAGUAGUGUAUGGCACAAAUUUGGCAGCAUAACAAUACUCUAUUGAAUCUUACAAAAUGAGAGUCAAGCACCUCCUUAUAUAGGAUUGGAGGGCUGGAAUUUGAAGAGCCAAAUACAAAUGAAAUGUAAUCUAAAUGACAUGCAAAUGAAGGAGCACAUGGAGGCACAUGGAGCACAUGGCACAUGGGAGCGCAUGGCCUCCUAACCUUCACAUGGCUACACUAGAUUAGUGGUAAGUUCUAGAAAACCAUAACUAAUCUAGGUUAACCCUUUCUUAAUCCUAAUUUGCAGAAAUUAAACAAAGGUUCAUAAGGCUAUGCUAUUUACACCACAAUUAAGACUAAGCUACACUUGAUGGGCUCCUUGGGCAUGUUUCCCUUUUAUUCGUAACACCCUUGCUCUUGGCCUAGACGCUCCUUUGUGGUUGCCCUUCAUGCAAGGUUGUCCUAGAUGCUCCUUUGUGGUUGCCUUCAUGCAAGGUUGUCCUAGUAGCUCCUUUAUGGUCCUAGACGCUCCUUUUGCCUUCAUGCAAUGGUUGUCCUAGACGCUCCUUUGUGGUCCUAGACGCUCCUUUUUGGGUUGCCUUCAUGCAAUGGUUGUCCUAGUCCCUCUUGUGGGUGCCCUUUAUGAAAGGUGGUACUGGGGCCUCUUCCAUCAGGGUGGAUUUUGGAAGAGGGUAGAAGGAGAAGUUCAUAGGCAACUUCGCCGAUGCGGCGACUGAUGGGGUAAGAACCGUAGAAUUUCCGGGAAAGCUUGUUUUGACCUCUUGCUAAAAGAGACGUUUGACGAUAAGCUUGGCGACGGAAGGUAUGAUGGCGUCGACUCUUAUUUGUUGUUAGUGCCAUGCACUGUUGCGUUUUCGCGAGGGUGGCUUUCAACUAAUGGAGCAUAUGUGUACGUUCUUGGAGCGUGGUGUCAAGGGUGGGCUUUGUGGCUGUUCUUAGAACAUAGUCGGGGAUUGUUGGUGGAGGUCGUCCGUAUAGCACCUGGAAAGGAGUCAUGUUGAUGGCAGAGUGAUGUGAUGAGUUGUACCAGAACUCCACUAGAUGUAAAAAUUUGUACCAAGUUUCCGGAUUGUCAUUGGUAAAACAUCUCAGGUAUAUUUCUAAACUCCUACAGAUAACUUCUAUUUGACCAUCCGUUUGUGGAUGGUAAGCUGUGCUAAAUUUUAAUUUGGUGCCUUGUAGGUGAAACAGUUCUUUCCAAAAAUGGCUGAGGAACAGAGGAUCCCGAUCAGAAAUGAUAGACUUUGGAACUCCAUGCAACCUGCAAAUUUCAAUAGAAAAACGGUGAGCUAACUGGGUGGCGUUGAAGGAGGUGGGUAGGGCAAUGAAGUGGGAAGACUUGGAUAGUCUAUCACAGACUACCCAUAUGACAGUGUGGCCAAAAGAUGAAGGUAAGUGGGUGAUAAAAUCUGUGGUUAAUUAUUUCCAAAGCUUGGCUGGUAUAGGUAUUGGUUUGAGUAAUCCUAAAUGUUUUUUAUUGUUGGGUUUGUUUUGUUGGCAUGGAAGACACUGUUUGAUGUAUGUCUUUGUAUCACGGUACAUUCUGGGCCAGUAGAAGGAGGUGGCUAGUCGUGCCAUGGUCGCUUUGAGACCCGAGUGACCUUCGAAUGGAGUGGCAUGAAAUUCGUGCAACAUUGUAGAACGAAGAGCACCCCUAGCAGGCAAAUAAAGGCGUUGACGAUGGUAAAGGAGACCUUGCUGCUAGUUUCCCAGACAGGUUUGGUUCCUUCUGGGUUUUCGGCACCUGGCCUGUAAGCGGUAAAAACUCUCGUGGAGAAUUUUGUGAGGAUGUUGGGAAUCGGUGAAGACUCUGCUAAAAAGAGGGAUGAUGGUGGUCUGGAUAAAAAAUCAGCGGCUUAGUUGUGGCAUUCUGGACGGUAUAUGAUUUCGAAGUUGUAUCCUAAGAGCUUGGUGACCCAUUUUUGUUGCUCAGGCAUGUGGCAAGCAUUGGUAAGUAAUGCCUUCAGACUUUCUUGAUCUGUUAUGAUUUUGAAAUGUGUUCCAAUAAGAUAGUGACGCCAUUUUUUCACUGCCUCUGUAAUGGCUAGCAUUUCUCGAACAUACAUUGAGUUGUUUUGCAUUUUUUGACAGAGUUUUUUGCUGAAAAACGCAAGAGGAUGACCUUCUUGAGAUAGGAUUGCACCAAUGGCAACAUUCGACGCAUCUGUUUCAACGACAAAGGGCUGAGAAAAAUUUGGAAGAUGCAGUACUGGUGUCGUAGUUAAAUUUCUUUUCAAUUGUACAAAGGCCUCUUGAGCCGCUGUAGUCCAUGUAAACUUUGUCAAUCUUAGUAAAUCCGUGAGUGGAGGUCAAGAGUGGCAUAAUCGCGAAUAAAUUUUCUAUAAAAUUCCGUAAUUCCCAAAAAAGUGCUGAGAGUGGUGAGGAUGUGGACUUGGGCCAAAGGAGGUGGCCUGUAUUUUGUCUGUGUCUGGGGUGACGGUGCCUUCUUGAAUGAGAUGGCCCAGAUAAGAAAGUUGGGUAGUGGAAAAAACACAUUUAGACUCUUUAACAAAGAAUUUGUUGUUUUCCAACAACUGUAGAACUAGAGUCAGGUGUUAGAUGUGUUCUACCAUAGACUGGCUAUAAAUGAGGAUGUCAUAAAAAAACACUAGGACAAAAUGACGUAGAUGUGGUCUUAGAGGCCACUCAUGACUGCUUGGAAGGUAGAGGGUGCAUUAGAAAGGCCAAAAGGCAUAACGAGAAACUCGUAGUGCCCAUCAAAAGUUCUAAAUGGUGUUUUAUGACAAUCCUUGAGGUCUACUCUUAUUUGAUGAUACCCUGAGCGGAUAUCUAGUUUGGUGAACACCUUAGCCACAGUUAAUUCAUCCAAUAACUCAUCAAUUGUGGGAAUAGGAAAACGAUCCUUCACUGUGAUAGCAUUUAGGGCUCUGUAGUCUACGCAAAAACGCCAAGUGCCAUUUUUUUUUAAUCAAUAUGACUGGGGAUGAGAAGGGACUGGUGUUGGGACGUAUGAUGCCUUCGGUUAGCAUUUCUUGAAUGAGGGAUGUCAUAGUGUGUUUAUGGGCGUGUGGAUAAUGGUAGGGUUUGAUAUUAACUGGGGAAGAUUGGGGAAUGAGGGAAAUGUGAUGGUUGUGGGGUCGGUGAGGGGGUAUGCCAUGAGGACGUGAAAAAAUUAUAGUGUAUUUUUGUAACAGCUGGGUAAUAUCUGGAUGGGGAGAAAGGUGGGGCAAUGGAUAGUGAGGUGAUGUGGUUGGAAGGUAAGAAGAUGUAUAGAGGCUACCGCAUUGUUAUGUAAGAGUUGGCAAAUAUGGUUGGGUGAAGCAUGGGUGUGGAGAAGUUUGGUGGUGCCAUGGAGGAUAAUUGGAAAUCCUUAUGAUUAAAGGAAAUAUGAGGUAUUGAAAAAUCAGCUGGUAAAGGACCCAAUGAACGUAGCUAGUCCAUUCCAAGGACCAUAUAAGCGCCUUCAAUUGGGAUAAGGUAGAAGGGAAUGGAAAAAUUAUGGUGUUGGAUGAAAACUGAAACAUUAGGACAAAGAGACGAACAAUGUAUUUGUUCUCUGUUUCCCACCAUGACUGAAAAGGGUGUUAUAGGAAUGGUACACAAUUGGAGGUAGUUUGCUAGACGGAGUUGUAGUAUGUUAUGGGAGUUGCCAGUGUCGAUAAGGAUAGUGAUAGAAAGGUGACCAAGGAGACCUUCAAGUUUAAAAGUAUUGGAUGAAGGGGUUCCAGAGAGGGCUUGGAAUGAUAAGUUAAUAUGAGUGGUAUCGUCGGUUUCUGGGUUGGAAAAGUCUGGUUCGAGGUCGGAAAAAGUGGGGGAUUGUGGGUUGGAAAAAAUGUGUGUGGAGGUAUUAGUAGGGUGUUCUGGGGUGAGGUCUUCACUCAACAAUAAUAGCAAACGACUAAAAUUGCAUUUGUGACCUGGAAUUUUUUUUGCAUCACAAUUGUAGCAGAGGCCAGCAGCUCUGCGCUCUUGGAGUUGGGCGAAGGUGAGUUUUUUUAUGGGUAGUUGAGGGGGUGUACUGGAGGGUGGCUGGGGUGGAAAAGAGGGACGUGAUGGGGGUAAUAAAUGUGGUGAAUGUUGGGGUAAAAAAGGUACCUGGCGUAUAACACGUUUGGAGUCUUGGAACUUAGAUUCCAACAACUUUGCGAGGCACAUGGCUUGUGUGAUUGAGUUGGGUUGGAGAACAGUCAUUUCCCUCCGUAUGUCAGGGAUGAGGCCGGAGAUGAAACAAUCUAGAAUCAUUUCAGGUGUAAGGCCCAAAACUCGAUUGCAAAGUUUUUCAAAAACCUUUUGAUAUUCAGCUACAGUGCCAUUUUGUCGGAGUUUAAAUAACUCGGCCUGGUGGUUGGCAUAAGUGGAGGUGCCAAAACGCAACUCCAAAACCCUACUAAAAGAGAUCCAAUCAGUGAAUUGGUGAUUUUGAUACAUCCAUUUGAACCAACUGAGGGCAUCACCUCGCAUAUAGAAAGCAGCAAUGUUUAAACGGGAUUCCCAGGGAAUGGUAUAAAACUGGAAAAAUUGAUCGGCUUGAAAUAACCAAUCUAACGGGUUCGUACCAUAAAAAAAACUGAGUUUUAGGGGGGCGUAUAGGUGAAGGAGUGAUGGUGGGAGGAAUGGUGUUGGUAGUGGUGGGAUGAACGUUAGGUUGAGAAGUAUUUGAUAGAGGCGGUGGAGGAGCAGUUGUAUUUGGAUCUAUAACAGGGGCAAUGUUGUGGUGUGGAAUGGAUAGGGUAGUGAAAAUGCUGGUGAGGGUAUUGGUUAGGGUAUCGUGUUUAGAUUCUAAUGCCAUUUGACGGCCUUCCAUGGUUUCUUGGGUGGUAUGGAAUUGGGUAUGCAAAUUAGCUAAUUUUUCUAUAAUGGUUUGGAGUGUUUCUUCAAUAUCUUUGGUGGUUUUGGGAGGCAUGGAGGUAGGUCAAUGAAAGCACCAAGUUGUUACGGUGUUCUAGGAUAAAGGCACAAAGACUGAGAAAAAGAAGGAAAAAGUCUAUAAAGAUGAAAUUAAAAUUCACUAUCCCCCUCUGUUACAUAGAAUUUGAGUCAAUUCCUAUAGGACAGUUGUUCCAUUUGCUAACAUAAAGAUAUAACUAUAAGAUAUUCCCUUAGAUAUGAGAGCUAAUGCUUCUAGAUGUAAUAUUUGAACUUUGUGGGCUUUGUUAUUUUCCUGAUGGGCCUAGAAGAUGUGGGCCUAGUAUCACAUGCCCUCCUAUGCGGUAGAUCUCUUUUUAUCCCCCAUCACCGCUUAGUACUUUGUCCCUUCUUACGCCAAACUAUUUUUCCAAUCUCGUUUAUACCCUUGUUUCAUAUCAGUCCACGUACUAGAAAAACACCUUCUCAUGUUCUUCGACUAACAUAUAACUUACUGUUUGAUGGUUCAAGUACUCAUAGCCAUUCACUCGUUACAUUAGUGAGCCCAAAGUAAAAAAUUCCACUUCUAAGGUUACAAAUGCACACUCUUCGUUCAAACAUUAUGUUAUCAACUGAGAUGAAAACACCAAAUUUUAUAUAUUUUAUACACAGUUGCAAAAAUGGGAUACUUCUUUAGGUUAUAUUAUUGUCAAAAGUGUGAUCUAUGUUCAUAUGGAGAAUGAAAACUGGUGUAUAUGCACCUGACUAAUAUUCCAAAAGAAUAGAUUGCAAUAUAGGUCAUCAUUUGUAUAAGCUCACAAAACAUAGGAAUCCCCAUUUCCUCCAACAACAAAAUCAGCAUUUUUCCAUCCCUGCCUAUCUAUAUACACUCUUGUCCUUGAAGAUAAACCCUUUUAUGCAGCGGAACAAAUUCAUCAUAUUUAUACCUAACCUAUUAAACUGUGAUAUAUACAUAAUUAUCAAUAAAACAUCAAAUGCUAGCUCAUACAUAGCUAUGAACAUGUAGCUAAACCAUCUUGUAGGAGCAAACUCCCUUCUUGAUCAUCUAAUGUCUCCCUAACUGCCUUGUAAAAGGCUAUCCAUGAAGAGUAGGCGUCAACAGGACCCCACAAAAAUGUAGGAUUUGGACUUGCAGGGCUUGCACUUACCAAAUCCAAAACUGAAACUGGUUUAAUAUUCUGUGGGAAAUUGAAUGCCAAGUUAUCAACUUUGUGUUCAUAAAUUUUGCCAUUUCUGUCUAAUUUGUACCUUGAAGUGCCCUGAAACUCUCCUUUGGCCUCCCAAGGAACCCUUGGCACUCCCCUAAGGUUCCACCUGAUCAAUAUCACAUUCUCUGAAGGCUGCCACACCCUGUACACAUCAAGUGCCAUCUCACGAAACAAAAUUUUGCCAUGAAACCUCAAUGCCCAGAAGAUCAAUUUGUACUUUUCAAUCCCUGAAAAUGUGUUGAUGGGGUCCAUGAAUGUUAUGUCAUCCCUGAAAUUACCAAAUUUUAGUGAAAACCUCCUUAAAAUAGUAACAGCAUUUUGUGUGGCUGACCAAAACCAGAUUUAGUUAGCAAUAUAAAGACAACAGAUAUCAAGAAAAAAUGAAAAAUUUGAAAAUUACAUUUACAAAGAGAUUAGAUACUCUACUUGAAUCUUGUCCAAAAGUGAAUGAAAAAAAAACAAGAAAUUGAAGAGAUGGGCUGAUGGGGGUGAGAAAGAUACCUAUAAAUGUCAUAAUUGAGGUCUUUGAUGAAGAUCAAAGGAAGGUCCUCACGGAUGGUCCUGACAGCAAGGCCAAGGUUGAGGUAGAACUCAUCCUUUGGCUGCUUAUUGUCUUGUGGUGAGCUGACAUGUACAACUUGUGCAGUGGAAGCAUGGAGAGAGGAAGAAGAUAUGGGGAAGUGAGAAGUGGGUUUUGGAGGUGUGAGAGUUUGGUUUUGGUGAAGGUUUGAUUUGUCUUUGGAUUUGGAUUGGGCUAAUAGGGAAGGUUGAAGGUUGGGAAGGAGAAAGGCCAUGGCUUUGAAUACUUCUCAAUGGUUUUGUUGCUAAGAUACUAUUAGCUUUUCAUUUCUCUUUGUGUGUGUGGAACAAGAGAGAAGAGAGUGUGUGAGUUUAAUGAUGCAAAUUGAGGCUGUUGUUAAUUUCUUAGUUUUGCGUUGGAGUUUGUGGCUUCCAACGUAGCCAUCAAAUUUAGAUGCUUACAAAUGUUGCCGAUCUUGCGCUUUCACCCUCCUAUUUUAUAAUAAUGUAAUUUUAUGUCAAAAGUAAGGAUUUAUUUGGAAGCUACACAUUUUCAUUAAACUUAUUUUUUAUUCAACCAACUCAUUUUAUAUAAUUAGUAAACGAAAUUGUACACGAAAUGUAUGUUUAUGCGUAUAUUCUGAUAUUUGAGCAAAGAUUGGGAUUUUUUCUAAUGAAUAUAAAUAAAUAUUAACUAUUUUUGCAAAAAGAAAAUAUAAUUAUUUAGCUUUAUUUUUAUCGAUCUUAUGGUUUUAAUUAUAAUAUAUACUUACACAACAGAUUGUCAUUUAUCUUUCGAGCUUAAUAAUUUCUUAUUAAUCAACGAUGAAAAUGUAUGAAAAUUAUUCUAUGAUGUAGUCGAGUUAAAACGUAAAUUAUAUCAUUGUAUUACCAAUGUUUAGUGUUUUUUACUCAUUAAAAAAAAUACUUGUUUUUUCUUUUAAAAUGCAAACGCUCCAUACGUAGUUAACAGAUAAUAUCAACAAAUAUAAUAAUAUAAGAUCAUGAUAAAUUAUGUGCACAGACACUUAAGCUAAACCUAACAAACCUCAAAAUCUCUAAAAGUUGAUUCACAAAGUUUGUGAUUAAACCAAUGUACGUUUAAAAUGUACUUUUAUAACACACGUAAGAUAUGGUGAAUUAAACCCUAAAUCCAAAAAUUAAUAUAGCAUGUGUUAAACGCAUUUUAUUUAAAAUAUUGUAAUUAUUUUAAUUUUAAGUGUGUUGGUUACACUUAUAAAAUAAGCAAUAUGUUUUAAAUUUAAAAUUAUUUUACUCUUGCUUUAUUAUGAGUUUGGAAGUGUCGAUCUUGUGAUGUGUUACUUUAUGAAGAUUUUUUAUAUAUCACUUUUAGUUGUUGAUUCCUUCUCAAUAUUGGUCUCUAGUAUCAAUAAGAGUGGGGAUACAUGAAAAAGAUUAUCUGACGCUCAAAUUAAUUUUCGAUAUAUGGUGAUCGAUGGUGGUAAAGAUUAUUAAAUAUGCACAAAAUGUUCAAAUUGUCAAAUCCUUUUUAUUCUUAGAAACCAAAAAUAUGUUUUUGAAAUCAUGUCAAAUUAAAAAAAUUUGUAGUUUUUAAGUAUUUUUCUUUAAUUCAAAAUACUAUACUGAAUGAAUACUCACCCAAAACACACCCGUGUUUAAAUGAAAUAAGAAAAAAAAUAAGUAAAUUAAUUUAAAAGUAUAAAAAAAAAUAAAAAAUAAAACAAGCUAUUUUUAAAAUCUUAAAAAGAUUAAAACACAAAUAUUACUUUAGAGAAAACAUACGCUCGUGCAUGGGAUAACAUAUUAUGGGUAGUCCGAUAACGGCCCGAUAGCGGGUGGACUGAGAAGCCCAAUAAACAUUCGUUAGGAUAGGCUCAAAAUGGCUCUGACUUAACCUAAACUGACUUAACCCCAUAAAACCGGCUCAUGAGAUGAGGUUUGCACUCACUUAUAUACAAAAAAUUGUUUUUCAUCUCUAGUUGAUGUGAGAUCUUCAACACAAGAGACUAUAAGAGUUCAUUACUUUUGUUAGUAAAGUUUUAUUUUUUUAUAAAAUACAAUUAUUUUAUUCCUUUUGUUAUAUUUUUUACUAAAAAAAAUAAAAUGAUAUUUUAUUAUAAUUGUCAAAACCACCGACUAAAAAUACUUCUGAGUUACUUUUAUAAUCUCUUAUUGCAAAGAGAAUAUUUACUCUUUUAAGGCAAAGCUUGAUUUUGAUAGUCUUUUUGUAUUUUAUUCACUCCUAUUCAAAGGUGGAAAAUUUCUUCCAAUUAGUUUCCUUGACUUUGAUACCUUUGUGCUUGGAAAUUAAAAUAAUUCAAAUGUUUAGAAGUUUUUGGUUUCGUGUUGUGUGGAUCAACACAUCAUGAAGGAGAUGUGGAAAUAAAAUUUGAAGCACAAAAUUGUGGUGUAGAGUUCAUAGGAGAAAUGAAACAAAAUUGCAACUUUUUUAGGUCUAAAUUAGACAGAGUCAAGACAUGAAUGAAUUUCAUGUUUUACCCAUUCCCACAUUGGAUUUCUUGUAACUUUUUUUUUUUUUAAAGUAAAAGACCGCGUUCUCUGAUUUAAGGUAGGAAAAAAAUGAAUGUGAAAUGGUCAAAUUCAAAUCCUUUUCUUAAACAUGUAAGAGAUUUAUGAAUAUAAAAAUAAUCCUCAAAUAUGAGAUAAUGGCAAUUCUACUAAUUUCAAUAACAAGUACUCUCAUGAAUUAAAAUCACAUAAAUUUUAUCUAAUAUUUUUCUAGGAUAAUUAUAAUUAGUUAAAAAUAGUUUAAUUUAUUAAAAUAUGUUUAUUUAAAGUCUUAAUUAAAAGAUUGUAGUCGAUAUUUUAAUUGAUUAUAUUAUCAAUUUCAUUAAUUACAUUAUUAAUUUAAUCUAUCUAUUUAAUCUAUUGAUAUUACUUAAAAUCAAAAAUAAUUAUAGGAGAAUAUUUUAAUAUGUUAAAAUGAGUUUUUAAUAUAUUAAAAUUUUUAGUGUUUUUAGAAGAGUCUUUAUCCAUCUAUUUUAACAUAUUAAAAUAGUUAUUUAAUUCAUUAUUUUAAAUAGUAAGUGAAAUCAACCUAUUAAAACAUGAUUUUAAUCCAUUAAAAUCAAUAGGAUAAAUUAUAUAUAACUCUAUUCUAUACAACAACAAAAAAUAGUAAUUUUUGAAGUUUGAGUUUUUGAAAAUAUAUUAUAUUUUGAGAGAGAUAUUCUUAGAGUUUUUUUUGAAAUUUUUUUUUUUGUGUUUUUUAAACAAUUGUUAUAGUGUUUAGCUUGGCUUGUUUAGUUGAUUGAUUGGAUGUAACUUUUAUUUAAUAGUGAACAAAUAUAAAAAUUAGUGUGUAAUCUUUUUUCUCUCUCUUUAUUUCUAAAUCUGAAUAUAAAUAUUGUUAUUGUUGCAACUGAUUGUUUAAUUUGUUAAUUUUUGUUGUCAAUAUCACUUUAAUCAAUUAAUUCAUUAAGUGAUUUAUUCUAAUUCUUCUUAAGUUUUUUAAAAAGUUUUCAAAGUUCAAUUCAUACCUCUUAAAUUUGGUUUAUUUGUCUAACAUAUUUCUCAUCGACAAAAAGCUAUAGUAUAGAAUAAACAUUAGUUUUAUUUUAUAAUAACAUAUAUCAAAUCAAAAUAUGAGUUUUUCAAAAUAUUUAAAGUGAUUCAUUACGUAUUCUCGUGAAUCAACAAUACUGACACAAGUUAUUACUCACAUUAGAUGCAUGAUGUAGUACUCACAUUCAAAGUUUCCUUGUUGCCUAUUACACUAAUAUGAUUGGUGACCUUUAGGGUAUUAGACUAAAAUGUCAAAGUUCACAAUAAUACUUAACAUGAAUUUUAAAAAAAUAAAAGUCGACCAAUACACAUUAGACAACCUAUAAAAUUAUAAUGAAAGCUCAACAUAGCUAAAGAGUAUACUCACCAACUCGUAAGUACCUUUCUCCCUAAAAGAAACUCAACCUUACUAUGUUGAAUAUACUCACAAUCCCCCAAGAUACAAACAAUAUCUAAAGCUACUUUACAAGAUCUACCACUACAAGGUACGAUUAACACACACACAAAUUAUAAGUUGAUAUUUAUGAGUUCUACGAUCAAAAACUACGUUACAAGCUCUACCACUAUAAACUACAAACAACACAAAGAAAAAAUUAAAAAUUAUUAUUUACAAGUUCUAUAACUACAAAUAAAACCAACUAAAUGCGAAAAAUCUUUAAACCCUACUUCCAUACUCGCUAACCCCAAUUAGAUUGUGGUGGAAUUUGAUAUUGAAAUGGGAUUUGGGAUUAGGAAUUCAACUCUACCGAGAAAGAGAUUGAAAUUGUCAUAUCGUUCCCCUUUAUUUUAUAAAAAACCUCAAUACUAUAUAAUGUUGACUAACUCGAUGCUUUAAACAUUUUCUUUACAAUAAAAUAAAAUAAUUAGAAUUAUUUCAACUCGUAUUGUUGGUUACACUAUUGUAAAACAAACACAAAACUAUAACUUAAUAAAAUAUAUUUAAUAUAGUUGUAAAAUAGUCUUAUAGAGUGAACUAAACCAACACAAAGUUUUUAAUUUAAAAAGUUUUAUGAAGCUAAUAUGGAUUAGACUUACUUAAAGUUAAAAAAUACCUAUAAAAUACUCUUAAAGUUAGCUAAGUCGAUACAUAACUUUUAAUUUAAUUUUUUUUACAGAGUUACUAUUAAUGUACUGACGUAAAAUUUUUAUAUAAUAAAAAAUAAAAUAAAUAGAUAAUAUUAAUUUAAUCAACACAAGUUGUUGUAUUGUUUGGAUAAGGUUGGUGGUGAUGAAAAUGAAAUGGUAGAGCAGAGGAAACAAGAGAAAGAGGGUCCUCCCUAAAGGAAUUCUCAUGGGGAUAUUCUUCAAGGUUCUCACUUCUUUUCAAGAGCCAAUACAAAGAGGAAGCACAUUCUUUUUCUAGAUACCAAGUACUCUAGCAUCUUUUCUUUAUUGAAAAAUUCAAUUUUCCAGAUACUACGUACUAUAGCAUCUUUUCUUUCAUGUUCUUUAUAUAGACUAAAUAUAAUAGUCUACUUUAUUGUUAUUUAAUGGGUGAACAAAAAAUAAUGAGAGAAUAAUAUAACUUGGAAUAGUACAAUUAUAUGAGCCAACUUAAUAAACAUAUCAUCAAACACUUUUAAUGAAAAUAAAGCGAAUUAACUAAUCAAAAUCCUUAUAUAAAGUAAAAUAAACUUAUGCCUAUUACUUUUUCUUAAAGUUUGUUGUGAACUUUCACAAGUUAUAAAAGAAAACUCUUAGUAAGGAAGGAGAUUUUACAAUAUGAUAGUUGUAUUAGUUACAAACUAAUUAAAUAAUUAUCUAUGAAUAUGAAUGAAUAAGUUUAUCUAAAUGUACUUUUAGAAGAAAAAAUAAAUAAAAUAUAUUUUUUAUCAGUUAAAAUUAGUGAUGUGAUCUUUAUGAGGAUGAUAGAAUCGUGAUCAAUUCAAGAGACAUCGAAAAAAAAUAAGUUCAUGAAAGAACAAUUUUUGGUUGCAGAACAAAUGGUGUUCAUUCAUUUUGGCACAUAAACCGCAUUUGUGAAGAAUUCAAAAGGAUAAGUGUAAUGAAGAUUCGUCACUUGAAAAAAAAAAUCUAGAUAAGAAUUAAAACAAGAGUAAACACUCUUAAGACUCUCAAAGUUGUCUAUAAUCUAAGAGACUUACAAAUUUAAUUUCUUUUUAAUCUCUUCAUGUCUUUGAGUUUGCUCUUUUACAAUCUUCUUUGGAAUCGUUUUUUGAUUGCAUUAUCUUUUUCUUCUCUUGUCAUGCUUCUUGUAAUUUAUUCAUCAUUCUUCUUUUACUCCAUCUUUAACAAGUUCUUCCUUAUACUUAUUUAUAUAAAUUAAUUUAUUUAUAUAAAGUUUUUAUAUAUAUAUAAAGUUAAAAACAACAUUUUAAAAAAAUAUGCAAAUGAACAUUGAUGAGCAUAAUUUUAUUCACACUUAAUAUCUUUAAUCAUAGAUUGUUGGACUGUAAUAAUAAAUAAAUGUAUUGUUUUAAUUAAGAUUCAUAUAAUUGGACUUAUUUGGGUCUUAACUACUAUUUUUGUUAAUUUUGUACUUUUAGAGUAAACGGUCUGAAGGAAGUGUCUACCUUUGCGAAUGGGUUUAGGGCUUAGGUUUUAGGGUUUAUGCAAAAGUCCAAGUUGUUUCUUUGAAUCAAAAUAGAAGAAAAUAUUUUAGAGGAUUUUUUGCAAAGUAAGAGAGAUUUUCUCCAACUAUGUAGGAGUUGUAUUUUCUCCACGAUCUUCUCCACUAAAAAUGGUGUCUCUACCACAGAAUGAGGAUAUGGUUGUUGAUUUGUGUCCUGUUUAAGGAGAGUGAGGGAAACACACAGAAGACACCAAUCUCUCUAAGUUAAAAGUUGUUUCCUUUGUUUAUUUUUCUGCAUAUUUUAACUUUGUAUUUUUGCCUCCGCUUGGAAGGCUAAACCUUUUUAGUUGAUUCCUUUGUAAUUUCUCAUUGAGUUAUGAGGUUUUGAUCAAUAAAAGUUUCAUUUUUCAAUUCUCUAUAGCAAUUGUAUUAAUAUUCUAAUAUCCUCGAAAACUGUUUUUUGUGAGAGGUUGUACUUGAACGCAUGAUAGAAAAUCCUCCUUAUCUUAAACUUUGGUUUCUAAGUUAGUUCACGUUGUUCUAAUCAAUUUCUUGGACGCAUGAUUCAAGAGAGAUAAUCAUUCCUAUGGAGUAUACGCAUGGAACAAGGUGGGUACUGAUUAAACCAGGUGCAUGCUUUAUUGGUGGGAUUCAAGUUGAAUUAGAUUGAUGCAUGUUUAAUCUGGUUUAACUCUGUGUGAGAAUUGAAGGGUGAUAAUAUUUAGAUAACCUGUGAGGAAUUCAUGGUGGGGGAACUUAGGAGUCAACCUACAUUCUUUAUUAUUUUUAAUCUCUUGUGUAUUCUCUUGCUAAACAAACAUAAAUCCCCUUUUUACUUUUACCGUUAUUACUAAUCCAAAUGUGUUGCAGAUAGUUUGAGAGCUAAUUUUCACUGGAUGCACACUUGAGUUUGUUGGGAGACGACUUAGGAUCAAUAGACAUUUUAUACUACAUUUCCUCGUUGUUAGACGAAUCUCUUAUGAUAGUAUGGUCGUUUAAAACUUUGAUUUCAAUGUGAAACGAUACAAAUAUCAAACAUUUAUAAAUGAAUUUAUUAUAAGUUAAUUUUAUCUUAUAAAGAACAUAUAUCUUUGACAUGAUGUUUUGGCCGAUAAAUUCAUGUUACUGCAAAAGGAUACAAUUUUUUACUUUUUAUUGUCAUAUUUUAAAAAGUGUCCAUUUUCAUUUAUAUUGAUCCAAAAAAAAUUUGUCACAUGAUUUGUUUGGAAAUGAAUUCAACUUCUUUCUACUUCUAGCAUUUAAUGGGAAUUUUCAUAUACCCAAAAGUCAACAUUAAGUGACAUAAAACCAAAUUUCAUCUUAAAAUCAAUUGACAUUAGGUACAUAGACCAUAUUUUGAGAUACGUGAUAUGAGACUUCCCAACAUUCCUAUAGAUGUUUGUCAAAUUAGACAAGCCUAACAUAUAUUAGUAUAUUUAGUUUAUAACAACAAGAUACCAUUUCUUGUUUCAUAUUUGAAAAUUUUCAAUACCCUCUUAAAGAAAUGCAAUUGAGUUUCCAAGUAUAACCUUAGUACUCAAUUUCCUAGCAUAAUUAAGGGCAAAUGAGUUUAUGUAAGUUUUCUCUCUCUUAUUGUUGGAUGACCUUUUGAACUAUCAAUUGAAUGAAGUUUAAUAUAUUUGUAAGAGCAUUGCUAAUUGAGAUGAUUAAGAUUAGGUUCGUGCCUUAUUUAUACAAGGGAGAGCCUAGUGCUUGAAGAUUACACAUUAUAUUAACAAAAAUGACAAUUUCUACUUGAAUUUUUACUUUUGCUUUAGCUUUGGCUUAAGCUAGAGCGUUAGCCUCUGCCUUAGUUUGUGCAUCUACCUUUUCUUUCUCAACAACCUUCCUCAUCUCUUUUUUAAACUCUUUAUUUCCUUCAAUUGCUAGAUGAUUAACUUUUAAAGAAGCUUUUAUCUAUUUUUCCAAUUCAGGGAAAAUAACAUCUACGAAAUUGAUAAGGUUCAACCUUGUGAAUUAAGAAUUACAAUCUAUCAUGAUUAGGAAGGAUAAAAUUCAUGUUGUGCUUAUUUUAAAACAUUUUUCAAUUGGUUCAAACACACAUAUGAUGUUUAUAUGAAUUUAAUGUACUUAAAAAUAAAAAAUUGUGAAGGAAAAUCUAAAGGACUCAAGAACAACUCAAAGCAUGGAAAGAAAAAGAAGGAAAUUCAUAAAUAUGUGUAAAAAAAUAGGAAAAAUCAAAAUAAAUGAGGGUUGAAUUGUGAUUUAAUUAAAUUUAAAAACUUUUCGUGAAUAUCAUCUUAUUCAUAAUAUUCAAACUAUGAUUUAGUUUGAGAAGAAAUCAUACUAUAACUCUUUCAUCUGAUGUAUCAUGUCAGAUACAACUACCUAAUUUCACUUAUGCAUUUGUCUUGUGAUAUUUUAUUAGUGAUUCUGAUCAACGAUUAGAUUGUAAUUCUUGUGUAUGUCGGAUCAUAUUUGAUGCAUGUUUGAUCUAAGUUGAUUGGUUGGAAAAGAUAAAUUUAAAGAGGUAUAUUUUCAUAAAUAAUUUUCAGCAAGUUUAGUAAAGUGAAAUACAUAAAAUGCAUCCACAAUUUCUCAUAACAAAUAUGACCAGAAGAAUAUAUUUGAAAGCUUAAUGUAUCCUCAUUAAAUGUAUAUUUUGCAACUAAACUAAAUCAAUUUAUUAACAUAUUUUCUUUUUAAAUUUAACAAGUAAACAUAUCAUAGUUCUUGCAUUUGACCAACCAAUAUAGAAACAAAUCCAUAAACAUAGUUUUAAACAUGCCUUGGUAAUGAACUUAGAUUUGUAUUUUCAUAAAGUCUCUCCUUCUUGGGUUAGUGUGGAUGAUAAUAAUAUUCAAAGUAGAGAAGAUAAGGACAAGAGAGAAUACUCGUACCGAUUCUUUUGUCAUAACAAACUAUAUCUUGUUCUUGAACAACAAGCCAAGUUCAAGUAGGUAGACUACUACUAUGAAGUACCCUAGAGAAUUAUUUGGGCUCAUAGUCACUCCUAGCUAAUCCCUUAAGUAUUAUUAACCAAGUGAAUUAUGGCUUAAUGAGUAUUCUUGACUCAAACCAUUAUUGGCUUAAUGAGUAUUAUUUCAUAUCCCAAUCACUCUUGGCUUAACUGAGUAUUCUUUACCCCUAGUUAUUGUUGGCUAACUGAGUAUUUUUUGGAAUCGUAGCCACUCCUGGUUGACCUUGUUGAGGAGUAUUAUUUUCUAAGUCGCUUUGUCUCAAUGCGUAUUCUUGACUCCAGCCACCCCUAGCUUAAUGAGUAUUAUUUUUCCUUUAGCCAUUCUUGGCUAGCAUACAAGGAUUGCAGGCUUGGAUGAUCGUCUAAUAAUCUUAUCUUACUACUAGAGAGUGAUAGCAUCCCAUAAACAAAUACACAGUUUAGGCUUUCUUUUGAAGUAUAGAUCAUCUUGCUCUAUAGGGGGUAGCAUAUUUCGACGUAUACAAUGGAUAAGCUUUCUCUCCUAGGUAGCUGGAUAAACAGUCUUAGUUUUCCAUCAAGUUCUUUUGAAUCCUAUUAUGGUAAUAAUAUUCAUACCUUAAGCUUGAGGAUCCCUCUAUGAAGCUGUGAGGUUUGCUUUAUCAUCUUAUCAUCAUUUUGGUAUAAUACAACCUUUGCUUUUAAUAGUUAUUUGACAUGGUAUUUCCUCUCUUGUCUUCAUCAUCAUGGAAAGCUUUUAAAUAAGCUCUAGAAGAAGGUAGCAGUUGAGAGGUUGUUUAUAGUCGUUGAGAAGCUUCAAAUUCUAUUCAUGCUUUGCAUUUGAAGAGCUUUAACCUGAUUGUUACAUUUAAUGCAGCUUUGAUUUAUGCUCUCUUUUUUCUUUGCAACAUUCUUAAUAGCUAACAAAAUGUAUCUCCUUAGGUAACAUAAAAUUUUGCAUCAAUUCAUGAUAAAAGUGCAUACCGUACAGGGAAGCUAACUAGGUCAAAGAUGAAAUGACCUUUGUUUCAGAAGGUUGAUGAAGAAGAUAAUUUUAGCUUGCAUCCUAAGAGAUCUUUGAUAUUUGUGUCAUAUUUAAUCUUGAAUGCAUCUCUUUAGCGGACAAACAUUUCAUGCAAUCAUGGAAUAAGCAAAUGAAUAUUUAUUGAAGUACAAGAUUAGCUUAGUCUAUGUAUAUCACCUGAUGUUUAGUACAUGUUUCAUUUGUUCCUAUAUGUGCCUUAUGGUAGGUGCCUAAGACUCUUAGAUAUUACACUAAUUUAGGCUUCUAAAUUGCACAAAAUAGAGAAUAAUUAUUAUAACAAUUAACUUUUUCCACUUAGAAUAAUAAAUGUGAUGCAUUGGAUAAUAUUAUGUGGAAAUUAAUGAAAUCUUACCGGAUGAAAAAUAGCAACAAAGCCAUAGAUGAGAAAAAGAAGACUAUUAGCUCAAGGCAUGCAUAAAGCGCUGAGCGAAUUGAUUGUAGAGGACAUGCAAGUUAAAGACCUCCAAGCUUUGAGUGCCUGAAAGAACCAUUGAGCAGAUCUACGCUAGAGAGAAGCUCAAGCUGUGAGAAUGAGUUGUUGAACAAAGGAACAAAGCGUUGAGCAUAAAGGAAACCUUGUGUCUAAGGAAAACCAACACACUAGGUUAGGAUGGAGGUGGGUUAAGCAAAUAAAAUUAUUUAAUCUGAAAAAGUCAAUCUACUCAUGAUCUGUAAAUAGAUAGGCUUGGUCCAAAGAAAAGGAGGUUAGAUGAAGUGAAGAAAGAAUAGGUAAAAGUUGAAGCGCAACAUCCAAAACCACAUGUCCUUAGUUUAUAGCUAUUCAAUGUUGUCUUGCCUUGUAAACAUUAACAUAAGUAGCUAGAUUCCUCUUUUGAGAUUGAAGAACAGUAUAACAUUUCUAUACUUUUUUAUUUAUGAAUUCAUGUUUCCUUAAGUCCAUUUGAUUUGAUUGAGUGCUUAAUGCUUGAUAUGUGAGGGAUCAUUAAUAUUGAUCUUAGAAGUUGAAUGAUAUUGAAAAAUACUUUCUUCUUGUGAAUUAAGUCAAAUCACUCUAACUCAAUGUUUGGGAACAAAAUUGAAGUGUUUGGCAUGAAUUGCUUCAACAAUAAUGCAAAAAUCAAACUAUUGUAAAUCAGGAGAUUGAUUGUGAAAGUUUGUUUUCUAAAUAACCAUAAUUAAGGAAUUAACUUAGCUUAGUAGUAAACUUGAAUUACAUUGCAUUCAAGUAAUUGAGUAUAAAGAGAGUUAAAGAAUUUAUUCAAUCGCAUCAUUCGUAUCAAUCUCAAAACAUGUCUUUUUUAUGUAAGUUGUAACCUUACAAACUUCAUUUUGCACUUUAUAAUAAAAGAUGUUUUGAUUCCACACUUUAUAAUGAAAGACACAUCUAUUGCAUUUAUGAUAGUGCAUGAGGAUAUGAUAAGUCUUUUAUCAAUUGUACUACAAUUUACUAAGUCAACUUCAUCACCUUACUAGUUGAAAUUCGGUAAUCUGAAACAUUGUCAUGUUUAAAUUUAAAUGUUUUCAACACUUAGUCAGAAUUAUAUAACCAUUUAUAAAAUCAAGAACAAUUCAAUCUAUUGUAAUGUUUUCACUUAAUGCUUAAUAAUAUGCAUUUCAUGGUUAUGACCGUCAUAAAUGCUUCUUUAAUAAAACUGUUCUAAGCUUCAUCACUUCAUCACACAAAACACUGAAAUAUGUUUCACACAAAUCCUUAAUUUUAUAUUGUAUCUAUGUAAUAUUAGAUGAUAUCUGAGUUUAGCAUGACAUAUCAAAUGAAUUUAAAAAAAAAUAAUUAAAUUCAACCUUUCUUGUUAUUUUCCUAUGAAAAUAUGUAAUUACCUAUAAAUUUGAUCAGUCAUGUAUGUUCAAACUUUCUACACUAUCACUAAGGCUUCCUGCCAAAAUGAUAUUAUUAUUAUUACUAUUAUUAUUUAUAAAUUCAAUUAUAUUUUAUCAAUUUCAUGUCACUAAAUAUUAAACUUUAUAUCAAAUUUUAUCAAUAUGCUAAUAUAGGUUAAAAUAGUUUUCUUAAAAAUAAAGAAAAUAAUUCAUAUAAAUUAUUUUCAAAUAUUAAUCAAAUAAAUUUAUUAUGACACUUCAAUAAAUAUACAAAAUAUAUCAUAAGUAAACCAACUGUCCAUAUUAAACAAUUCCCAUUUAUCACUAAAAUUUUAAUAUAAAAUAAUAUUUUAAAAAGGAAUAAAAUAAUUUUAUAAUUCCAGUUUUAUUAAUAAAAAUAUUUUAAAACUAUUCACAACAAAAUUUCUAACAAUUAUAAUAAAAAGAAUUUAUAAUAAUUAUAAUAAUAGUGAUAAUAAUAAGAAUAAAAUUAAUCGAAUGUAAAAUUGGUUUAGAUACAAUUCAACAAUAAAUAAAUUUUGAACAUAAUACCUUUCUAUUCAUAAAUAAAUUUGUAACAAAAAAAAAUUAAAAAAAAUGAUUACAUAUGAAAUUUAAUGAAAACGUGACAAAGUUGUAGUGAAACAUUUUAACAAAAUCUAGAGAAUACUUAGAAAGAAGAAAAACAAUUGAAAUGUAGGAACAUCAGAAUGCACAAGCCUAUAAAAAAUUAAUGGCCAAUGCCAGAAUAUUAGCUCCAAAUUGUUGUCGGCAACGUACAGCACUGAUAGCGUCAUGGAUCUGGCGAAUCAGAGACUCUAAUUUGUUGCCUUUUCCCGUUUUCCUCAAAAAAUCGAAACAUAAUGAAAUAAACAAAGCAGCAAAAUGAACGAUUGAAAACAAAAAUUUAAAGAAGAAAAGGCUCAGAGAAUAUAGAUGGCAUCAACAAGCUCGAAUAAGCUUUCACAGUUUGAUGGUAUAUAAACUAGUCAUCGCUGCCUCAAAUCAAAACUGACGAACAAGAAGAAUUAAAACAUUGAAAGAGAAAAUAAUAAGGAGAUUGGAGACAAAAAUGGGUUUGCAGAAUACGAAUAUGGAAAAGCCUGAAAGCGGUGAUUUACAGUGUUGUAAAGGGGCAGAGAGUGGAGGCUUUAAAUAGGUAGCGAAGGAGUGGAACGAAGGGAAUAGCGG